rnacentral:lncRNA from 1 species
CAGGAAUCUACAGUUACAUUUUGUUGGCUGAGAUGCAGAAGUUGCUUGUCAAGUGUAGUUUCUUCCAUCUGUAUGCUUGACGCCGAGAUUGAGCCUCUAUGUAGCAUGCACUCUUACAGCUCUGGAGUGAACCUGUAGGAAUUAAUCGCCUGUGAUUUGCUAAUUUCCGUAGACAUUCGUCGACUGGUACUUGCUUCGUGGUUUGCUUAAUUUGCCUUGUGAGGCAAGCAUGUUGUCGUGAGCUUAACUAUCAACUGAUCUUGCUUGCAUUUUAUUAUCUUCUGUGUUGUAUCAGCAGGGAGAGAUUUCGACGUCCGAUUUGUCUGUUUUUCUUUUCUUUUACCUAUUCUCUACCUGGUUCCGAGCUCAGUAUCUAGAAGCUUAAUUAGUUCCGAGCUCCUGUAUGGUGAAACGCAGCUGGUGCUGGCGAUGCUGGGAAGGGCUUGUUUGCUAACGGAAACAGAAAUGACUACCAUAUUUUUUUUUAAGAAACAGCUCUUCAAAAGUGAGUAGCGGCCUAAAAAACUGAAGAUGUUUUUGAUGCAUUCAUGGCUGAGCUCCCAUGUAACUUCGAUCUGUUAUCUAAUUUCUGGCACGAUUAGCCAACUUGCUUCACUUAAAUUGUGUGGCGCUCAGUACUACUCCCUCUGUUCCGAAAUAUAAGUUGUUGGGGGCAAAUGUUCCGACCAGGUGAAAAUGGGCAAAUGGACGUUUAUACCCUCAAUUUAAAUUUUGAAUCAGGUCGCUGGAUUGUCUUCCACCUUUGCCCCCGCCCUCCACCUCCGCUUUCGCCCCCGCCCUCCACCUCCACCCAUGCCGUCCUAGGGCUCCUCCUGGCCUGUGCGCGCCCAGGUGGUGCUCUGCUGCUACCUGCUGAUGGAGGCGGGCUGCUCCUGUCCGCUGGUGGAGUCGAGUUGCUGCUCUACUGCCGGCUGCUGGUGAAGGCGAGCUGGUGCCCGUGCGCGCCCAGGGGAGCUGCUGCCGCUGAAGUACUCACUACACACAGGAGUUGUUGCCGCUGAAGUACUUGCCGCUGCGCAGGAGCUGCUCGCCUAGGUUCAUCUCCUCGCCCAGUACCCGCUCUGCAUCAAUUUGAUGAUCAUAAACAAUCUAAUGAUCAUAAACACUUGCUCAUCUGAGUAAACAAUUUGAUGAUCAUAAACCAGAGUAAUUCAAAGAGAUAUUUGCUGCCAAGAAUUCAAGAGAAGAGUAAUUCAAGAGAUAAUUGCUGCCAAUGAUUCAAGUGUUACUCCAUCAGUAUUUGUUCAGAUUAUUGUACAGUGUACAGACUUGGUACUGAAUUUGGCAUAACUUUCAAAUUAUUGUACCACUAAUAUGUGCAUAUAUAGAUGUACUGAUGGACUAGAAGAAUGCCAAAUGAAUAUACUUGGAGUAUACUGAUGGAGUAUGAAUUAACCUGUACCGUACAUAAAGCAAAAUUCAGAACAGUGUGCGUAUUACUUCAAAGCAAAAUACUCCUUUCAAACUUCUUGUAGUCCUUCAAAAAUGAAAUAGAAAAAGGAAAAUGUUUUAGUUUACUUUGAUUAACAGAAAAACUCCUACUCCAAAUUGCUACUUUAGGUUUAGCAAGUACUCCAGGUUUAGCAAGUUUCAAGUUUAUCUUGAUUAACAGUAGCAGAAAUUAGCGGCUAAUCCAGAAAUGUUUCAGUUUAGCAAGUUUCCAUUGAUUAUCUGCUAAUUAAUGGAGUAGUAUCCAUCACCUAAAAACUGUUGUAUCAGUAGAAAUAGUGCAAUACCUGUUGUUUCAUAAACUACAUUUCCAGAAACUGUUGUACUCCAGUUUGUGCAGACAUUUUAAGUACUUGGCUCUUGUUUCAGUACUUGGCUCCAUGGGCAGGAGAGAACCUGCAGCAUUUAACAACAUUUCAGGCAAAUCUUCGCUGGAAAAAAGAGAGUACUGCAUUAAAUCUGAUGAUAGCAUUUCAGACAUUUUCAAGCAAAUCAAAGCAUUUAACAGCUAGACUUUCACUGUAGCAUUUCUGGCAUUUUCAGACAUACUCCUAGACUUCACUGUAGCAUUUCAGGCAAAUCAUACUCCUAGUAGAUGGAGUCGAUGAAAAAGAGAGAACUUAUAACUAAGAGCUCCCAAUUCAAAAUCAGUCUUCAAAAUGUAGCAUUUCAUACUCCUAUUCUUGCAUUUUGAAGCAUUUAACAACAAACCAUACUCCUAGACUUACAUUUUGAAGCAUUUAAUAGCAAAUCAUACUUCAAAAUGGUUGUUGCCAUUGUAGCAUUUUGAAGCAUUUAACAGAAAAUCAUACUCCUAGACCUGUAAAAUGGUUGUUGUCACUGUAAAAAUCAUAGACUAAAAAUGCUGUCAUCUGGAUUACACAUGUUCUUUUUCUCAUUAAAGGAUCAUGAGAGACAACUACUGAAAAUAGACUAGAGUAAAAAAUAUAUGAGAACACACACACAACAAAAUAUGACUAGAGUAGUACAAUUCAGAUUACAUCAUCAUUUUCAUUUCAUCUUUGGCCAACAAUUUGAUGAGCAUUUGAUUCAACUGGCCAAUAAUUUGAUCUAACCAUUUGACAGAAUCUGAAUCUACUGAGAAGCAGCAACAGUAGUACCUGAAAGCAGCAGAAGAUGGUUAUCCCAGACCUCAACUGCACUCCACCUGCAGAAGAUGAAAUGGAUGAUGAUGAUGCAUGAGUACAAAUGGAUGAAGAUGCAGGAGUACAAAUGGAUGAAGAUGCAGAAGUACAACAUGCAGGUACAGCUACAUUGGCAUUUCAGAAAUUUCCAGUUAAUGAUGGAAGAAAAAAAUCAGUUAAAUUACAAAAUACAGUUCGAUGAUAUGAUCAUAUCAUCAUUUGAUCAUUUGAUGAUAUGAUCAUAUCAUCAUUUGAUCAUUUGAUGAUAUGAUGGUAUAAUCAUUUAAUCAUUUGAUGAUAUGAUCAUAUCAUCAUUUGAUCAUUUGCUCAUGUUUAUUUGACCAUUUUUCCUUGAUCAUUUGAUCAUUUUUUUCCUUUGUUGUAUUUCUUCGUGCAGGUGUUGAGCAAUAAGUUAAAAAAAGGGAUGGCCUCGAUGACAAGCAAAAGUAUGCUGCUUAUGUUGCAAUGCACACACUGUUGAUACGUCUCCAACGUAUCUAUAAUUAUUGAUUGUUCCAUGCUAUUAUAUUAUUUGUUUUGGAUGUUUAAUAGGCAUUAAUAUGCUAUUUUAUAUUAUUUUUGGGACUAACCUAUUAACCGAGGGCCCAACGCCAGUUUCUGUUUUUUUUGUGCCUAUUUUAGAGUUUUGCAGAACAGGAAUACCAAACGGAGUCCAAACUGAAUGAAACCUUCGCGAUGAUCUUUCUUGGAUCGAAAGCAAACUAGAAGACUUGGAGAUGAAGUCGGAGAUGCAACGAGGAAGCCACAAGGCAGGAGGGAGCGCCUAGGGGGGUAGGGCGCGCCCCCACCCUCGUGGGCCCCUUGUAACUCUCCUGACCUAGUUCCUUCACCUAUAUAUACUCUUAUACCCUGAAAGCAUCUAGGGGAGCCAUGAAACCACUUUUCCGCCGCCGCAACCUUCUGUACCCGUGAGAUUCCAUCUAGGGACCUUUUCCGGCGUCCUGCCGGAGGGGGAUUCGAUCACGGAGGGCUUCUACAUCAACACCAUUACCUCUCCGAUGAAGCGUGAGUAGUUUACCACAGACCUUCGGGUCCACGUUAUUAGCUAGAUGGCUUAUUCUCUCUCUUUGAUUCUCAAUACCAAGGUCUCCUUGAUGUUCUUAGAGAUCUAUUCGAUGUAAUAUUAUUUUGCGGUGUGUUUGCCGAGAUCAGAUGAAUUGUGGAUUUAUGAUCAAGAUUAUCUAUGACUAUUAUUUGGUUCUUCUCUAAAUUCUUAUAUGCAUGAUUUGAUAUCUUUGCAAGUCUCUCUGAAUUACCGGUUUAGUUUGGCCUACUAGAUUGAUCUUUCUUGCAAUGGGAGAAGUGCUUAGCUUUGGGUUCAAUCUUGCGGUGUCCUUUUCUAGUGACAGUAGGGGCAGCAAGGCACGCAUUGUAUUGUUGCCAUUGAGGAUAACAAGAUGGGGUUUUCAUCAUACUGCUUGAGUUAAUUCCUCUACAUCAUGUCAUCUUUCUUAAUGCAUUACUCCGUUCUUUAUGAACUUAAUACUCUAUAUGCAUGCUAGAUAGCAGUCGAUGUGUGGAGUAAUAGUAGUAGAUGCAGGCAGGAGUCAGUCUACUUGACACGGACAUGAUGCCUAUGUUCAUGAUCAUUGCCUUAGAUAUCGUCAUAACUAUGCACUUUUCUAUCAAUUGCUCGGCAGUAAUUUGUUCACCCACCAUAAUAUUUGCUAUCUUGAGAGAAGCCACUAGUGAAACCUAUGGCCCCGGGUCUCUUUUCCAUUAUAUUGAAUCUCGUUUACAUCUUGCUAGUUUCCAAUCUACUAUUUUACAAUCUUUACUUUCCAAUCUAUAAACCAAAAAUACCAAAAAUGUUUACUUUACCGUUUAUCUAUCUCUAUCACAUCUCACUUUUGCAAGUGACCGUGAAGGGAUUGACAACCCCUUCAUCGCGUUGGUUGCAAGUUGUUGGUUGUUUUUGGAGGUAUUCGGUGACUUGUGCGUUGUCUCCUACUGGAUUGAUACCUUGGUUCUCAAAACUGAGGGAAAUACUUACGAUACUUUGCUGCAUCACCCUUUCCUCUUCAAGGAAAAACCAACACAAGCUCAAGAGGUAGCAAUAAGGAUUUCUGGCGCCGUUGCCGGGGAGAUCUACGUCAAGUCAAGCCAUACCAAGUACCCAUCAUAAACUCUUCUCCCUUGCAUUACAUUAUUCGCCAUUCACCUCUUGUUUUCCUCUCCCCCACUUCUAAAAUGAUUUUCGAAAACCUUUGCUUUUUUCUUCACCUUUCUUCCGUUCGUCUCUUUUUGCUUGCUUUUGUGUGCUUGUGCGUUGGAUUGGUUGCUUUGUCACGAUGGCUCAAGAUAACACUAAAUUAUGUGACUUUUCCAAUACCAACAACAAUUAUUUUAUUAGCACUCUGAUUGCUCCUACUACUAAUGCCGAAUCUUGUGAAAUUAAUGCCGCUUUGUUGAAUCUUGUUAUGAAAGAUCAAUUUUCUGGCCUUCCUAGUGAAGAUGCCGCACCCCAUCUAAACAAUUUCGUUGAUUUGUGUGAUAUGCAAAAGAAGAAAGAUGUGGAUAAUGAUAUUGUUAAAUUGAAGCUAUUUCUGUUUUCGCUUAGAGAUCGUGCUAAAACUUGGUUCUCAUCUUUGCCUAAAGAUAGUAUUGAUUCAUGGAAUAAGUGUAAAGAUGAUUUCUUCUCUAAGUACUUUCCUCCCGCUAAGAUCAUCUCCCUUAGGAACGAUAUUAUGAAUUUUAAGCAACUUUAUCAUGAGCAUGUUGCACAAUCUUGGGAGAGGAUGAAAUUGAUGAUACGUAAUUGCCCUACACAUGGUCUGAAUUUGUGGAUGAUAAUACAAAUUUUUUAUGCUGGAUUGAAUUUUGCUUCUAGAAAUCUUUUAGAUUCGGCCGCGUGAGGCACUUUUAUGGAAAUCACUUUAGGAGAGGCUACUAAGCUCCUAGAUAAUAUUAUGGUUAAUUAUUCUCAAUGGCACACCAAAAGAUCCACUAGUAAAAAAGUUCAUGCGACUGAAGAGAUUAAUGUUUUGAGUGGAAAGAUGGAUGAACUUAUGAAAUUAUUUGCCAAUAAAAGUAUCUCUUCUGAUCCUAAUGAUAUGCCUUUGUCCACUUUUAUUGAGAAUAAUAAUAAAUCUUUUUUUUUCAUUCGAAUAAUAAUAAAUCUAUGGAUGUGAAUUUUGUUGGUAGGAACAAUUUUGGUAACAACGCGUAUAGAGGCAAUUUUAAUCCUAGGCCGUUUUCUAGUAAUUCCUCUAAUAAUUAUGGUAAUUCCUACAACAAUUCUUAUGGAAAUUUUAAUAAGUUUCCCUCUGAUUUUGAGAAUAGUUUUAAAGAAUUUAUGAGUUCGCAAAAAAAAUUCAAUGCUUUGAUUGAAGAAAAAUUGCUUAAGAUUGAUGAGUUGGCUAGGAACAUGGAUAGAAUUUUCUCUUGAUGUUGAUUCUUUAAAACUUAGACCUAUCCCACCUAAGCAUGAUAUCAAUGAGUCUCUCAAGCCCAUGAGAAUUUCCAUUGAUGAAUGCAAAGAAAGAACCGCUAAGAUGCGUGCUAAAAAAGAUUGGUUUUUAAAAGCGUAUUCUUCUAGUUUUCAUGAUAAUAAUGAUGAAGAUCUAAAAGUGAUUGAUGUGACUCCUAGUAAAUCUGUGUUUUCCAAUAUGAAUCUUGAUAAAGAUGGUACUGGAGAUGAGUCAACUUUAGUUAAAAGGCGUCCCAAUGAUUCGGAGUUUUUAGAUCUAGAUGCAAAAACUGAUAAAAGUGGGAUUAAAGAGGUUAAGACUUUAGGUAGCAAUGAACCCACUAUUUUGGAUUUCAAGGAAUUUAAUUAUGAUAAUUGUUCUUUAAUAGAUUGUAUUUCUUUGUUGCAAUCCGUGUUAAAUUCCCCUAAUGCUUAUAAUCAAAACAAAGCUUUUAGAAAACAUAUCGUUGUUGCUAUGAUGCAAUCUUUUGAAGAAAAGCUUGAACUAGAAGUUUCUAUCCCUAGAAAACUUUUAUGAUGAGUGGGAACCUACUAUUAAGAUUAAGAUUAAAGAUUAUGAAUGCUAUGCUUUGUGUGAUUUGGGUGCUAGUGUUUCCACGAUCCCAAAAACUUUGUGUGAUGUGCUAGGUUUCCGUGAAUUUGAUGAUUGUUCUUUAAAUUUGCAUCUUGCGGAUUCCACCAUUAAGAAACCUAUGUGAAGGAUUAAUGAUGUUAUUAUUGUUGCAAAUAGGAAUUAUGUGCCCAUAGAUUUCAUUGUUCUUGAUAUAGAUUGCAAUCCCACAUGUCCUAUUAUUCUUGGUAGACCUUUCCUUAGAACGAUUGGUGCAAUUAUUGACAUGAAAUAAGGAAACAUUAGGUUCCAAUUUCCGUUAAGGAAAGGCAUGGAAAAUCGUAGGAAGAAAAAUUAAAUUGCCUUAUGAAUCUAUUAUGAGAGCCACUUAUGGAUUGCAUACCAAGGAUGGCAAUACCUAGAUCCAUUCGUGUUUUUAUGCCUAGCUAGGGGCGUUAAACAAUAAUGCUUGUUGGGAGGCAACCGAAUUUUAUUUUUGUUCUUUACUUUUUGCUCCUGUUUAGUAACAAAUAAUUCAUCUAGACUCUGGUUAGAUGUGGUUUUAAGUUUUAAUUAGUGUUUGUGCCAAGUAGAACCUUUGGGAAGACUUGGGUGAAAGUUAAUUUGAUCUUGCUGAAAAAAACAGAAACUUUUCACUCACGAGAUUAGUUGUCAUUUUUAACAAAAGAGUGAUUUUAAGUUGAUUAUUUUUGCAGAAGAUUAAUAGACAAAUUACUCAAUUUCAUCAAUUUAUUUUAGAUUUUUUGGAGUUACAUAAGUAUUCAAGAGUUACAAAUUACUACAGACUGCUCUGUUUUUGACAGAUUCUGUUUUUCGCGUGUUGUUUGCUUAUUUUGAUGAAUCUAUGAGUAGUAUCGGGGGUAUGAACCAUGGAGAAGUUGGAAUACAGUAGAUAUUACACCAAUAUAAAUAAAGUGGUGAUUUAUUUUCUUAUACUAACGGAGCUCAUGAGAUUUUCUGUUGAGUUUUGUGUUGUGAAGUUUUCAAGUUUUGGGUAAGGAUUUGAUGGACUAUGGAAUAAGGAGUGGCAAGGGCCUAAUCUUGGGGAUGCCCAAGGCACCCCAAGGUAAAAUUCAAGGGCAACCAAAAUCCUAAGCUUGGGGAUGCCCCGGAAGGCAUCCCCUCUUUCGUCUUCGUCUAUCGGUAACUUUACUUGAGCCUAUAUUUUUAUUCACCACAUGAUAUGUGUUUUGCUUGGAGUGUCUUGUAUGAUUUGAGCCUUUGCUUUUUGGUUUACCACAAUCAUCCUUUCUGUACACACCUUUUCGAAGAUACAUGCAUGAAUCGUGAUUUAUUAGAAUGCUCUAUGUGCUUCACUUAUAUCUUUUGAGCUAGAAAAUAUUGCUCUAGUGCUUCACUUAUACUCCCUCCGUCCCAAAAUAAGUGACUCAACUUUGUACUAGGCUUAGUACAAAGUUAGUACAAACUUGAAUCACUUAUUUUGGGACAGAGGGAGUAUCUUUUUAGAGCAUGGAGGUGGUUUUAUUUUAUAGAAAUUGUUGAACUCUCAUGCUUCACUUAUAUUAUUCUAAGAGUCUUUUAGAACAUCAUGGUAAUUUGCUUUGGUUAUAAAAUUAGUCCUAAUAUGAUGGGCAUCCAAGAUGGAUAUAAUAAAAUCUUUCAUAUAAAGUGCGUUGAAUACUAUGAGAAGUUUGAUUCUUUAUGAUUGUUUUGAGAUAUGAAGAUGGUGAUAUUAGAGUCAUGCUAGUGGAGUAAUUUUGAAUUUGAGAGAUACUUGCAUUAAAGUUUGUGAUUCCCGUAGCAUGCACGUAUGGUGAACCGUUAUGUGAUGAAGUCAGAGCAUGAUUUAUUUAUUGAUUGUCUUCCUUAUGAGUGGAGGUCGGGAUCGCGUGAUGGUUAACUCCUACCAACCCUUCCCCUAGGAGCAUGCGUGUAGUACUUUGUUUUGAUGACUUGUAGAUUUUUGCAAUAAGUAUGUGAGUUAUUUAUGACUAAUGUUGAGUGCAUGGAUUAUACACACUCUCACCCUUCCACCAUUGCUAGCCUCUCUUGUGUCUCGCAACUUUUGCCGGUACCAUAACACCCACCAUUACCUUCCUAAAAACAGCCACCAUACCUACCUAUUAUGGCAUUUCCAUAGCCAUUCCGAGAUAUAUUGCCAUGCAACUUUCCAUCGUUCCGUUUAUUAUGACACACUUCAUCAUUGUCAUAUUGCUUUGCAUGAUCAUGUAGUUGACAUUGUAUUUGUGGCAAAGCCACCGUUCAUAAUUCUUUCAUACAUGUCACUCUUGAAUCAUUGCACAUCCCGGUACACCUCUGGAGGCAUUCACAUAGAGUCAUAUUUUGUUCUAAGUAUUGAGUUGUAAGUAAAUAAAAGUGUGAUCAUCUUCAUUAUUAGAGCAUUGUCCCAUGUGAGGAAAGGAUGAUGGAGACUAUGAUUCCCCCACAAGUCGGGAUGAGACCCCGGACGAAAAAUAAAAUAAAAAAAGAGGCCAUAAAAAAGGAGAAGUCACAAAUAAAAAAUAAAAAAGAGAGAAAAAGAGAGAAGGGGCAAUGUUAUUAUCCUUUUUCCACACGCGUGCUUCAAAGUAGCACCCUUAUCUUCAUGAUAGAGAGUCUCCUAUGUUGUCACUUUCAUAUACUAGUGGGAAUUUUCAUUACAGAACUUGGCUUGUAUAUUAAAUGAUGGGCUUCCUCAAAGUGCCGUAGGUCUUCUUGAGCAAGCAAGUUGGAUGCACACCCACUUAGUUUCUUUUUGAACUUUCAUACACUUAUAGCUCUAGUGCAUCCGUUGCAUGGCAAUCCCUACUCACUCACAUUGAUAUCUAUUGAUGGGCAUCUCCAUAGCCCGUUGAUAUGCCUAGUUGAUGUGAGACUAUCUUCUCCUUUUUGUCUUCUCCACAACCACCAUUCUAUUCCACUUAUAGUGGCUCAUGCUCAUGUAUUGCAUGAAGAUUGAAAAAGUUUGAAAAUACUAAAGUAUGAAACAAUUGCUUGGCUAAAACCGGGGUUGUGCAUGAUUUAAAUAUUUUGUGUGAUGAAGAUAGAGCAUAGCCUGAAUAUAUGAUUUUGUAGGGUUAGCUUUCUUUCGCCAUGUUAUUUUAAGAAGACGUGAUUGCUUUGUUAGUAUACUUGAAGUAUUAUUGUUUUUAUGUCAAUAUUAAACUUUUGUCUUGAAUCUUUCGGAUCUGAACAUUCAUGCCAAAAUAAAGAAAAUUAUAUGGAUAAAUAUGUUAGGUAGCAUACCACAUCAAAAAUUCUGUUUUUUAUCAUUUACCUACUCGAGGACGAGCAUGAAUUAAGCUUGGGGAUGCUUGAUACGUCUACAACGUAUCUAUAAUUUUUGAUUGUUCCAUGCUAUUAUAUUAUCUGUUUUGGAUGUUUAAUAGGCAUUAAUAUGCUAUUUUAUAUUAUUUUUGGGACUAACCUAUUAACCGAGGGCCCAGUGCCAGUUUCUUUUUUGCCUAUUUUAGAGUUUUGCAAAAAAGGAAUACCAAACGGGGUCCAAACGGGACGAAACCUUCACGAUGAUCUUUCUUGGACCGAAAGCAAACCAGAAGACUUGGAGAUGCAAUGAGGAAGCCACGAGGCAGGAGGGCGUGCCCAGGGGGGUAGGGCGCACCCCCACCCCUCAUGGGCCCCUUGUAGCUCUCCUGACCUAGUUCCUUCGCCUAUAUAUACUCUUAUACCCUGAAAACAUCCAGGAGAGCCACGAAACCACUUUUCCACCACUGCUACGUCUUGAGCUUGCGUUGGUUUUCCUUGAAGAGGAAAGGGUGAUGCAGCAAUAGUAGCAUAAGUAUUUCCCUUAGUUUUUGAGAACCAAGGUAUCAAUCCAGUAGGAGGCUCCUCAAAAGUCCCACUGAUAGAGGCGGAGGUGUCCCGUCUUUCGAUGAGAUGAUGGAUUUCGCUUUGGUGGAAGUCGACUUUGACGAUCCGACUACGAACGUGCGAGGACGUCGCGCCUUAGCAAUCGCUAAACCAACUCCGAGAGGUUAUUGACCACGCCGGAGCACGAUCAACCUGACCACGAGGGUCUGUUUCCUGCGAGCAAACGAAGAACAAGCAAGAAACUGAGAUUGCAAUCUGGAUAUUGCGAAUAUAAGAUGAAAGCUUUAUUGAUCAAGGUGGGGUUCUGUGACGCCUUUGUCUAGUCGUCGAACACAAACGAAGUACGCGAAGUUGCAGCUAUGGCGAACUUUUAAUCUAAACAAAACCCAAAGUCUAAACGAUGCCCUAAGGGCUGUAUAUAUGGAGGAAGAGGGGGGGAAUUUCGUGGCCCUUGGUGGAGGGGUCCGAAAUCAACCCUAUCUCUUGUUUCCCCACACAUACGGACUCUAAAAAUAGCCUAUACUUAUGUAUUUCGAAAUUACAUGGGCCUGGCCCAAUAAUAAGGUGACGCAACACCUAAAAUAGCCUCGGGACGAAAUUUAUGAAGUGGCAACUUGUAUAUUUCGUCCAAGGCUUCAUGCACCCAUUAUGGUGGCUUCAAAGUCCUGAAAUCAUCACUUGUAACUCCGUUCUUGUUCCCCUUGCGCAUGCCAUCAUCUCCAUGCUUGUUCUUGCUCCAAUGUUCAUCCUUCUCCAAGCUAGGCCCUUCAUUUGUAAGCAAAACAAAUGUAUCCAAUUUAGGCAGCAUCAUAUUCUCAUGAACAUUAGAAUCAUUACCAAGAAACGAAAGUACCUGGUAAUUUAGUUGGCGUGCACGAGCUCUAGUAAUUGGUCCAGUAUGUAUAGCAGCAGGGGAUGUGGGUGUAACAAUUGUAUUGAUGUCCUCAUCAUCCUCCCCUUCUUGAAAUGAAGUCGUCCUCGACGGAAGUUCAUCUUCCUCACCCAAAUAAGGCUUCAAAUCUGCAAUGUUAAAAGUGGGACUAACCCCAAAAUCUGCAGGCAGCUCCAGUUUAUAUGCAUUAUCAUUUAUUUUCUCUAACACCUUAAAGGGACCAUUAGCACGUGGCAUUAACUUUGAUUUGCGCAAAUCAGGAAAUCUAUCCUUACGCAAAUGUAACCAAACAAGAUCUCCAGGUGCAAACACAACAUGUUUUCUACCCUUAUCUCCAGCAAGUUUAUAUUUAGCAUUCAUACGCUCAAUGUUUUCCUUAGUUAACUCAUGCAUUUUUAAAAUCAAUUCAGCACGUUGUUUAGCAUCAAAAUUAACCUUCUCCGAAGAUGGAAGAGGCAACAAAUCAAUAGGUGCACGAGGUAGGAAACCAUACACAACUUCAAAAGGGCACAUCUUAGUAGUAGAAUGCAAUGAACGAUUAUAAGCAAAUUCAAUAUGAGGCAAGCAUUCCUCCCACAUUUUCUUAUUAUUCUUCAAAAUAGCCCUAAGCAUAGUAGACAACGUUCUAUUGACUACUUCAGUUUGUCCAUCAGUUUGGGGGUGACAAGUAGUACUAAAAAGCAGUUUAGUCCCCAACUUAGCCCAUAAACAUCUCCAAAAGUGGCUAAGAAAUUUAGUAUCACGAUCUGAAACAAUAGUAUUUGGCACACCAUGCAAGCGAAUAAUUUCACGAAAGAACAAAUCAGCAACAUUAACGGCAUCAUCACUUUUAUGACAUGGUAUAAAGUGUGCCAUUUUCGAGAAUCUAUCCACGACAACAAAUAUGCUAUCCCUCCCCUUCUUUGUUCGAGGUAAACCUAAAACAAAGUCCAUAGAUAUAUCCUCCCAAGGAACACUAGGUACAGGCAAAGGCAUAUAUAAACCAUGAGGAUUGAGUCGUGACUUAGCUUUUUGACAUGUAGUGCAGCGAGCAAUAAAACGCUCAACAUCCCGUCUCAUCUUUGGCCAAAAGAAAUGUGUAGCAAGUACGUCCUCCAUCUUCUUCACGCCAAAGUGUCCCAUUAAUCCUCCUCCAUGCGCCCCCUGCAACAACAAAAGACGAACGGAGCUAGCUGGAAUGCAUAGCUUGUUAGCACGAAACACAAAUCCAUCGUUAACAACAAACUUGUUCCACAUUCUUCCUUCUUUACAAUUCUGCAUUACAUCUUUAAAAUCAGCAUCAUGCACAUAUUGAUCUUUGAUGGUCUCCAAACCAAAUAUUUUGAAGUCAAGUUGUGAAAGCAUAGUAUAGCGACGAGACAAUGCAUCAGCAAUAACAUUUUCUUUUCCCUUCUUGUGUUUAAUGACAUAAGGGAAAGUCUCAAUGAAUUCAACCCAUUUAGCAUGUCUACGAUUCAGUUUAGCUUGACUUUUAAUAUGUUUCAAAGAUUCAUGAUCAGAAUGUAUAACAAAUUCUUUGGGCCAUAAAUAAUGUUGCCAUGUUUCUAAAGUCCGAACAAGAGCAUAUAAUUCUUUAUCAUAAGUAGAAUAAUUCAGACUAGGCCCACUCAAUUUUUCAGAAAAGUAUGCAACAGGUUUGCCAUCUUGUAAUAACACACCUCCUAAUCCAAUUCCACUAGCAUCACAUUCAAGCUCAAAGUCUUAUUAAAAUCAGGAAGUUGAAGUAAAGGAGCAUGUGUCAACUUAUCUUUCAAUACCAUGAAGGCUUCUUCCUGUGCGGUACCCCAAAGAAAAGGCACAUCUUUCUUUGUAAGCUCAUUGAGAGGUGCAGCAAUGGUGCUGAAAUCUCUCACAAAACGCCUAUAGAAUCCAGCGAGGCCAAGAAAACUCCUCACUUGUGUGACCGUUUUGGGUUGCGGCCAACUCUCAAUAGCUUCAAUCUUGGCUUUAUCAACUUCAAUUCCCUGUGGAGUAACAACAUAGCCAAGAAAAGAUACUCGGUCGGUGCAAAAGGUGCACUUCCCAAGGUUACCAAACAAACGUGCAUCACGUAGAGCAAUAAAAACAGCACGUAAAUGUUCCAAAUGUUCUUCCAAAGAUCUGCUAUAAAUCAAUAUGUCAUCAAAGUAAACUACCACAAAUCGUCCAAUGAAAGCACGUAAAACUUCGUUCAUUAAUCUCAUGAAAGUACUAGGUGCAUUAGUUAACCCAAAAGGCAUGACUAACCACUCAUAUAAUCCAAACUUAGUUUUAAAUGUUGUUUUCCAUUCAUCUCCCAAUUUCAUACGAAUUUGAUGGUAGCCACUACGCAAAUCAACUUUGGAGAAUAUUGUAGAGCCACUCAAUUCAUCAAGCAUAUCAUCUAGCCUAGGAAUAGGAUGACGAUAACGAAUAGUAAUAUUAUUAAUGCCUCUACAAUCAACACACAUACGUGAUGUGCCAUCCUUUUUCGGCACUAGAAUAAUAGGAACAGCACAAGGACUAAGGGAUUCGCGUAUAUAACCUUUGUCGAGAAGCUCUUGUAAUUGACGCAUAAUCUCCUUCGUCUCCUCUGGAUUGGUACGGUAUGGUGCACGGUUUGGCAGUGAAGCACCGGGAAUUAAGUCAAUCUGAUGCUCAAUCCCUCGAAUAGGCGGUAAUCCCGGUGGCACGUCUUGUGGAAAAACGUCAGCGAACUCCUGCAAAAUGUUAGUGACAGCAGGAGGCAAAGAGGAAGGCACGUCCUCGAAUGAAAAUAAUGCCUCUUUGCACACAAAAGCAUAGCAAACAGAUUUGCUGAAAUCUAGCUCAUCAAUAUCAGAUUUGGUGGCAAAUAAACAUGCACUUUUCAAUUUAAUUUCAGAAGCAACACUAGAUGGUUUAUUAUUAGGCUUCAUUUGUUGCUCAAAUUCUUUUGCCACAAUCUGAUUUUCACUCUUAUUCUUCUCCUGUUGUGCUUUAUUAGCUCUAUUAAUAUCAUCUUUCAAAAUGGAAUCAGGAGUCAUAGGAAGCAAUGUAAUAUUUUUAUCCUUAUGAACAAGAGUAUAGUGAUUGUUUCUACCAUGGUGUACAGAAUUUUUAUCAAAUUGCCAUGGUCUACCAAGUAAUAAGGAACAUGCUUGCAUAGGUACCACAUCACAAUCAACAUAAUCAGCAUAUGUAGGGAUACUAAAAUGCACACGAACAGUACGUGUUACCUUAACCUUGCCGCUGUUGUUGAACCAUUGGAUGUAGUAAGGAUGUGGAUGUGGUCUUGUGGUGAGAGAAAGCUUCUCCACCAUCUCCAUGCUAGCCAAGUUGUUGCAGCUCCCUCCGUCUAUUAUGACGCGCACAGAACGUUCCUUCACAACUCCCUUGGUAUGGAACAAAUUGUGCCUCUGAUUUUGCUCAGCUUGUGUGACCUGCACACUCAAAACACGUUGAGCAACUGAACAUUCAUACCUGUCAGCGUCUUCAGGAGCCAUGUAUUGCGUCUCAUGAUCAGAAUCAUCUCCACCAUGUUCUUCACGUGUAAUAAGAGCCAAUGUCUCCUCAUCAUAGUCACUAGCGGACUCAUAUCCACCAUCCGCGGUAGCAAUCAUCACACGCGGAGAUUUGCAUUCCCUCGCAUAAUGACCUCCUCCCUUACAACGACGACAAAUAAUAUCACUUGUGUGCCCUGUUGAUGCCAUGGAAGAAGAAGAACGCUGUGCAGGACCCGCAGGUGCGCUCUUGGAAGAUAAUGGUGGUUGUGCCUGUUUUCUUGUAUCACGGCUGGAGGUGGCACUGGAUGGAGGUGCUGGUGCAGUUGAAGUAGAAGAUGCACGUGGUGUCCAUGAUGAAGGUCGGCCUGCAGAAAAGUUAGUUUGCCCCAAUGCUUGUCGAUCCUGCACUUCACGUUCAGCUUUACAAGCAAGAUGGAAUAAACGAGUGAUAUUAGUAUACUCCUUAUAGUCUAGAAUGGUCUGAAUCUCUCUAUUUAAUCCACCCAGAAAACGUGCAACCAUAGCUUCAUUCUCCUCAACAAUACCACAUCUAAUCAUGCCAGUUUGUAAUUCCUGAUAAUAUUCUUCUACAGAAUUUUUCCCUUGUCUUAAACGCUGCAAUUUUUGAAGCAAUUCACGUUGAUAAUAUGGUGGAACCCAACGCGUACGCAUAGCAGUUUUCAAAGCAGCCCAAGUAGUUGGAAUAGGAUAUAAUCUACAAUGUUCAGACCACCAUACACAUGCAAAACUAGUGAAAGCACAAACAGCAGCAGCAACUCGUCUCUCCUCAGGAUAUUGUAAACAUGUAAAUCGUUGUUCAGUUUCUAACUCCCAAGUAAGAUAUAUAUCAGGAACAUAUCUACCCUCAAAUGGUGGAAUAUUCAAUUUCAGUUUAGGAAUAUGGACAUCAUCUCGUACCUGAGGUGGUGGUGCAGGCCUACCAUUACGAAUAUAUACCUGAGGUCGACCUGCUGGUGGUGGUGCUGGUGGCUACUCGUAGAUCUGAUUUUGAUCAACCUCAUCCUCAUAAUCGCCCGCAUACUCAUCAUCCUCCUGGGUACCAGCAACAGCAGUAGCAGGAGCCAGAGAAGUAUCAACAGCAGCACCAACAGUUUGGCCAAACGCAAGAGGAACACGGCUCGCUCGGCGAAGGUCUAUUUCGCGACGUGGAGGUAGUCGUUGUUGUUGUUGUUGGAGAGGUGCGUUAGGUGCAGCGGGUGGUGGUGGUGGAAGACGCGCGAGCAAUUCAUUAAAUCUGUUAUCAAGCUUUGUUUCGAACGUCUUCUCAAGGCCAGUGAUCUUCUCCAUGGCCUCUUCAAAAUUGUUCAGCACAUCUUGCACCUGUUCAGUCAUCAUUUGCUGAAACUUAUCAUGAAGCUCCUUGUUCGAUAAAUUCUCCCAGUCAAUCUCGUCGGCUUGUGAUCCUGGCAUGGUUAGCAGCAAUAGAAACACACAAGAAUAUGAUCCUACAGACUACGAACAAGUGGUGGUGGUGGGUGUCACAAAUCCGUCAAGCAAAACUCAAAUUCUUACCAGUUCUUACCCAGCAACAGGCGGUGAUCGGCAACCGUUGUAGUCACAACUCUCAAAGCUUGGAUAGAGCGAUUACCAGGGAGAGUCAAACGCACGACGUAGAUGUAUGUGGAGCUGGGAAGGCUUAUACUAUGGUAGCAAAAAGGGUCAGCAAUAAUCAAUUCAGAGAUGCAAAGUUGAAUAAACGCUCAACGACGGUACUGUGCUGGUCCUAGGCUAGACUGUGCUAGCGACGCGAGCCUAGAACACCAACAAAAUCACGGGCGGCACGUAAACAAGGGAAAAGCACACUCUGAAAAAAAAAAUUCGCUCUUUUUUUUGCGCUCUUUUUUUUUGCGCUGCUUUUUUUUUGCGAAAAAUCACUAUAAUGGCGAGUGUCUGAAAACUCUUCCUAGCUCAAACUGACAGGAUGGGCACGAAAUUUUUCGACCAAUUUUUUUUUUCGACUGCCCGGACCCAAAAACUGGAAACGGGUCAAAAAAAACUUCCUAUAAUGGCACCUGUCUCAAAACACUCAGAAACACCUAAAAAUAGGAUAGCCAGAAUUUUUUUUCGAAAAACGCGUUUUCGAAAAAUUUUGGGCCUAAACGGAGCGUGGCUACCCGACUCCGGCAAGGAAACACGAAUCGGAAUCUAGAUGGAUCCCGAAAACAAACCUAAUAAGCAAGGAACUCGGAUUGGUGGUGGAUAUAUGGUGGUGGUAUAUGGCAGCGGUGGUGGUAGUGGUGGUAGUAUAUGGAUAUGGAUCAGUGGUGGUAUAUGGGCACGGAUUGGUGGUGGUAUAUGGAUACGGAUUCGGAGCGGUGGUGGUAGAUGGCAGGGGCGAUGAUGAUGGUGCGGCGGCGGCGUGACAACUUAUGACCAGAACUCGAAACUCUAAAAGACUAGACUCUAAGACCAACAACUAGACCGACGAUGCAACCGCAAAUUCAACAAAGCAAAACCCUAAAAAGAUUAUGCAAAGGCUCAGAUUGGUUCGGAUAUGAUGAACUAACCCUAAUUUUUUUUUGUGUGGCUUUUUCGUGGACUGUAGGUAUGAAGAACAGACUCGAUCUAAACUACGAAAAACUGUAAAAUCUCACCGAGCAACCUGGAAAUCUGAUACCACUUGAUGGAGGCGGAGGUGUCCCGUCUUUCGAUGAGAUGAUGGUUUUCGCUUUGGUGGAAGUCGACUUUGACGAUCCGACUACGAAGGUGCGAGGACGUCGCGCCUUAGCAAUCGCUAAACCAACUCCAAGAGGUUAUUGACCACGCCGGAGCACGAUCAACCUGACCACGAGGGUCUGUUUCCUGCGAGCAAACGAAGAACAAGCAAGAAACUGAGAUUGCAAUCUGGAUAUUGCGAAUAUAAGAUGAAAGCUUUAUUGAUCAAGGUGGGGUUCUGUGACGCCUUUGUCUGGUCGUUGAACACAAACGAAGUACGCGAAGUUGCAGCUAUGGCGAACUUUUAAUCUAAACAAAACCCAAAGUCUAAACGAUGCCCUAAUGGCUGUAUAUAUGGAGGAAGAGGGGGGGAAUUUCGUGGCCCUUGGUGGAGGGGUCCGAAAUCAACCCUAUCUCUUGUUUCCCCACACAUACGAACUCUAAAAAUAGCCUAUACUUAUGUAUUUCGAAAUUACAUGGGCCUGGCCCAAUAAUAAGGUGACGCAGCACCUAAAAUAGCCUCGGGACAAAAUUUAUGAAGUGGCAUCUUGUAUAUUUCGUCCAAGGCUUCAUGCACCCAUUAUGGUGGCUUCAAAGUCCUGAAAUCAUCACUUGUAACUCCGUUCUUGUUCCCCUUGCGCAUGCCAUCAUCUCCAUGCUUGUUCUUGCUCCAAUGUUCAUCCUUCUCCAAGCUAGGCCCUUCAUUUGUAAGCAAAACAAAUGUAUCCAAUUUAGGCAGCAUCAUAUUCUCAUGAACAUUAGAAUCAUUACCAAGAAACGAAAGUACCUGGUAAUUUAGUUGGCGUGCACGAGCUCUAGUAAUUGGUCCAGUAUGUAUAGCAGCAGGGGCUGUGGGUGUAACAAUUGUAUUGAUGUCCUCAUCACCCACACACCUACACAAACAAACAAAGAACUCACAACCAACGCAAUAAAGGGGUUGUCAAUCCCUUCACGGCCACUUGCGAAAGUGAGAUCUGAUAGAGAUAGUAUGAUAAGAUAAAUAUAUUUUUGGUAUUUUAUAAUAUAGAUGCAAAAAGUAAAGAUGCAAAUAAAAGUAGAUUGAAAACUUACAUGAUAAAAGAUAGACCCGGGGGCCAUAGGUUUCACUAGUGGCUUCUCUCAAGUAUUAAGGUGGGUGAACAAAAUACUAUCGAGCAAUUGAUAGAAAAGCGAAUAAUUAUGAGAUUAUCUAGGCAUGAUCAUGUAUAUAGGCAUCAUGUCCGUGACAAGUAGACCGACUCCUGCCUGCAUCUACUACUAUUACUCCACACAUCGACUGCUAUCCAGCAUGCAUGUAGAGUAUUAAGUUCAUAAGAACAGAGUAACACAUUAAGAAAGAUGACAUGAUGUAGAGGGAUAAACUCAAGCAAUAUGAAAUAAACCCCAUCUUUUUAUCCUUGAUGGCAACAAUAUAAUACGUGCCUUGCAACCCUUUCUCUCACUGGGUAAGGACACCGCAAGAUUGAACCCAAAGCUAAGCAUUUCUCCCAUGGCAAGAAAGAUCAAUCUAGUAGGCCAAACCAAACUGAUAAUUUGAAGAGACUUGCAAAGAUAACUCAAUCAUACAUAAAAGAAUUCAGAGAAGAUUCAAAUAUUUCUCAUAGAAAAACUUGAUCAUAAACCCAUAAUUCAUCGGAUCUCGACAAACACACCGCAAAAAGAGUUUACAUCGAAUAGAUCUCCACAAGAGAGGGGGAGAACAUUGUAUUGAGAUCUAAAAAGAGAGAAGAAGCCAACUAGCUAAUAACUAUGGACCUGAAGGUCUGUGGUAAACUACUCACAACUCAUCGGAGGGGCUAUGGUGUUGAUGUACAAGCCCUCCAUGGUCGAUUCUCCCUCCGGUGGAGCGCCGACGAAGGCUCCAAGAUGGGAUCUCGUGGAUACAGAAGGUUACAACGGUGGAAAUUGUGUUUCGGUUGUUCCUUGGAUGUUUUCGGGGUACGCAGGUAUAUAUAGGAGGAAGAAGUACGUCGGUGGCCGCUCGAGGGGCCCAGGAGACAGGGGCGCGCCCAGGAGGGGUGGGUGCGCCCUCCUAUCUCCUAGCCGCCUCGAUUGCUUCUUGACUUGCACUCCAAGUCCUCUGGAUCACGUUCGUUCCAAAAGUCACGCUCCCUAAGGUUUCAUUCCGUUUGGACUCCGUUUGAUAUUCCUUUUCUUCGAAAUACUGAAAUAGGCAAAAAAACAGCAAUACGGGCUGGGCCUCCGGUUAGUAGGUUAGUCCCAAAAAUGAUAAAAAUGUGUAAAAGAAAGCCCAUAAACAUCCAAAAGGGGUAAUAUAAUAGCAUGAAACAAUAAAAAAUUAUAGAUAUGUUGGAGAUGUAUCAAGCAUCCCCAAGCUUAACUCCCGCUCGUCCUCGAGUAGGUAAAUGAUAAAAACAGAAUUUUUGAUGUGGAAUGGUACCUAGCAUAAUUCUCAAUGUAAUUUUCUUUAUUGUGGCAUGAUUGUUCAGAUCCAAAUGAUUCAAGAUAAAAGCUUAUAAAACAUAAUAAUAAUAAUAUUUCGAAGCAUACUAAUAAAUAAUCAUGUCCUAUCAAAAUAGCAUAGCCAAAGAAAGCUUAUCCCUACAAAAUCAUAUAGUUAGGCCAUGCUUCAUUUUCAUUACACAAAAUACUCCCAUCAUGUACAACCCCGAUGGCGAGCCAAGCAAUUGGUUCAUACUUUUUAACGCGCUUCAGCUUUUUUCAACUCUUACGCAAUACAUGAACACAAGCCAUGGACAUAGCACUAUGGUGGUAUAUGGUGGUGGUUGUAAGGACAAACAAGGAGAAGAUAGUCUCACAUCAACUAGGCGUAUCAAUGGGCUAUGGAGAUGCCCAUUAAUAGAUAUCAAUGUGAGUGAGUAGGGAUUGCCAUGCAACGGCUGCACUAGAGCUAUAAAUAUAUGAAAGCUCGACAAAAGAAACUAAGUGGGUGUGCAUCCAACUCGCUUGCUCACGAAGACCUAGGGCAUUUUGAGGAAGCCCAUCAUUGGACUAUACAAGCCAAGUUCUAUAAUGAAAAAUUCCCACUAGUAUAUGAAAGUGACAACAUAGAAGACUCUCUAUCAUGAAGAUCAUGGUGCUACUUUGAAGCACAAGUGUGGAAAAGAGAUAGUAGCAAAUGUCCCUUCUCUCUUUUUCUCUCAUUUUUUUCUUUUUUUCUUUUUUUUUCUUUUUUUUUCUUCUUUUUUUUCUUUGGCCUUUCUAUUUUUUUUUCUUUUUGGCCUUUCUCCUUUUUUUUCUUUUUGUAAAGUCCGAAGUCUCAUCCCGACUUGUGGGGGAAUCAUAGUCUUCAUCAUCCUUUUCUCACUGGGACAAUGCUCUAAUAAUGAAGAUCAUCACACUUUUAUUGAUUUACAACUCAAGAAUUACAACUCAAAGCUAGAACAAGAUAUGACUCUAUAUGAAUGCCUCCGGCGGUGUACCGGGGUAUGCAAUGAAUCAAGAGCGACAUGUAUGAAAAUUAUGAAGGUGGCUUUACCACAAAUACGAUGUCAACUACAUGAUCAUGCAAAGAGCAAUAUGACAAUGAUGGAGCGUGUCAUAAUAAACGGAACAGUGGAAAGUUGCAUGGCAAUUAAUCUCGGAAUGGCUAUGGAAAUGCCAUAAUAGGUAGGUAUGGUGGCUGUUUGGAGGAUGGGUGCAUGUUACCGGCGAAAGUUGUGCGGUAUAAUAGAGGCUAGCAAAGUGGAAGGAUGAGUGUGAGUAUAUCCAUGGACUCACAUUAGUCAUAAAGAACUCAUAUACUUAUUGCAAAAGUCUACUUAGCCCUCGAAGCAAAGUACUACUAUGCAUGCCCCUAGAGGGAUAGAUUUGUAGGAAAAGACCAUCGCUCGCCCCCGACUGCCACUCAUAAGGAAGACACUCAAAAGAGCACCUCAUGCAACAAAUUUGUCACACAACUUUUACCAUAGGUGCAUGCUACGGGACUUGCCAACUUCAACAAAAGUAUUUCUCAAUUUCAUAAUUACCCACUAGCAUGACUCUAACACUACUACCUUUAUAUCUCAAAACAAUUAUCAAGCAUCAAAUUGAUCCUAGUGUUUAAUGCACUUUCUAUGAUAGUUUUUAUUAUACCCAACUUGGAUGCUCAUCAUUCUAAGACCAAAUUCAUAACCAUAGCAAAUACCAUGCUAUUAUAAGAGACUCUCAAAAUAAUAUAAGUGAAGCAUGAGAUACUAGCAAUUUCUAUAAAAUUAAGCCACCGCCGUGCUCUAAAAGAUAUAAAUGAAGCACUAGAGCAAAAACUAUCUAGCUCAAAAGAUAUAAGUGAAGCACAUAGAGUAUUCUCAUAAAUUCUAAUCAAGGAGGCUUGUCCCAAAAGGUGUGUACAUAAGUAUGAUUGUGGUAAACUAAAAAUCAAAUACUAAUAUAAUACACGACGCUCCAAGCAAAACACAUAUCAUGUGGCGAUUAAAAAUAUAGCUCCAAGUAAAGUUACCAAUGAACGAAGACGAAAGAGGGGAUGCCUUCCGGGGGCAUCCCCAAGCUUAGGAUUUUGGCUACUCCUGAAUAUAUUGGGGUGCCUUGGGAAUCCCCAAGCUUAGGCUUUUGCCACCCUUUAUUCCAUAGUCCAUCAAAGCUUUACCCAAAACUUGAAAACUUCACAACACAAAACUCAACAGGAAAUCUCAUAAGCUCCGUUAGUGAAAGAAAACAAAACCACCACAUAAGGUACUGCAAUGAACUCAUUAUUUAUUUAUUUUGGUGUUAAACCUACUGUAUUCCAAGUUCUAUAUGGUUCAUACCACUUAAUACUAGCCAUAGAUGCAUCAAAAUAAGCAAACAACACACGAAAAACAGAAUCUGUCAAAAACAGAACAGUCUGAAGAAAUCUGUAACUAAUGCAAACUUCUGUAACUCUAAAAAUCCUACUAAAAUAGGAAGUCCUGAAAAUUUUGUUUAUUAAUCAUCAGCAAAAAGAAUCAAUGCAAAAGAACGUUUCUAUGAUUUAUUGAUUUUUUUCUCGUGAGCGCAAAGUUUCUGUUUUUCAGCAGAAUCAAAUCAACUAUCAUCAUAGGUUAUCCUAUAGGUUCUACUUGGCACAAACACUAAUUAAAGCAUGAAAAAACAUCUAAACAUAAAGUAGAUGCAAAAUUUAUUACUAAACAGGAACAAAAACAAAAAACAUAAAGAAAAUUGGGUUGCCUCCCAACUAGCGCUAUCGUUUAACGCCCCUAGCUAGGCAUAAAAGCGAAGAUAGAUCUAAUUAGUGCCAUCUUUGGCACUCAAUUCCUCAAUAGAGCACUUAUGAUCUUUAGGGGUUUCUCCCUUUUUAGUAAUGAUUAAACCUUUAGGUAAAAAUUCAAGAAAUUCGUUUGUAGCAAAAGGUUCCUUAACGAUAGAGACACAAUUGGGAUGAACACUUAUGGAUUUGAGAUCCGUGCCCCCCUUACUAGAAGAUUCACCCUUAUUUUUAGGAACAUAAAUAAACUUGGAAGUUUUGGUAGGAGGUUUUGGAGUGUUUUUCAUGGAAGAAAAUGCGGAACCUAAGUUGGUAAUGAUAUCCUCAAGUUUACCGAUUCUUGCAGAAUCUAGAUCUAUUUUUUCAUUAAAUAUAUGUUCUUUCUCUUUAAGAUUUUUCAAAGUAACUCCAACCCUAGAUCCAUAUUGGGUAAUGUGAUUAUGAAUCUUUUUAUCCAAAUUUUCAAUCAACUCAAUAGUUGCAACUUUAUUUUCAAUAAUAUCAAGCCGUUGCAUCACAUGUUCUAAAGUUAAAACCGUUCCAUUAACCAAAAGAGGUGGUGGGCCAAACAAAUCUAACAUAGCAUUAUAAGAAUCAAACAAAUGGCUACUCAAGAAAUCCCCUCCUGUAACGGUAUCAAGAACACAUCUAUUCCAAGGAGUAAUACCUACAUAAAAAUUGCGAAGAAGAACAAAAUUAGAAAGCUUCCUAGUAGAUCUAUUUUGAGCAUUGCAAAUUCUAUGCCAAGCAUCUUUUAAAUUUUCUCCCUCCCUUUGUUUAAAAUUGAGAAUUUCAUGUUCGGGAGUAAUAACAAGGAUAGGAGGACUAGCCAUAACGACAAGGUAAACAAUCUAACACAUGAGCAAACAAAAAAAGGCAAGCGAAAAAGAGAGGAGAAGAUUGGGAAAGAGAGGGCAAAUAAAAUGGCAAGGGUGAAGUGGGGGAGAGGAAAACGAGAGGCAAAUGGCAAAUAAUGUAAAUGCGAGGGAGAUGAGUUUGUGAUGGGUACUUGGUAUGUCUUGACUUGAGCGAAGACCUCCCCGACAACGGCACCAGAAAUCCUUCUUGCUACAUCUUGAGCUUGCGUUGGUUUUCCUUGAAGAGGAAAGUGUGAUGCAGCAAUAGUAGCGUAAGUAUUUCCCCCAGUUUUUGAGAACCAAGGUAUCAAUCCAGUAGGAGGCUCGUCAAAAGUCCCAUGCAUCUACACAAACAAACAAAUAACUCACAACCAACGCAAUAAAGGGGUUGUCAAUCCCUUCAAGGCCACUUGCAAAAGUGAGAUCUGAUAGAGAUAGUAUGAUAAGAUAAAUAUAUUUUUGGUAUUUUAGAAUAUAGAUGCGAAAAGUAAAGAUGCAAAUAAAAGUAGAUUGAAAGAUUAUAUGAUAAAAGAUAGACCCGGGGGCCAUAGGUUUCACUAGUGGCUUCUCUCAAGAUAGCAUAAGUAUUACGGUGGGUGAACAAAUUACUGUCGAGCAAUUGAUAGAAAAGCGAAUAAUUAUGAGAUUAUCUAGGCAUGAUCAUGUAUAUAGGCAUCACGUCCGUGACAAGUAGACCGAUUCCUGCAUGCAUCUACUACUAUUACUCCACACAUCGACCGCUAUCCAGCAUGCAUCUAGAGUAUUAAGUUCAUAAGAACAAAGUAACGCAUUAAGAAAGAUAACAUGAUGUAGAGGGAUAAACUCAAGCAAUAUGAAAUAAACCCUAUAUUUUUAUCCUCGAUGGCAACAAUACAAUACGUGCCUUGCAACCCUUUCUGUCACUGGGUAUGAACAUCGCAAGAUUGAACCCAAAGCUAAGCACUUCUCCCAUGGCAAGAAAGAUCAAUAUAGUAGGCCAAACCAAACUGAUAAUUCGAAGAGACUUGCAAAGAUAACUCAAUCAUACAUAAAAGAAUUCAGAGAAGAUUCAAAUAUUUCUCAUAGAUAAACUUGAUCAUAAGCCCACAAUUCAUCGGAUCUCGACAAACACACCGCAAAAAGAGUUUACAUCGAAUAGAUCUCCACAAGAGAGGGGGAGAACAUUGUAUUGAGAUACAAAAAGAGAGAAGAAGCCAACUAGCUAAUAACUAUGGACCCGAAGGUCUAUGGAAAACUACUCACAACUCAUCGGAGGGGCUAUGGUGUUGAUGUAGAAGCCCUCCAUGGUCGAUUCCCCCUUCGGCGGAGCACCGCCGAAGGCUCCAAGAUGGGAUCUCGCGGAUAUAGAAGGUUACGGUGGUGGAAAUUGUGUUUCGAUUGCUCCCUGGAUGUUUUCGGGGUACGUAGGUAUAUAUAGGAGGAAGAAGUACAUCGGUGGCCGCUCGAGGGGCCCAGGAGACAGGGGCGCGCCCAGGAGGGGUGGGCGCACCCUCCUAUCUCCCGGCCGCCUCGAUUGCUUCUUGCCUUGCACUCCAAGUCCUCUGGAUCAUGUUCAUUCCAAAAAUCACGCUCCCGAAGGUUUCAUUCUGUUUGGACUCCGUUUGAUAUUCCUUUUCUUCGAAAUACUGAAAUAGGCAAAAAAACCAGCAAUACGGGCUGGGCCUCCGGUUAGUAGGUUAGUCCCAAAAAUGAUAUAAAUGUGUAAAAUAAAGCCCAUAAACAUCCAAAAGGGGUAAUAUAAUAGCAUGGAACAAUCAAAAGUUAUAGAUACGUUGGAGACGUAUCAACCACCGCAACCUUCUAUACCCGUGAGAUCCCAUCUAGGGACCUUUUCCGGCAUCCUGCCAGAGGGGGAUUCGAUCAUGGAGGGCUUCUACGUCAACACCAUUACCUCUCCAAUGAAGCGUGGGUUGUUUACCACAGACCUUCGGGUCCAUGUUAUUAGCUAGAUGGCUUAUUCUCUCUCUUUGAUUCUCAAUACCAUGGUCUCCUUGAUGUUCUUAGAGAUCUAUUCGAUGUAAUACUAUUUUGCGGUGUGUUUGCCGAGAUCCGGUGAAUUGUGGAUUUAUGAUCAAGAUUAUGUAUGGAUAUUAUGUGGUCCUUCUCUGAAUUCUUCUAUGCAUGAUUUGAUAUCUUUGCAAGUCUCUUCGAAUUAUCAGUUUAGUUUGGCCUCCUAGAUUGAUCUUUCUUGCAAUGGGAGAAGUGCUUAGCUUUGGGUUCAAUCUUGCGGUGUCUUUUCCUAGUGAUAGUAGGGGCAGCAAGGCACAUAUUGUAUUGUUGUCAUCGAGGAUAACAAGAUGGGGUUUUCAUCAUAUUGCUUGAGUUAAUUCCUCUACAUCAUGUCAUCUUUCUUAAUGCGUUACUCCAUUCUUUGUGAACUUAAUACUUUAGAUGCAUGCUGGAUAGCGGUCGAUGUGUGGAGUAAUAGUAGUAGAUGCAGGCAGGAGUCGGUCUACUUGACACGGACGUGAUGCCUAUGUUCAUGAUCAUUGCCUUAGAUAUCGUCAUAACUAUGCGCUUUUCUAUCAAUUGCUCGGCAGUAAUUUGUUCACCCACUGUAAUAUUUGCUAUCUUGAGAAAAGCCACUAGUGAAACCUAUGGCUCCCGGGUCUCUUUUCCAUUUUAUUGAAUCUCGUUUACAUCUUGCUAGUUUCCGAUCUACUAUUUUGCAAUCUUUACUUUCCAAUCUAUAAACCAAAAAUACCAAAAAUAUUUACUUUACCAUUUAUCUAUCUCUAUCAGAUCUCACUUUUGCAAGUGACCGUGAAGGGAUUGACAACCCCUUCAUCACAUUGGGUGCAAGUUGUUGUUUGUGUAGGUAUUUGGUGACUUGUGCAUUGUCUCCUACUGGAUUGAUACCUUGGUUCUCAAAACUGAGAGAAAUACUUACGCUACUUUGCUGCAUCACACUUUCCUCUUUAAGGGAAAACCAACACAAGCUCAAGAGGUAGCAACUGUGCAUGAGUAGAGGGGGCGAAUUUGAAAGAGAUGACAGGAAAAAGAUUGCCAGUUUCUUUGGAGUGGGUGUAUGGAAUGUACAAAGAGUUUGGAAGAAAGCAAUGAAGCAAAUUGCUCAAGGUCUGGCGGUGGAUGUUUCUAGUCAGAGCCAACGGACAUCAAUCUAGAUCAAAUACCUACCAUCCCACUUAACAAAAGGUCUACUAUCAGGUCACUUGCUUGGAAAAUUGGGUGCAGCCCUACGACACUCCACUGGAAGUUCAUGUUGAAGUUGAUAAAGAGGCAUACAAACUGUUUGAAGCCAGUUCUGAAUGAAAAGAACAAGAAGGAUAUAAUGAAAUUUUUCUUGUCAAUGCUCGAUGAGACAACGACACAAAAUGAAAGGCCAAAAUUCAAUUCAUAUUGAUGAGAAAUGGUUCGACCAAGAAAAAAGCAACUACUAUCUGCUAUAUGGGGAGGAAGAGCCUACGCGAACUCUGCAAAACAGUAUUUGUAUUAGAAAGGUUAUGUUCUUGACAGCUAUUGCUAGGCCGAGGUGGGAUAAUGAAGGAAAUGUGACCUUCUCUGGAAAAAAUGGAAUUUGGACGUUUGUGGAAGAAGUUUCGGCUCACAGGAGAAAUGAUAACAGGCCCAGAGGAACAUUGGAGAGAAAGUCCAUAAAAGUCAACAGGCAAGUAAUGAGAGAGUUCAUGAUAGAGAAUCUACUGCCAGCAAUACAAGCAUCUUGGCCUAAGAAUGAUGCUGGGCAAACCAUCUAUAUAGAGCAAGACAACGCUAAGCCUCAUAUCUUGCCUAACGACCCAGAAUUUGUAGCAGCUGUGGAAAGAACUGGAGUCGAUAUCAGACUAAUUUAACAACCUACCAAUAGCCAUGAUCUGAAUGGCCUUGACCUUGGGUCCUUCAACUCGUUGCAAUCUCUGACAGAUUGUCUAAGCCCUAGAAUGCUUCAAGAUCUUAUCAAGGGUAUGCUAGAUGAAUUUGAAAACUAUGAGGUUUACAAGCUGAACAAAGUUUUCCUAUCUCUACAAGCUUGCAUAAUUGAAAUCCUGAACCAUGCAGGGGGCAAUGGGUAUAAAAUACCCCAUGCGAACAAGGAAAGGCUAGAGAACCUUGGGAUGCUACCUCCAAGACAUACAUGCCCUCAGGAGGUAUAUGCAAAUGCCCUACACAAUCUUGGGAUAAUGGAGAGAGUUGCUUGUUGAGAUGCUUGUCGAGAUGCUUGAGGAGUUGCUUGUUUAGAUGCUUGUCGAGAUGCUUGACGAGUUGCUUGUUGAGAUGCUUGUUGAGAUGCUUGAGGAGUUGCUUGUUGAGAUGCUAGAGGAGUUGCUUGCUAAGAUGCUUGAGGAGUUGCUUGUUGAGAUGCUUGUUGAGAUGCUAGAGGAGUUACAUGUUGAGAUGCUUGUGGAGAUGCUUGAGGAGUUUCUUGUUGAGAUGCUUGUUGAGAUGCUUGAGUAGUUGCUUGUUGAGAUGCUUGAUGAGAUGCUUGAGGAGUUGCUUGUUGAGAUGCUUGUUGAGAUGCUUGAGGAGUUGCUUGUUAAGAUGUUUGUGAUUAUUUGUGUGGAGUAUGUGUAACUCCUUGAGAAGAGACUUGUGUGGAGUGCAUCAUUUGUAUGAUCAUAUUUAGAAAACCCCAUGUGAAAUUACUCCAUAUGUUUGCAAAAGGCUUCUAUGGACAAGAUUUUACUCCAUAUAUAUGAUCAUUUUUGUUUUAAAAGUUUUAUUUAAUUUUGUGUGGAGCACAUCAUUUGUGUGAUCAUUUUUGUUUAAUUAAGAGAGAAGAGGAGAUGACACUGGAAGAGAGAGAGAGAGAGAGAGAUAACAAGAAGAGAGGUCAGAAAAUAUGCUUCAAAUUUAGACAAAAUUUCAGUUAAUUUUGACUUCAAAUUUACAACUACUCUCUUGAGAAAAAACUUCGGUGAAUCACUGAAAAUUUCAGACAAAAGUUCAGUGAAUCACUAAAAAUUUCAGACAAAAGUUCAGUGAAUCACUAAAUAUUUUUAGAUACAGAAGCUGCAUAUUCAUGACUAAGACAGUUCUUAACAAAACUGCUCCUCUCUUGAGAAGUUGGAGUAACAUAAGUUGCAGAUGCAUAAGUACAGAAGCUACACAAACUAAAUUUUGUCUUCAUAAUUUUUUUGAAGAAGCACAUGCAGAACUAAGACAAAUUUUCAGAAGUUUAACAAAACUGCAGAAGCUGCACCAUGACAAAACUACAUAAGUUGGAGUACAAAUUUUCUGAAGACUAGCAAGAAAAAUUCUACUGCUAAUGCAAGCACAAGUUAACUGCAACUGGUAAUGCAAGUUAAAGUUAUACUCCUACAGAGUACACUUUACUGAAAAGAAGAGAGGAAGAGAGGACACUGCUGCAAAAGCACCUGCUACUCUAGUUUUAAGCAAGCAUCACUAUAACUCUGAAUCAUUUUAAUUAACUAAAAAUGUUUAAGUUAAUCAAAGGAAAAUAUUUCAAAUUAUCUUAAUUGACAUAAAAAUGUUAUAGUUAAAGUUAUACUCCUACACUUUACUAUAAAAGAAGAGAGGAAGAGAGGACACUGCUGCACAAGCACAAGUUAAUUUUAAUUACUCCAAGCACAAAUUUCAGUUAAUUUCAAGCUACUCCAUUCAAGCUAACCAGAUGUCCUCCACACUUCUUGGAGUACUUCACUAGUUUUGUGCAAACUAGAGUAAUUCACUGAAUUUCUCUACAUUGGAGUACAAUGCUUCACUGAUUUUCUGCAAAUAAUUCAUGAUUUUCUGCCAACCAAGCAAUUACUCCUACUGCUACUGCAUCUUUACAAACAAAAUUCAGUGAAUUAAGCACAGAAUCUAGUCAAGCUAUUGCUACUCCAGCUUUAAGAAAGCAUCAAUAAUAGAACUCCAAAUCAUCAAGUCAAGCUACUACUCCAAAUCAGUGCGAGCUAGUGCUACUGCAUCAAGCUACAACUACUCCAACUACUCCAAAUUAGUGCAAGCUACUGCAUCAAGCCACUCUAAAUUAGUGCAAGCUACUGCUACUGCAUCAAGCUACUCUAAAUCAGUGCACUGCUACUCCAAAUUUCCACACCAACCAAACACACUACAAAAAAGUUACACUUCCAUGAUGAUACGUGUUUGUCACAGUAGGUCACAUUUUCCGUCAUGCAUGUACAUCCAUGACGAUUUUAUGACAGAAUCAAGAUAGUCAUAUCUGUGCUGUCGUAGAAGUGUUCCAUGACAUUACCAAAAUUAUCAUCACGGAAGUGUCCACUUCCAUGACGAUAAAUCGCGCCUCACAGAAGUGAUUUCGUCAAGGGUGACCGACACGUGGCAUCCACCCUAACGGAACGCCGUUAAGCUAUCGGGUCCGGUUUGGAUCCGAUAACCCAUUAACAACCCGGACCAAUGGGGAUUUUCCAUGUGUAAAAUCAUCAUUGGCUGGAGGAAACACGUGUUGCCUCACUGUUGGGGUACAUGUCAUCCACUCAUUGGACAGGAGGCGCCUAUGAUAGGUCGACAUGUGGAAUGGCCCAACAGUGGCCCAUUCCGGUGAAAAAGGCCGGUCCAGUAAAAAUUAGCAGGCCGGCCCAUAUAAGGCCUACUUGUGUCAGGUCCAUUUAAGCCCAUGACCCAUAUGAGAUGUGCCAAUUCAGCCCGUCAAUGGCCCGUUAAAGAUUUGACACCAUUGCAGCCCAUCGUUAGUUCGAACCCGUUAACAAUCUGCUAUAUAUUUGGGCUCAAUAUCAGCCCGAUGAGAUUUUGGCCUGUUAACGACCCAUUCAAGGGAUGGGCCAAUUUUUAGGAUGUACAUCUUUUGGCCUUUUAGCGAUCCAUUUAAGUGUUGGGCUAAUUUUCGGCCCGGUGUGUCUUUCAGCCUGUUGACGGUCCAUAAAUCAGUUGGGCCAUUUGUAGUCGGACCUGAGUUUUGGCCUUUUAGUGACCCAUUUAAGUGUUGGGCUAAUUUUUGGCCCUGUGUGUCUUUCAGCCUGUUAACGGCCCAUAAAUGAGUUGGGCCAUUUGUAGUCGGACCUGAGUUUUGGCCUUUUAACGACCCAUAAAUGAGUUGGGCCAUUUGUAGUUGGACCUGAGUUUUUGCCUUUUAACGACCCAUGCCCUUCAUGGUCCAAUACCAGCCCGGUUUCUCUUUCGGCCUGCUAAAGGCCCACAACACAGUUGGGCCAUUUAUAAUACGACCUGACUUUCGGCCUCUUAAUGGCCCAUACUCUUCAUGGUCUAGUACAAGCCCGCUGUCGCUUUCGGCCUACUAAAGGCCCACAGUAUAGUUGGGCCAUAUGUAGCCCGACCUUAGUAACGACCUGUUAACAGCCCAUGAAAUCAAAUGGGCCCACCUGUUGCCCGCUUUGAUGUCGUCCUGUUAAUGACCUGGGAGGUAAGAGGGCCGACCAUUAACUUUCGGCCUGGUAAGGACCCAUUAACUUAAUGGGCCCACUAAAGUUCGUACAUGUCUUUAGGCCAAAUUAGAUAAUUUGAGCCCAUUACAACGAGCAAUUAUGCACAGGACCAAAACCGAUCAAGCAAAGGUACGGCAUACAGGGAAAAACGUUGCACAUCCAGCAUAUAUUACAGGAAAUUACAUCCACUGGGCAAUUAAAGAUUGAUGCCAGUGCAAAUAGAUGAACAGAACCUAACGAUCUACAACGUCACAAUCUGCAACCUCAGCACAGAUGACGCCCAUAAGCAUGUGGGCAAGUUCUUGCUGCUUUGCUACACUAUCUCUGAAAACAUUGAUCAGUUGUUGUUGCGCAUGAAUCUGCACCUCUGAUUCCUCCACCAUUUCCAUCAUUGCUUCAGCCAUUAAUUGGUUCACAAACAUACAUUUUUUCCAUUGCAUUCAAGACAGAGGAUACUAAACAGAUUCAGAUGGCGAUUUUGGCAGGCUUGUAUUAUUGACAGUCGAGAGUGUCUCGACCACUGCAUCAUAACAUAAAUUAGGAGGGGAACCAAACAGAUUAAUCAUGAGUUAUUACCAUAUUACCUGGCCUAGAUUUAUUGGAAAGAAACAAUGGGGUCGCCUUACUGUUUUCAGAGUUUGUCUUCUUAUCUUCAGUAGCCUGCACCAAAUUAACACACUAGCAUUGCUAUCAUUGGCCAAGUCAGAUAAUAGGAAGCAACAUUGACACAACGAACAUUUGGGAAACUAGCCUACACCAAAUAAACACAAUAUGGCAUAGCUAUCAUCAGCCAGGUAAGGCAAUACGAAAGCAACAUUGACACAAUGAAUGAAUGGGCAACGAGAGCAACACUACAAUUCAGUAAUGUGCAUGAUAUGAGAUAGUACACUCAUGCAGCUCAGUAUGCAAAACUACCAGGCAGUUUUCCUUACAAAAACCAACAUUGGCACCUUUAACAUUUUGCUACAACUAAUUUUAGAUCAGAUAAAGGUUGGAUUCACACCGAUUAACAAAAUACAUGCUGAUGUAAAAAUAUAGUGAUAUACAACAUGUACUUACAUCAGCAUUGGAGCACAGAGAGUUCCUGGAAGAUAUUUUCCUCGAAUACAAUCCCAAUGGAGGAAGUCUUCUAUCAUUUAACCUUAUUUUCUUAAAGAUAGAUGGGUAAGAAACAUGUACAAAAUAUGAUCAGAAUGCUAUAAAAUUUCAUGAUGCAAGGAUACGCACACGCUUCUUAGAAUGGAGUUGACAUUCUUUUGCUGGACUGGAGCGAACUAGUUCUUUGGCCACUGGAAUCUGCUUAUUAUCAGUGGGAGUUGGGUUUCUCUGUGCUGGAGCAGUAUCUAUGAAAAAUGGAGUUGGUUUAUUAUCUCCUGGUGUUUGGAUCUUUUGCAAAGACCUGGUUUGUAACCCUUCACAUUCUAACAUAGUCGUCUUCCCCUCACAUGCCUUGUAUAGAAGAAUGGUGCUUCAAUUAUAAAACAUGCUAUAGCAGAGAGAUAUAAUAGGUACUAAAGAAUAGAAAGGCAUGACAUAUUGACAUGUAUUCCCUCCAUGCGGAAAAAAUGGAUGGGUCUAGGCGUAUUUCAGUUCUAGAUACAUCCUUUUUAUCAAUUUCGGCAACAUGUAAUUCGGACGGGGGGAGUAUGGUGUAAGUUCUAGGGAUAUGAUAGGACAACACAGUAAAAAACACUAGUUGAAUGUAAAACUGUAUGCUAGCGGAAUACGUACAGAAAAAACUAAGGCAACAUACACAUGUAUGAUUGGGAAACUAAUAUAGGAUUGCAACAGAGCACUAGAACAACACUUCAAUGUAAAAAAACAUGGUAUGGUAGACAGAUGAAGUACAUACUGAUGAAUAACAAUGCAUAAGAUAUUCAGAAACAUGAUGUCCAAAUUAAGCAGAUGGCAUUGCGAUAUAGUAGAAUGACAGUACUUGAAUUUGAAAACAUGUUAUCAUGAAUGGAAUAGGUACUGAAAAAUAGGAAGGCAUGACAUAUUUACAUGCAUAAUCAGCAUGCCAAGCACAUGGCAUUGCCACAGAGUAGAUACACUCCAGGACAUUAUAUGCAUGUUGUACCCAUAUCAUGGGCCAAGUUAGAGCAAGGACCUUGUGGGGUGAAGAGGAUUCAUCAUCUUUCUGCAAGUCUUCUGAAGAACUGCAUUUACAUGUUCCAUCAUAUUGGGUAUCAUUGACAUCAAGAUUAUUGGCCUUUACAUUGCUCCAUGAGGUUCUUGUGGAUAUAUCAGUGUGUGCAAUUAUAUCUGACAUGCAUGGAAGACAACUAGUAGUUAGAUUUAUGUAAUGAGUUCCUAUAGGAGACGACAUAAAUAGUAGACUGGGGUUAACUAGCAGCAACAGGUCUCAAAAACUAAAGGGAGAACAUAGAUGAAAGCUACAGAAUAUGUAUCAAUUGUACUCGAGAUUAACUAGAUGGCACACAAAAGUAUUAAAGAACAACAUAGGUAAUACUAGAAGUGGUAUAAUACUAUAAUCACUAGCCUGUGGGAUAGUAUUGGCUGAUUGAUGAUAACUAUGGAACAAUGUUACCUAAAGAACAAGUAUCUUAGCUGAAUUAUGGAAUAGCGCUAACUCCUGAACGAGACACGUAAUAGAUUAGCAUGAAUAUACAGUGAAAUUUGAUAAUCUAUUUUCCAUGCUUAUAUGAAUAACAAAGCCAUAAAUGUUGCACACAAGUAAGAUGAGGGUACAACCUAUCUGGCCGCCAUCCAUAGGAGUGAGCAUCAUGUGCUGACUUAUCGAUGGCCCUGUAGUUGUUGUGGUUGUCCAUGUCGGGCACGUGCAUUCGAUGCAGGGAACUGUUGAGUGGGGACUAUAGCUCCAUUCUGGUGUAUGCUUCCCUUGUUGGAGCAACUGCUGUGAGUCGGAAGACGGUGUGGCUGAAGAUGCACAUAACACAUAAUGUUAAGAAUGACACAUCUCUUUGAUCUGAAGAAAUACCCUAAGAGAUCAACAGCAAGGUACAAGAGUGGUCACAUGUGUGUCGACUGAAGACUAAAUUGGGGUCACACGAUUUUAUUUUAUUUUGGUACUAUCCGAUCUACGCCGGAUGGCUUGAUGGCCGUCUUGUGCCUCCCAGCUGACACUGUUCAGAAUCUUCCCCGAAGAGCCAGCAACCAACGACAGAGCAGCCUGCCUUUGCUGUUCGUGGCCCUGACCAAAACCCUGCUCCCCGCCCCAUCGCACUACUGUGGUUGCGCCACCCCCGGGCCAAUCCACAAAGGCUCGCCAUCAUCCAGAUCCGGCAGCGGCAGUACCUUCAACCCACACAACUCUAAGAUAGCCAUCUAAGUGCUGCUUCCGCGAUGAACUUGCGCCCCUGCACCCUUACGUUAGACACCAGCCAACCGACAGCCUAGGAGCUCCGCCACCUCGAGGGGUGCUGCUUCCCAUUGGGAAUCGAUUGGCCUAGAAUAAAAAUUCAAACAACUGACACCUAAAUAAAGUGAUUUAAGAUGAGGGUGCGACCUAUUUGGCGGCAUGGUGAAGUAGGUAGCUCCAGCUGCCGAGUCGGUGAUGCCAGCGCGCUUGCAGUGGCGACCGGCGGCUGGGAAGCAGAGAUGUCGCGAUGGUCGACGGCUACGGGGAAGCAGCGCCGGACUCUGGACGGAUCCAAAGUUGGAGCUGCUUCGGUGCCAUGAACAACGGCGGGGGUGAAACUGCUCUAAUACAGUUCACGCGGCCGUCGUCAAGGCAGCUCCAGCAGCACGGAGUAAGAGGCACACGGCCCAGUGCACGACGACAAAUGGACAGCGUCUCCGGGAUUAGGGAGGAGGUCGGCUGUGAAAUUGGUGCAGUGGGGGGCGCCAUGGAGGAGGGGCCGAGGUUCCGCGGCUUGGGAGAAGGGAGCUUCUAGGGAGAAGGUGAUUUGGCGCCCACAAGGUAUGAAUGAGGAGGGAAUUGGGAGGGGAGUGGAACCAUGUCUUACGGACGCAUUUUUCUGAAAUGUGGGGGGGGGGGAGUUACAGUUCUACCCAUGCAUUUAGGCUUCUCAGCUUGGGUUUGUGUACUGAGGGUCGGGGAUAGUAGAGUAAUUUUGCCUCUCCCCAAAUAGUGGGCGGGAGCGAUUUCGGGCGAGGAGGGCGUGUUUUGAAAUAUAGUGGGCGCGAGCGAUUUCGGGCGAGGAGAGCGUGUUUUGAAAUAGUGGGCGUGAGCUAUUUCGGGCAAGGACAGCGUGCUUUGCCAACCAUGGUUUAUGAAUUAUUCGGCAGAUGUCAUUUCGGCCGAGGAAAAGGCGCGCUUGGAUGAAGUUACGAACCUACCCUCGAUGUACAACGGGCCAAUUGAUGUGUGUCCCACAUAGGCCGGUAAUUUCAUGUCUCCCAUUUAUUUGCUCGGGCGAAUUCCACCGAGUAGAGGGUGUUUAACAGUUCAUUCAAAUUAUAGGAGAACGAGCAUCCACGUCUACCUUACCAAGUCGAUUCGAAUCAAAUUUUGAAAUAUUACCUUGCCACUUCUUUUUUAGAUGGAGAGAUGAUGCUCGGGAGUAAUGUGUUUUUACAUGCUCGUUGCUAGCGAUUUACUAUAUGAAAAAUAGUUGACCCACUCAAAAACGGGAAUCAAACCCAAAAUGAAAUAUGUCGAUUCAAUGAAAUAGCUCGUUCACCAGGUCAAAAUAGUGAACUAAAUCGAAAAUUGAACACCUCGAUCGAGUAUCAUGUUGUACAAUAUUAUAGUACUUCAUGAACAUGUUGAAAGUCAAAUUAAUGAACUUGUUUGAUAUACGCAUAUCUCGUUCAUGUGUGGAUUGCAGACAACAUGUUCUCCAAUUUAAAUAUUUGAAUGCAAGUUUAUAUCAAAACAUGGUUUAUAUCAGUCUUUGAUGCAUAAAACGCGACCUCCCCCUCUCCCGCACUCCUGCUCUCUCUCUCUUUCUCUCUCUCGCCGACAAUCUUCAAUUCUGUCGCACGCAUCCAACACACAAACCUUGUUGGUCCCUUUCCCUCUCUCCCCAGCUCUUUCUCUCUCUCACCAACAAUCUUCAAUUCUAUCGCACGCAUCCAAUACACAAACCUUGUUGGUUCCUCUCCCUCUCUCUCCAUCUCUUUCUCUCUCUUUUUGUGUGUGUGGAGGGGGAUCUUUGUAGUUCGCAUGCAUAUAUACCCCAUCUAUAGGUCUCUCUCGCACACUAUGUAGGAUUCUCUGGUCCAAGCUAGAUAUAUUGGGUGCACUCAUCGUACGGACACAAAUUCCAUGGACCGUUACCCGUAACUCUCUCAUGCACCACUCUGUCGUCCCGGAGCUCUUCCCUCUCUCUCUCAAACUCUCCAUCUACCUGGGUCACACAUACGCAUGCAUAUCUCACUCGCACUCGAUAGACCCAUCUAAUACUCUAUCUCUCUCCAUCGUUCUCUCUCCAUCUCACACGCACACACACACAAUCUCAUGCCUAGCUAGCCAAGUAUGAUGGUCUCUCACUCAAUUGUAGGCACACGCAGUCCACCUAUAUGUAUAUGACUAGCUAAUCUUAGUCUCCAUCACAAACAUGUGCAUGGUCUAUCUCAAUUUCUCUCAGGGCAUAUUUCUACAGAAAAACUAACGCCCACACGUGUGGGCGUUUGCACAUCACCCACACGUCUCCAUCACCACUCAUUUUGCCACGUAUGAACAGAUGACAUCAACAGAAAUAUUUUUGGUUUUUAGCUUAAAAAUAUUUUAUCUUCUAAUUAAAAAAGCGAAUUAAAAAUCCGUUUUCACCAUUAAAUCCGUUUCGACAAGAUCUUCAAAACUAGACCCCAUGUUUAUAUGUUUCGACGAAUUUUUUUUACCCAAAAGUUGCCAUGAUGUUUACACUGUAGUUGCUAUGGUGCUUAAACUAAAGUUGCCAUGUGGCAAUUUUAGUUUGUAGAUCAUGGCAAUUUUAGUUUUUAAUGAUGGCAAUUUCAGUAUUUUGACCAUGAAAAUAUUUUUUUGCAUGAACCAUGGCAAUUUUAGUUUAUGGUGCAUGGCAAGUCUAGUUUCUUAAUUCUUUGUUUUAUAAUAUGUCAAAAAAUACUUUUUAAUAUAGAAGAAAAUAGCUGAAACAUAACAUGGCAACUUUAGUGUAAACAUCAUGGCAAUUCAUGUGCAAUAGACAUGGCAACUUUUAACCCAAAAAAAUAUUCGUCAAAAUAUAUUGAUAUGAGAUCUAGUUUCGAAGAUCUCGUCGCGAGGGAUUUAUUGGUGAAAAUGGAUCUUCAGUCAGAUUUUUCAUUUAAGAGAUAAAACAUUUUAAAAAAUGAAAAUCCAAAAAGAUUUCCAUAUGCAUGCCUGCGGUGACAUGGCGUAGUCUGUAUGUUAUAGGGCGUGUGGGCGAGUUUGGCUCCCACCACACGUGUGGGCAUUAGCGUUGUCCUAUUUCUAUCACGCACGCACCUCCCUCGAUCUCCCACCCAUAUAGUCCCCUCACGAUCUCGAGGGGAUCUCUCUAUCACAAACACACCCUCUCUCCCUCCCCAUGCGUCCAUGUUCUCCAUGUGUCCCUCUCGACCUUUGUUCCUUGUUGGCCAGACCUCUAUUGGACAUGUGCUAUAGGGGUGUCUCUCUCCGUUGCAAACAACCACACACUAGCUAUCUUCGUGUAUCUCCUCGCCUCGCUUUUCUACCUCGGAGAGGCAUGCGUGAUAUGUAUGUGUAAGAAACGAAAAACACACACACACUCUCUCUCUCUCUCUCUAAUUUAUCGUUUGUUGUCACUUUCUCUUUCAUGCACAUACUCUUUUUGCACACACACUCAUUCUCCUUCACACGCACUUGAUCUCUCUCGACUUAGGCACUCUCUUUGGUCCAUAGCAUAUAGAUUUAUUGAAAAGUCAAACAUCACAAAGUUUGACCAUACGUACAUGGAGAAGAACAAUUACAUCUAGAAUGGUAAACAUAUACCAUUAGAUUCACCAUGAGAUGUAGUUUUGUAUGAUGUAUCUUUGGUAUUGCAGAUAUAAAUAACAUUUGCGUAAACCUGAUCAAAGUUUCCAAAGCUUGACUUCUAAAAAGCGGAUGGAAUAUUUCUUUCCUCCUCUCAGCUAUCUGACACACCACUCAGCCUUAUCGGGGCUCCUCUGUCUCUCUCAAACUUUAUAUCUCCCUGGUUCACACAUACACAUGUCUUGUCGCGGUGGGCGCACGGCAGAUGCCAUGGGAUGGCUAAAGAGAGGAGGAGGCUCGAGGGUGCUAGUGGGCUCCAGAGGCGAGGUUGGCAUGAGCAGGCGCGGGACGCUGGACGUACCCAGGUUCAGGGCUCUCCUGAGAGAUAACACCCCUAGUCCUGCCGAGUGUAGUUUGAUGUUUGAUAGUACAAUGUUGCUCCUAGAGUUGUAUGGAGGAGGAAGGGAAGCUGGCCAAGGCUUAAGCUGCUCCUUCUCUCCGGAUGGAUAUUGCUGUUUUGGUGGCUCGUUUCUCUCUAUCCUUUCUGUCCUGCCCGUAUGUGAGGGCUCUUGGGGGGUUUUAUAGACCAACCCCCCACGGGUACAAUGGUAAUGUUACAAGUCGGUGGGUCUGGGUUGUCGGCGUCCGGGGACCCGGGCUGGGACCCGCUGGGGGCCUAUGGUUCGCUGGGUUUCGCUAGGUGCAGGCCUCGCAUGCCUAGGGGGACUGUGCACCAUCUUGUCGAUCGUCAGGGCGUGGUCGAGUCGAGUCGUGUACAGUGGCGCUCAGUCAGGUCGCCGCUUGCUGUCAUCAGCGGUGAGGGCGGGGGCACUGUUGCCACGCUCGGCUGACCAGAAGCAUGCGUGAGGCACUGUUGCCUUGGUCAUCGGUUGCUGAACACUCGUCCCAUCGCACGGCCUGGAUGGGACGGGAGCUGACUCGCGGCUGGAUUGCGGAGCACGCCACGGGUGGAGCUGUCUUGUUGUGGAAGCUUUGGUUGCGCCGGGUUCGGCCAUCUUGUGCUAGUUGUUGAGGCCAAGUCGACGCGUUUUGCCGGGUCGGAGAGUUCGGCCGGGUUGCGGGGCUCGGCCGGGUCAAGCAACCCGGCCAAGCUCGUCCCGGCUUGAGGGGCGAUGCUGGCCCCGUUGUUUUUGAAAAGGAUCCGGGUUCAGUUGCCUGCCCGGGGUUCAUCCCCCUGACAGUAGUCCCCGGAGCUGUGAAGGUCCGCCAUCUUCGGAUGAGUGGGCCUUCACAGUUUACCCCUUAAGCAAGGCGGAUUCUAAGAGCGCCGGGUCCGGCAACACCCACUGUGUGCCAGUUUUCUCAGAAACCGGAUCGUGACAUCCCGGCGAUGGCGGGAACCGAGGAGUCCGUCGAAUCUUGGGGCAAUCCCUUGGGCUUCGCGCGGGCGCCAUGUGGUGACCGAAAGUCGGAGGGGCCUGACAGGCCACGCGCGUGACGGGACUUGGCGACUGGCUGGGGCCCGCUGCUGCGCGCCCUUGUCCCACUUGCGUGGAUUUAUUGCAGCGUCCGGGGGCCGGUUGCUCUUCCCCUGGCAGUUAUUGCCUGUAUACGUGCACACUUAUUGUGGGGUAGUGUAAAGGGCGAGUGCAAACGAUCGCACUCCCCCACGUUCAAACCGAGGGUUAUAAAUCGGGGGGCAGGGGGCGGCGGACAUCAUUCUCGCAUGCGCCCUCCUGCCCCUUUGCUCUUGCUCUGCUCUUCGUAACCGACGCACUGCGGAGCCCGCUGCCCCGAGCAGAACUUCGCCAUCGUCCAUCUUCUUUCUCCUUCUCCGUCUUUCGCUCGUGGCACUGCUGUCGGGCUCUUGGAUGGGCUCGAAUGUCACCACCGAAGACAUGGCCCAUCUACGCGCGUUGUGGUGCUUGCCACGGGAGACGGAUGUCACCGUUCGUCUGCCGCGCGGCGAGCAGAGGCUGCAGCCCGAGGAGUCAGAGCGCGUGGUCUUCCUCACACACUUCGAGCGCGGAUUUGGGAUGCCGGCGAGCGCCUUCUUUUGCACGUUCCUGGAGUUCUUCGGGCUCCAGCCGCAUCAUCUUGGCGCCGGCGCCAUCGUCUAGCUUUCCGGCUUCAUCACCCUCCGCGAGGGGUACAUGGGGGUUGAGCCCACGAUCGACCUCUGGGCGCGCUUCUUCUCCUUGAAGCAGCAGGGGCCGUCGGCCGGAGAGUUCGCCGACUGCAGCGCCAUCGUCAUCUCGAAGCGGUCUGGGCGGACUUUCCCCAGAUCCCGCUGGAGGAUUCUGCCAAGAAAUGGCAGAUCUCCUUCUAUGUCCGCAACUUGCGUGCAGACUGCAUCAAUCUUCCGGCCUUCGCCAUCACGCCGCCUCGGGCGAAAAUGAACUGGGGCUAAUCCCCCAGGCGCCCGUCGUAGUAGAUUCUCAAUCUCUACGAGCGGGUGAUGGUGAUGAGGACGUGGGAGGGGCUCACUGGCAACGACCUCAUCACCGCGUUCAUCAUGCGCCGGGUUCUCCUGCUGCAGAGGCGCUCCUGCCUCAUCGGUGAGAUGGUCGGUCUCCAAGAUCCCAACCGCAUGGGGUCGACGCGGCUAACAGCGGAGCAGAUCGCGCGCCGAGUGAACGACAUCUCCAAGCCAAACAUUAGGGAGGACUGGCGGUUCGGCAAGGUGCCAUACAGUGAGUCGAACUCGGUGCCACAGGUGAGUGUCUGGUCGCCUUACUUUGCUGCUGCGCACCUCCUUGUUCAUCCUGACGCGACGUGGGAGGUGCUUCUGCAUGCGAUCCCGCAUCCUUAUGCCCGGGCUCCAUCGCAGGUGGCGCCGAUGGCGCCGGAGGAGCCCGAGGCCCACGGCGGGGAGGAGGAAGCCAAGGCCGACGCCGGCGCUGGGCGUCGUGCGGGUAAGUCUUGUGUUUUUCUUCGUGUAUCUUGAGUUGUUGACCGUAACAUGGUGCGGGCGGUGCUGAGGCCAGUUGUUGGUGCAGUGGCAUUGGGCAGGGGAGGCGGCGACGCGGGCGGAGCCGGGUCGUCGCGUGGGGCGGCGCCGAGCCGCCGGACGGGAAGGACAGCGUCGCGUCGCGGCCCCGGGCCCUGAAGCGCACGACGGACCUGGCCGGGGUCGGGAGGCCGGCCAAGAGGAAGCGUGGUGCCGGGCAAUGGAGGCCGACGCCGGUCCUGGUCUUGUCGGGGUAAGCUUCAUCUCUUGUAUGCAUUCAGACUACCGAGCUAGCCUUGCUAUUUGCUCAUUCUGUCUUCUUCCUCUUCAGGUUGCCAAUCGCGUUGGCGAGGGCGGCGGCGGAUGCCGCGGCCGUCGAAGGGACCGCAUUCCACAGGAGCCGGUCCGACCUCGUUGACCGGGUCGAGGAGGAGGGACGGGCCGACUCAGACCUCAGCCUGGACCCGAAUGACGCUGAGGGCUUGGCCUGGCGCGACAGGAACAGGGCCGAGGCGGAGUUGGAGGCGGCAUCGGUCCGGGCAUGGACCAACACGGCGGUGGCAUGGGCGCGAGCCGGCGUGGCGCCGGCCUGGCGCAAGAUGCCGGAGGGCUUGGUGGUGGUGGCGACGGUCUUCGAGCCGUCGUCGGUGAGGGAGCGCGACCGUGAGGGCCGGGCUGAGGUGGUGAUCCUCGACCAGGAGCCGCGGGUCGACGGUGUCGAGCGAGUGGGGGCUGAUGGGGGUGGUGGUGGCGCCGCCUUGGAGGAGGUGCUGCGAGCGGCAGCGCGCGAGGCGCCGCCGGUGUUGGAGGAGGCCCCACGGGCGGCGGUGCCGGAGGCCACCCCGGCAGCUGGGCCGGUGGUGGCGCAGCAGACCGUCCCGACAUCUAGACCGGGAGCGGCAACGCAGGACGUCCCGGUGUCCGGAUCAUCGACGGUGCCGGAGAGGGCGUCGGAGGAGGUGCCGGCCGCGUCGAGAGUGGCCAGCGAGAAGCACACCUUGGUGCCCCGCAGGGAAGGCGCCGGACUGCCACGCCGCAGCCGGCGCGGAGCGGGAGCGCCAUAGUCUUCGGACCUCAGACCCAGGAGGAGGCGGCGAUGGACGCCGUCAGCCGCCGUCUGCGCGGCCGGACGGACCGGCUCGAGGCCUUCGCCCAGGCCUAGGUGGAGCGGACGCGUGACUUGGAGCGCGCCGUUCUGAUAAGCUUCUUCUUUUUUGCGACUUCUUCUUUGUGGGGGCACGCCAGCACACCCACUUGGUGUAGCCCCCGAGGUUCGAGCCAACUACGUAGUAGUUGGGUCGAAUCUUUAGAAUGUUGUUUUGGUCCUGAUUUUUGCUUUCUUCAGCAACUCGACGCCUAUCGAGUCGGCGCCUUCAACCAUAUCCUGGGCAAGUUCCGAGAGCUCAAGGAGCAGCUCACCGCCAAGGAGGAGGAGCUUCACAUCGCCGCAGGUAUCUUCAUGCUCUUUUCUAGUGGGAGCGUGCUAGCGCACCCACUGGGUGUAGCCCCCGAGAUUCGGGCCAACUGUGUAACAGUUGGGCCAAAUCUUAAGUCUUGCUUUCUCCUUUGUUGAAUCUUUCUCUUUUGGAGCUGAGGUGCUGUCCCGGCAGACUCGGCUGCUCCGGGCUGAUCAUCAUUGUGACCGGUUUGUUGCCGACGCCGGCCGUCUUGGCGCCGAGGUGGCGCAGGCGAGGGCGGAGGCGGCCGUGGCCCGGCGGUCGCUCGACGAGGCCAACCAGCUGCAGGAGCAGCUGGCAGGUCAUAAGAGCCGCCUCGAGGCCGAGGUGGAGCUUCUUAAGGCGGAAGUCGCCAAGGUGGUGGAGGCACAGCAGGCCCUGGUCGAGGCGGACCAGCAGUGCGGCAGGCUGGCCGGCGACAAGGGACGGCUCUAGGCCAAGGUGGAUCACCUACGGGGGCAGGUUUCCACGGCUGAGGAGGCCCCCCAGGACGAGGCCCGCCGUCGCGAGGCGGCCGAGAAGGCGGUCGACGACAAGGUCGCUGAGCUGAAGGCGGCCCUUGCCAAGGUGGCCGAUCUGGAGAAGGCGCUCAGGAGCGCGACCGCACCAUUGAACUGGAGCGGCAUGGUAUGUUGCUCGAAGCGCAGCACCUGGAAGAGUCCUUCUCCAGUAAGUGUUUUUCUUGUGUUUCACCGGGUCGGGAUCCGUCCUUUCGUCCUUGUUGUCCUCUUCUGAUAUGCUUCAUGUUUUCUAGCAGGAGCCUUUCCGGAGACGGAAUGGUUGGCGGAGGAAGCCGUCCGCUUUCAGCGUGACCCGACCGGAGUCGUUGGAUUCGGAAUGGACCCGCGGGCAGCGUGGACCUUCCCGGAAAUCAUUGCCGCCGUUGAGGCCCGCCUACGGGUCUUGGGGGCGCAUAUGGGGAGGCUUUCCCAGGCCGACACCGCGAUUAUGGUGGCCCUUUGGCCGGACUACGUCGAGGCGAACAGCUCCACGCGCCUGGCGCGUUGGUUGGAGAUGGGGACAGACUGGCUUCAUGAGUGGCGCGUCUCCACCGCUCGUGCCGACGCUGAGAUGGCGCUCCGGUUUGCACUGUCUUGGCAUCCGGACCUGCAGCUGGACGCGCUGAUGGGCCAGCAGGCCGGCUCGGAGCAGCUGUUGCAGGAGCAAGCCGGCCGAAUUGCCUCCCGGGCCAGCUACAUCGCCGAGUUCUCCUUCCAUGAUGAGUUCCACCCGGAGCGGACGGAAGACGGCAGGGUCGUGGACUGCGACGACUAUGGCCUGCUUCUGCACGAUCCGGAGGGGAGCUCUGAGGAUACGGGCGUCUACCGCGAUGGGGUGCCGAGGAGGACACCGGCGCCUCGCUGGACCAGGAGGCCGCCAUGGGAGAGCUGUCGACGUCGUCACGCGGCGCUGGAGAUGCCUGAGACACCUUAGUAAAAUUUGUUAGGUAGCAGGUCCACCCACCCACUGGGGGUUUAGGGUGUAAUGAACUCGGGCUGAGGGCCUUUUAAAUAUUUAUGUGUAUAUGUCGUGAAUGUUUCUGCUUUUGCCUUCCGUUUUUUGGACUGAUUUCCUGCGCUUUUCCUUUCUCAAACCUCCCCCCCCCACGCGAGUCAGACGUCCGAGGCUCCGGUCCGUGACAAGGAGUUCGGUUCUUCGAGAGGAGCACGCAGGACUUGGGCUCUUCAAAACGUUGAGCGCGAGCGAAACACCCAUUGGGCUGGCUGGCGGCAACCCGACGGAGCCGGUUGUCGAGCAGCCAGUCGUGCGGCUGUUCAUUUUCUGAGCGGUGGGCCGGGUUGAUUGUCCCUGCAGCCUUUGACUUGGUGUUUGAAGCGUGAAGGAGCUCUGGCCCGUUGUGCUUGCUAGACGACAGCCGAAGCCAGAUUUGUGGCUUUAGGGCGAAGUGGGGGACCGCAACAUCCUAACUAUAUCAGGAAUCGAGCCGGCUAGCCCCUGAGCCCCCGGGUUGAGCGGGUCGGACCGGUGGCCGGGCUCAGUGGCAUAGUGAUGCGAAAAGGUAGGGACAUAAUAAGUUGGUCAACAAAAGGCAGCCCCCGAGUCUCGUUCGAGGACCCCAUAGUUUCAUGCGUUUAUAAAAGGCGACGAUACAUACACUCAUGCGGCUAAAUGUAAAAUGGGCGGAGGAGUUCCGUGUACCACGACCGGGUCGUUUCUUCGCUAGCGGUGUCUCUCUUGCGCUUGUUUGACUUGCGUGCAUCGAUGAGGUAGUAGGCGUUGCGAUCGCACAAGGCCCUGCUCAUGAUGAAUGGGCCCUCCCAUGGGGAGGACAACUUGGGCUGGCCUGCUUGCUCUUGGAUGAGUCAAAGGACGAGGUCACCCUUGCAGAACGCGAGGGGCUUGAUCUUCUUGCUGUGCUAGUGCCUCAGGCCUUGCUGGUAGAUGGCCGAACGGCUGAGCGCUAGGAGGCGGGCUUCUUCGAGCAGGUCGACACCGUCUUCGCGGGCUUCACUGGCUUCGGCUUCGGUGUAGAUCACGAUGCGUGACGAGUCAAACUCGAUGUCGGUCGGGAUGACGGCUUCAGCUCCAUAGACAAGGAAGAGCAGGGUGAACCCGGUCGACCGAUUCGGCAUGGUACAGAGAAUCCAGAGAACAGUCGGCAACUCGUCAAGCUAGCUGCCGGGUGAGUGGAUGAGUGGCUCAACGAGUCACGGCUUGAUGCCGAACAGGAUGAGUCCGUUGGACUGCUCGACCUUCCCGUUGGACUGCGGAUGUGCAACGGAGGCCAGGUCGAGGCGGAUGCCGGAGACAGAGCAGUAUUGCUCAAGCGCGCCCUUGGCAAAGUUGGUGUCGCUGUCUGUGAUGAUGCUGUUCGGCAUGCCGUAGCCAACCGCUAUGCCCUUGAUGAGCCGGACGGCUGUUGGCCCGUUCAGUUUCUUGAUUGGUCAUGCUUCGAUCCACUUGGUGAACUUGUCCACAGCCCCCAGCAGGUGCAGCAUGCCGCCUCGAGCAGUUUUGAAGGGUCCCACCAUGUUGAGUCCCCAGACCGCGAAGUGCCAGACAAUCGGAAUGGUGUGGAGUGCUGACGCCGACUGGUGGUUGCACUUGCUAAAGCACUGGCACCCUUCACACUUGAAAACAAGCGACUCGGCAUCUUGGAGGGCCGUGGGCAAAUAGAAGCCGUGGAGGAACGCCUUGGCCACCAGGGAUCGCGAUGCGGUGUGGUGCCCGCAUUCGCACUGGUGUAUGUCGAGGAGGAUGUCGAUGCCCUGUUCUUGUUCGACGCAGCGCUGGAACACACUGGUGGAGCUGCGCUUGACGAGCUCGUUGUUGAUGAUGCUGUAGGUGGACGCCCGACGCUGCACUUGCCGGGCUUCGGUCUCAUCCAUGGGGAGAACCCCGUUCUCCAGGAAUUCUAAUAUUGGGAGGGCACAAGACGGAGCCGUAACCACGACGAAGACGGCCACCAGGGUGGGUUCCGAGUCGGGUUGAGCAGCCCCCGGGUCGGGGAUGGCGAUGGCCAGGUCCGGGGCGAUGGCGGCUAGGUCAAGCUGAGCAGCCCCCUGGCCGGGUUUGGUAGUCCUCGGGCCGGGUUGAGAUGCGGCCGGGUCGUCUGGAACGUGGAUGGACUCGGAGUCCGGUGACGGCUUGAUGGACGGCUUGCGCAGGUGCUCGAGGGAGACGCCAUAGGGGAUGGACUGUCGGGACGAGGUGAUCUUGGUGAGCGUGUCGGCCACUUCAUUCUCCGCGCACGGGACAUGGAGGAACUCGCAGCCCUCGAAGGACCCGGACAGCUUCUGGACGAGGAAGCAGUAGCUUGCCAUGUUGGAGUCACGGGCGUCCCACUCACUGGAGCACUGCUGCACCACUAGGUCCGAGUCACCGUAGCACAGGAUGCGCCGGACGCCGAGUUCCUUGGCAAGCCGGAGGCCGUGCACAAGGGCUUUGUACUCGGCGAUGUUGUUGGAGGCGGCGAAGUGGAUCUGGAGCGCGUAGCGGAGUCGGUCGCCCUUCAGAGACAACAGUAUGAUGCCGGCCCCCAGGCCGAGUCGCAUCUUGGACCCGUCGAAGUGCAUGCGCCAAUGCAUCGAGUCGGGGGGCGGCGGCAAGUACUGGGUCUCGGUCCAGUCGACGAGGAAGUCGGCCAGGGCCUGAGACUUGAUCAUGGUGCGGGGCUCGUAGAGGAUGGUGUGGCUGGCCAGCUGGAGCGCCCACUUGGCGACCCGGCCAGAGGCAUCCCGGCACCCCAUGAUUUCUCUGAUAGGAGCCAUGCUGAGCACGGUGAUGACGUGCUCUUGGAAGUACUGCUUCAACUUAUUGGCAGUAAAGUACACGCCACUUCUGGUAGUGCGGGUAGUUCUUCUUGGAGAUGGAGAGCACCUCGCUCAGGUAGUAGACCGGGCGCUAGACAGCUUGGAUCUUGCCCUUCUCUGGUCGCUCGACCACCAGCACCGUGCUGACCGCCCGCGAGGUCGCGGCUAUGUAGAGCAACAACGGCUCCUUGUCGGUCCACGUGGCCAGGACUGGUGCAGUGGACAGCAUGCGCUUGAGGUCUUGGAAGGCCUUGUCUACCUUGUCAUUCCAUUCGAACGAGUUCAUCUUCUUCAUCAGCUGGUAUAGGGGGAGCGCCCUCUUGCCCAGUCGGCUUAGAAACCGGCUGACCGAGGCCAAGCACCUGGUGAACUUUUGGACAUCAUGCAGCCAAGCCGGCUUGCGCAUGCGCUCGAUGGCCUUGAUCUUCUCCGGGUUCGCCUCAACGCCGCGUUCUGAGAUGAGGAAGCCGAGUAGCUUUCCGGCCGGGAUGCCAAAAAUGCACUUUUCCGGGUUAAGCUUGACCUUGUAUUCGCGGAGGUUGGCGAAUGUUUCCUUCAAGUCAUCGAGUAGCGUGAGGUGUUGCUUGGUCUUCACCAUGAUGUCGUCCACAUAAACAUGGAUUUUGCAGCUGAGUUGCGGCAGCAGGCAUUUCUGCAUGCAGCGUUGGAAGGUGGCGCCGACAUUCUUCAAGCUGAACCACAUGGUGAUGUAACAAUAUGCCCCAAAGCGCAUGAUGAAGGACGUCUUCAGGGCGUUGGCCGGGUCCAGCUUGAUCUGGUGGUAGCCGGAGUAAGCGUCCAGGAAGGACAGGAGCUCGCACCCGACAGUCGAGUCGAUGACUUGGUCGAUCCACGGGAGAGCGAACGGAUCCUUGGGACAGGCCUGUUGAGGCUAGUGUAGUCGAUACACGUGCACCAGGUCUUGUUCUUUUUUAGGACGAGGACUGGAUUGGCCGGCCACUCGGGGUGAAACACUUCCAUGAUGAAGCCGGCCGCCAAAUGAACGAAAUAUUCCCUAGAGGCAAUAAUAAAGUUAUUAUUUAUUUCCUUACUUCAUGAUAUAUGUUUAUUAUUCAUUUCAUGCUAGAAUUGUAUUAACCAGAAACAUAAUACAUGUGUGAAUACAUAGACAAACAUAAUGUCACUAGUAUGCCUCUACUUGACUAGCUCGUUGAUCAAAGAUGAUUGAGUUUCCUAGCCAUAGACAUGAGUAGUCAUUUGAUUAACAGGAUCACAUCAUUAGGAGAAUGAUGUGAUUGACUUGACUCAUUCCGUUAAUUAGCUUAGCACUUGAUCGUUUAGUAUGUUGCUAUUGCUUUCUUCAUGACUUAUACAUGUUCCUAUGACUAUGAGAUUAUGCAACUCCCGUUUACCGGAGGAACACUUUGUGUGCUACCAAACGUCACAACGUAACUGGGUGAUUAUAAAGGAGCUCUACAGGUGUCUCCGAAGGUACAUGUUGAGUUGGCGUAUUUCGAGAUUAGGAUUUGUCACUCCGGUUGUCGGAGAGGUAUCUCUGGGCCCUCUCGGUAAUGUACAUCACUAUAAGCCUUGCAAGCAAUGUGACUAAUGAGUUAGUUGUGCGAUGAUACAUUACAUAACGAGUAAAGAGACUUGCCAGUAACGAGAUUGAACUAGGUAUUGAGAUACCGAUGAUCGGAUCUCGGGAAAGUAACAUACCAAUGACAAAGGGAACAAUGUAUGUUGUUAUGUGGUUCGACCGAUAAAGAUCUUCGUAGAAUAUGUAGGAGCCAAUAUGGGCAUCCAGGUUCCGCUAUUGGUUAUUGACCAGAGAGGUGUCUCGGUGAUGUCUACAUAGUUCUCAAACCCGUAGGGUCCGCACGCUUAAUGUUCAUUGACGAUAUAGUAUUAUAUGAGUUAUGUAUGUUGGUGACCGAAUGUUGUUCGGAGUCCCGGAUGAGAUCACAGACAUGACGAGGAGCUCCGGAAUGGUUCAGAGGUAAAGAUUCAUAUAUUGGAUGAUAUGGUUAGGCCAAGGGGUCAGGCCCACGGGGCUAUAAGUCGGUGCAAAAGGAGUUUUGCGGAGGCUAGGGGGCCAAACGUCGGAGACCCUGGUGUCUGGGCCAGAUGCCAAGGAUUGUGGCGUUUGGUCCUGGAGUCCGAGUGGGACUCUUGCCUUUCGGGCAAAACCAACUUUGAGGAGGCUUUUGCUCCAAGUUUUGACCCCAGGGCUUAAUAUAUAAAUAGAGGGGCGGGGCUAGCACCAAAGACACAUCAAGAAACACCAAGCCGUGUGCCGGCAACCCCCGUCCCCUCUAGUUUAUCCUCCGUCAUAGUUUCCGUAGUGCUUAGGCGAAGCCCAUGCGGAGAUUGUUCUUCACCAACACCGUCACCAUGCCGUCGUGCUGCCGGAACUCAUCUACUACUUCGCCCGUCUUGCUGGAUCAAGAAGGCGAGGACGUCAUCGAGCUGAACGUGUGCUGAACGCGGAGGUGUCGUAUGUUCGGUACUUGAUCGGGGCGGAUCGUGAAGGUGUACGACUACAUCAACCGCGUUGAUAAACGCUUCCGCUCAGCGAUCUUCAAGGGUAUGAAGAUACACUCUCCCCUCUCAUUGCUAUGCAUCACCAUGAUCUUGCGUGUGCGUAGGAUUUUUUUUAAAAUUACUACGUUCCCCAACAGUGGCAUCCGAGCCAGGUUUUAUGCGUAGAUGUUAUAUGCACAAGUAAAACACAAGUGCAAGUCGUACUGCUUACCAGCAUGUCAUACUUUGGUUCGGCGGUAUUGUUGGAUGAAGCGGCCCGGACCGACAUUACGUGUACGCUUACGCGAGACUUGUUCUACCGACAUGCUUUGCACAUAGGUGGCUGGCGGGUGUCAGUUUCUCUAACUUUAGUUGAACCGAGUGUGGUUACGCCCGGUCCUUGAGAAGGUUAAAACAACACUAACUUGACGAACUAUCAUUGUGGUUUUGAUGCGUAGGUAAGAACGGUUUUGCUAAGCCCGUAGGUAAAACUUGCAACAACAAAGUAGAGGAAGUCUAACUUGUUUUUGCAGGGCAUGUUGUGAUGUGAUAUGGUCAAGACGUGAUGCUAUAUUUUAUUUUAUGAGAUGAUCAUGUUUUGUAACCAAGCUAUCGGCAACUGACAGGAGCCAUAUGGUUGUCGCUUUAUUGUAUGCAAUGCAAUCGCCCUGUAAUUGCUUUACUUUAUCACUAAGCAGUAGCGAUAGUCGUAGAAGCAAUAGGUGGCAAAACAACAACGAUGCUAUGAUGGAGAUCAAGGUGUCGCGCUGGUGACGAUGGUGAUCACGACGGUGCUUCGGAGAUGGAGAUCACAAGCACAAGAUGAUGGUGGCCAUACCAUAUCACUUAUAUUGAUUGCAUGUGAUGUUUAUCCUUUAUGCAUCUUAUUUUGCUUUGAUUGACGGUAGCAUUAUAAGAUGAUCUCUCACUAAAUUUCAAGGUAUAAGUGUUCUCCCUGAGUAUGCACCGUUGUGAAAGUUCUUCGUGCUGAGACACCAUGUGAUGAUCGUGUGUGAUAGGCUCUACGUUCAAAUACAACGGGUGCAAAAUAGUUGCACACGCGGAAUACUCAGGUUAAACUUGACGAGCCUAGCAUAUACAGAUAUGGCCUCGGAACACUGAGACUGAAAGGUCAAGUGUGAAUCAUAUAGUAGAUAUGAUCAACAUAGUGAUGUUCACUAUUGAAAACUACUCCAUCUCACGUGAUGAUCGGACAUGGUUUAGUUGAUUUGGAUCACGUGAUCACUUAGAUGAUUAGAGGGAUGUCUAUCUAAGUGGGAGUUCUUAAAUAAUAUGAUUAACUGAACUUUAAUUUAUCAUGAAAUUAGUCCUGGUAGUACUUUGCAAAUUAUGUUUUAGAUCAAUAGCUCACGUUGUUGCUUUCAUAUAUUUAUUUUGAUAUGUUCCUAGAGAAAAACUAUGUCGAAAGAUGUUAGUAGCAAUGAUGCGGAUUGGAUCCAUGAUCUGAGGAUUAUCAUCGUUGCUACAUAGAAAAAUUAUGUCCUUGAUGCACCGCUAGGUGACAUACCUAUUGCAGGAGCAGAUGUAGACGUUAUGAACAUUUGGCUAGCUCAAUAUGAUGACUACUCGAUUGUUUAGUGCACCAUGCUUAACAUCUUAGAAUCGGGACUUCAAAGACGUUUUGAACGUCAUGGACCAGAUGAGAUGUUCCAGGAGUUGAAGUUAAUAUUUCAAGAAAAUACCCGAGUUGAGAGAUAUGAAGUCUCCAACAAGUUCUAUAGCUAAAAGAUGGAGGAGAAUUUCUCAACUAGUGAGCAUGUGAUCAGAUUGUCUGGGUACUACAAUCGCUUGAAUCAAGUGGGAGUUAAUCUUCCAGAUAAGAUAGUGAUUGACAGAGUUCUCUAGUCACCAUCACCAAGUUAGUAGAACUUUGUGAUGAACUAUAGUAUGUAAGGGAUGACGAAAACGAUUCCCGAGCUCUUCGUGAUGGUGAAAUUGACGAAGGUAGAAAUCAAGAAAGAACAUCAAGUGUUGAUGAUUGACAAGAUCACUAGUUUCAAUAAAAGGGCAAAGGGAAAGAAAGGGAACUUCAAGUAGAAUGGUAAGCAAGUUGUCACUCCCACGAAGAAGCCCAAAUCUGGACCAAAGCCUGAAACUGAGUGCUUCUACUGCAAAGGAAAUGGUCACCGGGAGUGGAAAUGCCCUGAAUAUUUGGUAGAUAUAAAGUAUGGCAAAGUGAACAAGGGUAUAUUUGAUAUACAGGUUAUUGAUGUGUACCUUACUAGUGUUUAUAGUAACCCCUGGGUAUUUGAUACUUGUUCGGUUGCUAAGAUUAGUAACUCGACACAGGAGUUACAGAAUAAACAGAGACUAGUUGAGGGUGAAGUGACGAUGUAUGUUGGAAGUGGUUCCAAGAUUGAUAUGAUCAUCAUCGCACACUCCCUAUACUUUCGGGAUUAGUGUUAAACCUAAAUAAAUGUUAUUUGGCAUUUGCAUUGAGCAUGAAUAUGAUUUGAUCAUGUUUAUUGCAAUAUAGUUAUUCAUUUAAAGUCAGAGAAUAAUUGUUGUUCUGUAUACAUGAAUAAAACCUUCAAUGGUCAUGCACCCAAGGAUUAUGGCGUUUGGUCCUGGAGUCCGAGUGGGACUCUUGCCUUUCGGGCAAAACCAACUUUGAGGAGGCUUUUGCUCCAAGUUUCGACCCCAGGGCUUAACAUAUAAAUAGAGGGGCGGGGCUAGCACCAAAGACACAUCAAGAAACACCAAGACGUGUGCCGGCAUCCCCACCCCCUCUAGUUUAUCCAUUAUUGAGGAAAUCGUUAACUGGUAACUGCUCGGUUGGCUAGCGAGUAGGGGAUUAAUAGGCUAAUCGGCAAGUUAAUUAGCCAUUUAAUCAAUUAAUCGGACGAUUUAUUGGUUUAUCGGCUACUCGGUGACCCUAGGAGUAGGGGUUAAUCGGCAAGUUAACUGGUUAAUCGGACGAAUUCUUGAACAGGGAGUUUAUCCUCCGUCAUAGUUUCCGUAGUGCUUAGGCGAAGCCCUGCGAAGAUUGUUCUUCACCAACACCGUCACCAUGCCGUCGUGCUACCAGAACUCAUCUACUACUUCGCCCAUCUUGCUGGAUCGAGAAGGCGAGGACAUGAUCGUGCUGAACGUGUGCUGAACACGGAGGUGAUGUACGUUCGGUACUUGAUCGGGGUGGAUCGUGAAGGUGUACGACUACAUCAACCGCGUUGAUAAACACUUCCGCUUAGCAAUCUUAAAGGGUAUGAAGAUACACUCUCCCCUCUCAUUGCUAUGCAUCACCAUGAUCUUGCGUGUGCGUAGGAUUCUUUUUGAAAUUACUACGUUUAACAACAGCAAAAGCUUGGUGACCUCUUCACCAAUGGUUCUUCCCUUCUCUUCGAAAAAACGUCGUAGGGGUUGACGAACAGGCUUGGCGUCCUUGAGAACGUGAAGUUUGUGCUUGGCGUACUUCCUCGGGAUACCCGGCAUGUCCUUGGGGGUCUGCGAAGAUAUCCCGAUUCUCAUAGAGGAAGUCGACGAGCUCGCCUUCCUAUUUGCUAUCGAGGGGGGUGCCUACGACAACGUACCUGCUGCAGCUGGGGUCUUCCGGGAUCAGCUUCACUUUCUUGGUCACCUUGGAGGGCUUGAAGGCGGCCUCGUCGGCCGGGUCCUUGGUCAGGAUCGACGCGGCAGAGGCCUCGCCUGCCAGGGCAACGAUCCGGUCGAGCUGGCGCCGCUCCUCGGCAAUGACCAGCGACUCGGCCAGCUUGGUGCCGUCUCGGGCGCACUCCAGGGACUUACGGUAGUCGCCGGUAAUGGUGAUGAGGCCCUUGGGACCCGGCAUCUUCAUCUUCAGGUACGCAUAAUGGGGGACCACCAUGAACUUGUCGAGCGCGGGUCGGCCCAGCAGUGCGUGGUACGCGCUGGACAGGUCCACCACCUCGAACCAUAUUGGCUCGCGUCGGAAGUGGCUGCUGUCACCGAACAGGAUGUCGAGCCGGACCCGGCCAAUGGGAGAGCAGGAGAGGCCGGGCACGAUGCCGUGGAAGAUUGUCCAGGUCGGUUCCAGGUCCUCGGCCUUGAGGCCGAGCUUAGUCAUUGUGUCGCGGUAGAGAAUGUUGAUGCUGUUGCCGCCAUCGAUGAGGACUCAGGAGAACUUGCAUGUGCGUCGAGCGAUGAUGGUAGGGUUGAGGACGAGGGCGUAACCACCCGGACUCGGCAUGACCGCCGAGUGAUCCUCCUGGGUCCAGGUGACCGGGCGAUCUAACCAGUGCAUGAACUCUGGUUUGGCUGGGAUGACGGUGUUCACCUCCUGCCGCAGGAGGCGCUCGCUACGCUUGUCGUCGCCGAGGCUGGUGAAGAAGACGUAGGACACGUUCUGAUCCGGGUAGGCAUCGUCGCGCAUCACGCCGCCAGCUGGAGGUGGCGGUGGAGGCAGAGGCGGCUGCCCCGCGCCUGGAGCUGGAGCUGGAGGAGGUGGGACGUCACCCCUCAUGAUGCGCUUGGUGAUGGCGCACUGCCAAAGCGUGUGCGUGGACAGUCUUGCGCCACUAUGGUGCUUGCAGGGGGCGUCGAGCAUCUCUUUGAAGCUCAUGGCGGGUUGCCACACCUUCUUGCUGGUCUUCCGGCGCUUGGCCGCCGGGUCCGCCGCGGGCUCGGUGGCCGCGACGAGCCGGUUGUCAUGGCGCUGCACUAGCUGGUCGGCCUUGCGCAUGUUGUUCCGGUGAUGCUGCUGCCAGCUGCUCUUGCCGGCCGGCUUCGGAGGGGGAACCGGCCUCGCCUUGCCGGCUUCAUCCAGCGCCACCUGGAUCUUCAUGGCGGAGUCGGUGUUGGCGUAUUUGUCCGCUGUCACCAUGAGCGCGGCCAUGGUAGCCGGCUUGGAGCGUAAGAGCUUGUGCUUGAGGAGGGUGCCGUCUCGGCACCUGUUGACGAAGUAUUGGAUCGCCUGGACUUCAUGGAUGCCCUCGCAGCUGUUCUGAAGCUCGGUCCAGCAUGCGAGGUACUCGCGACCGGUCUCUGUAGGCCCUUGCACGCACGUGGCGAGCUGGCUAGGGCGACUGGGUCGCUUGUACGUCCCCGUGAAGUUGCGGACAAAGGCUUGCUCGAAAUCGACCCACGUGUUGAUGUUACCCAUCGGCAGACCGUUCAACCAGGUGCGGGCCGAUCCCUGGAGAAUGAGUGGUGCAUAGCGCAUGGCGAGACGGCGAUUGGCCGGUGAUGCCAAUGGCCGUGGUGUAGUCGGUGAGCCAGUCUUCUGGCUUCACGGUCCCAUUGUACUUGGGGGUGUCGCGGGGGAGCAUGAACCCUUUGUUAAAGGGCUCUUCCCGGAUGCGUGGGCCGAAGCACGCCGGCCCGAUAGCGCCACUCUCCUCCACCUCCAGGGAGUGAGCGAGCUGAUCGAGGCGAUGGCGAGCGUUAGCAUCGUUAAUGGUGCGCGGGCCGAGUCGACUGGCGGCCAGGCCACGGGGGGCCGGGUCGGCUAGAGCCGGACGUCAGCCCUGCUGGCCGGGUCCGUGCUGGAUAUCCGGGACGGGCUCGUCGCCCAAACCGCCGGCGGCUGUGGCGGCCGGGUCGCGCCGAGUCCGGGCUCGGCCGGAAUGCGCCUCGCCAGGCGCCGAGAAAGCUGUAUGCAGAAGUUCGCCGGGUCCGCCAAGGCGGGCGGAGCAGGAUCCCGCCAUUUUGGCGAGUUGGUUGAGGCGGUCCUGCUGGGUGUUGGUCGCAUUGAGGAGUUCGCGCAUCCGCCCGAUGCGCUCCUUCAGCUCCUCACCCGUGAGCUGAUCCAGGUCAACUGCGGCUGCCUGGGCAGCGCGCAUGUUCUUCCCAGGGGUCUCAUAGACGGUAGGGACGGUGCCGAGGGCCCGGCCGAUCGCUCCUCCCCGGGCACGCACAUCAGCGACCCGGCUUGGCUCGGCCGCGGCAGUCGUGAAUCCUUAGGCGACAUUGUGCUCCAGCUGAGUGGCAUCCAGACGACACUGGGUGGCGGCGAGCGUCUCGGACAGGUCCAGCAUCUGGUGGCGCCUUUCCUCGAGCUGGGUUUGGGCUUCAGCGAUGUUGGUGGCGUCAAUGUCAGUGCCGAUGGGGAUGCGAAGGCUCUGCAUCACGGCGCGCAACGGAUCGGACGGCUCGGUCUGUUCUGCUGCGGUCCUGGCUUCAGCGGCCUUCCUCGUCUUGCUUGAUGAGGAGGCGGCGCCAUCUCCGGUGACGAAGACCUCCACAUGGACGUCCAUUGCCCCGGCGGAAAUGCCACCGCCGAGGGAGAGGGGGGAGUCGGAGUGGCUGCGCACUUCGCUGGGGUACUCAUCGGCCGUGGACGCAUCGAAGAUGUGCAGCACGGUGAAGGAGGCGGCGAGCACGUCGACGACGUUGUCUGCCAGCGCAACGGACUCGUCGGAGUAGGAGAAGGGCCCCGUCAGAAGCAUGCUCCCAGCCAGCUUCUCGAGCUGCCCCACGGUGGGUGCCAACUGUCAUGGUGGGCGCAUGGCAGAUGCCAUGGGAUGGCUAAAGAUAGGAGGAGGCUCGAGGGUGGUGGUGGGCUCCAGAGGCGAGGUUGGCAUGAGCGGACGCGGGACGCCGGACAUACCCAGGUUCGAGGCUCUCUGGAGAGAUAACACCCCUAGUCCUACCGAGUGUAGUUUGAUGUUUGAUAGUACAACGUUGCUCCUAGAGUUGUAUGGAGGAGGAAGGGAAGCUGGCCAAGGCCUAGGCUGCUCCUUCUCUCCUGAUGGAUAUUGCUGUUUUGGUGGCUCGUUUCUCUCUAUCCUUUCUGUCCUACCCGUAUGUGAGGGCUCCUGGGGGUUUUAUAGACCAACCCCCUAGGGGUACAAUGGUAAUGUUACAAGUCGGUGGGUCCGGGUUAUCGGCUUCCGGGGACCCGGGCUGGGACCCGCUGGGGGCCUGUGGUUCGCCGGGUUCCCCUAGGUGCGGGCCCCGCAUGCCUAGGGGGACUGUAUGCCGUCUUGUCGAUCGUCAGGACGUGGCCGAGUCGAGUUGUGUAUAGUGGCGCUCCGUCAGAUUGCCGCUUGCUGUGGUCAGCAGUGAGGGCGGGGGCACUGUAGCCACGCCAGCCCUGGUCGGCGGGUAGGUGAGUGGCACUAUUGCCACGCUCCGGCUGAUCAGAGGCAUGGGCGAGGCACUGUUGCCUUGGUCAUCAGUUGCUGAAGACUCGUCCCAUCGCAUGGCCUGGAUGGGACGGGAGAUGACCCACGGCUGGAUUGCCGAGAACGCCAUGGGUGGAGCUGUCUUGUUGUGGAAGCUUUGGUUGCGCCGGGUUCGGCCGUCUUGUUCUAGUUGUUGAGGCCGAGUCGACGCGUUUUGCCGGGUCGGAGAGUUCGGCCGGGUUGCAGGGCUCGACCGGGUCGAGCGACCCGACCAAGCGCGUGCUGGCUUGAGGGGCAAUGCUGGCCCCAUUGUUUUUGAAAAGGAUUCGGGUUUCGUUACCUGCGCGGGGUUCAUCCCCCCGACAUGUCUCGUUUGCGCUAUACAUAUAGACCCAUCCAACACUCUUCGGACUUGUUCUCUCUCUAUGUGACACGCACCCCCCCUAAGUACCAUAAUCCCUCACUCCACUAUAGGCGCAAGCACUCCCUCCUAAGUAUGAUUGUCUCUCACUAGCCAUCCGGAACACACGUAUUGUCUCCUUCCAUCCAUACAUCUAUCUUGAUAUCUCUCGGGGUAUCUUCUAUCGCACACACACCUUGUCACUCGAUCUCCCACCCAUGUAGCCUCAUCACGAUCUCCAGGGGAUCUCUCUAUGUCAAACAUACACUCUCUCCUCCCCAUGUCUGCGUUUUCUCCAUACGUCUCUCUCGACCUCUCUCCCUUGCUUGUCAGACCCCUCUUGGCCACGUGCUAGGGAUCUUUCUCUCUCGGUUGCAAACAACCACACACUAUCUCCUAACCUUGCUUCCGUUGUCGAAGAUGCAUGUGUGAUAUGUUUGCAUAAGACACACACUUUUUCUCUACUUCAAUCAGUGUUGUCCAUGUCUCUUUCACACAAGCACGCACACUUUUUUCACUCACACUUUCUAUUUCACACACACACACUCUCUCUCUCUCUCUAGUUAGGGACUGUAGGAUCGGAAGUAUGUCUAGAGGGGGGUGAUUAGACUACUUGACCAAAUAAAAACUUAUCCUUUUCCCAAUUUUAGUCUUUGGCAGAUUUUAGCUAACUUAGCACAAGUCAAGCAAUCUUAACACAAUUCAAGCAAGCAUGCAAAGAGUAUAUGAGCAGCGGAAAGUAAAGCAUGCAACUUGCAAGAAUGUAAAGGGAAGGGUUUGGAUAAUUCAAACGCAAUUGGAGACACGGAUGUUUUUGUCGUGGUUUCGAUAGGUGGUGCUAUUGUACAUCCACGUUGAUGGAGACUUCAACCCACGAAGGGUAACAGUUGCACGAGCCCACGGAGGGCUCCACCCAAAAAGGGUCCACGAAGAAGCAACCUUGUCUAUCCCACCAUGGCCGUCGCCCAUGAAGGACUUGCCUCACUAGAGGUAGAUCUUGACGAAGUAGGCGAUCUCCUUGCCCUUACAAACUCCUAGGUUGAACUCACAAUCUUGUCGGAGGCUCCCAAGCGACACCUAGCCAAUCUAGGAGACACCACUCUCCAAGAAGUAACAAAUGGUGUGUUGAUGAUGAACUCCUUGCUCUUGUGCUUCAAAUGAUAGUCUCCCCAACACUCAACUCUCUCUCACAGGAUUUGGAUUUGGUGGAAAGAAGAUUUGAGUGGAAAGCAACUUGGGGAAGGCUAGAGAUCAAGAUUCAUAUGGUAGGAAUGGAAUAUCUUGGUCUCAACACAUGAGUAGGUGGUUCUCUCUCAGAAAAUGUAAGUUGGAAGUGUAGGCUCGUUCUGAUGGCUAUCUCCACGAAUGAAGAGGAUGUGGAGGGGUACAUAUAGCCUCCACACAAAAUCUAACCGUUACACACAACUUGCCAAUAUUGGUGGGACCGAAUUGAGAAACUCGGUCGGACUGAUUCAACAAAUCUAGUGACCGUUAGGAUUUUUGGUGGGACCGACAUGCAACUCAGUAGGACCGAUAUGGUUAGGGUUAGGGCAUAAUGUAAUCUCAGUGAGACCGAUUACAUAAACUCGGUGGGACCGAUUUUUGUAAUAAGCUAACCAGAGAGUUGGUCAGGUAAACUCGGUGGGACCAGUUUGCUCAUCUCGGUGAGACCAAAAUGUUACGAAAGGGAAACAGAGAGUUUACAUUGCAAUCUCGGUGGGCCGAUCGCUCAUCUCGGUGGUACCGAAACGUUGCAAAGGGAAACAGAGAGAUUACAAUCCCAUCUCGGUGAGACCGAGAUCCCUAUCGGUGAGACCGAUUUGCCUAGGGUUUGUGGCAGUGGCUAUGACAUCUGAACUCGGUGGUGCCGGAUAGAAAGAAUCGGUGGGGCCGAGUUUGACUUAUGGUUUAGGUCAUAUGUGGAUGUGAGAAAGUAGUUGAGGGCUUUGGAGCAUAUUACUAAGCACUUUGAGCAAGAACCUCAUUAAGCAACACCUCAUCCCUCCUUGAUAGUAUUGGCUUUUCCUAAGACUCAAUGUGAUCUUGGAUCACUAAAAUAUAAAAUGUAGAGUCUUGAGCUUUGAGCUUGAGCCAACCCUUUUAUCCUUAGCAUUUUGAGGGGUCCACUUUUCACAUCCAUGCCAUGCCAUUCAUUGAGCUUUCCUGAAAUAUUUAUCUAGAAAUAGCAUUAGCUCAAUGAGCUAUAUGUUGUUAGGAAUUACCAAAACCACCUAGGGAUAGUUGCACUUUCAAUCUCCUCCUUUUUGGUAAUUGAUGACAACAUAUAGAUCAAAGCUUCGACAAAUGAUAAUAAGAUUGAAAAACAUUGUCGCUUUGAGAAGUAUGUGAAAUGUUAGAGCUCCCCCUAAAUUUGUGCAUCGUUUAAGAUUUGCUUUGGACUGCAAAUGCACAAUGAGUUACGAUCAGGAGUUACUCUUCCAUGUCACAUACAUCUUGGUGGAGCGCUCAAAAUGAUAAUAAUUAACAUACAUGCACUCAUCACCAAGCAAAGUGAAUGAUCUUAUAGAGAUAAAAGGAUAAUGUCAUCCAACAAGCAUUAAUGUAGCAUAUGAUCAAACACAUGAUCAUCCAAGUAUCACACGGGCAUAAAGUAUAUCAAACAAGCAAACAAAGUUCAACCACCAAAACAAAAGAGAAUAAAAAGCAACACUCUCUCUCGAAGCCUAUGAUCUAUACAUUUUUCUCCCCCUUCGGCAACAAGUUACCAAAAAGUUCAUAGAAAAUGCAUAGGACUAAAUCGACUCUCAGGCUUGGUCUUCAGGUGGUGGUGUAGAGAUGACGCCAAGGACGAAAGCAUCAAUUGAUGAAGAUGGAGCUGGUGGAGUAGGUCCUGGAGCUGGUGGCACUGAAGUUGUAGAUGGUGCAGAUGAAGUUGCUCUUGUGUCUGGAACAGGCACUGCAGCAAAUCUCUGAGCUCUGGGCACUCUAGCAAACGCAUUAGUGUUAGUCUUGCCCUUCCUCUCCUGCAUGUCAUCUUGAAUUUGCUAAACAACUGAUUGUAUCUCAGUGACCUUCACAUCCAAGUCAUAGAACUUCUGCUCCAUGAUCCUCUCCAGGCUCUCUUAGUUUUGAGUCAGGGUGGCCAAUCCCUUCUCAAUCCUCAGAGUGGAGGCAAUCAAGUAGCCAAGCUGAUCUUGCUUGCUCUUCAGGAAGUACUUAGAUGCCUCAUCAAUGGUUGGCAUCUUGGUAGCCUUUUCAGUCCUUGCCUUCUCCUUCUUUGCUUGUGCUUGCACAGAAGAUGGUUCAUCUUCAUCCAUAACCACUGUGUUGUCCUCAAAAUCUGGAUAGAUGGGCAUGUGAUACUUAUCCAAGAGGUAUGUGCCAGUGCCCAUCUUGGAGUUGAUUAGCUCCUGGAUCUGUGGGGGCAUACCCACAACUUCUCUUUUGGUCAGCAGUUGUCCUCUUGAUAGUUUCCACUAUGAGGCUCAUGACCUUGAACUUUUGAGGCACAUCAAAAAUGUGAAGCAGAUUGAUAGCAUGGCCUCUAAUCAUCUUGUGAUCACCUGACUUAGGCAGAAGAGUGUGCCUGAGGAUCCAGUUGAUGGUCGGCAAUCCUGACAGAAGGUAAUGUACUAAUCCAAACUUGUGUGUUUCAAUAGCAGCAUCUGGGAUCUCCCUGUACAUAUGUGCCAUAGAGUUGUGAUCCUUCUUCUUCUUGGCAUAGACAUCCAAGUCAUCCUCUUUCUCCUUAGGUGCAUUGAUCAGAUUUGUCCAUUCUUCAAUAGUGGAUUGGUACCUAGUGUUGGGGAACAUUGCAGAAAAUAAAAAAAUUCUACGCUUCACCAAGAUCAAUCUAUGGAGUCAUCUAGCAACGAGAGAGAGGAUAGCAUCUACAUACCCUUGUAGAGCACGCACGGAAGCGUUCAAGAGAACGGGGUUGAGGGAGUCGUACUCGUCAUGAUCCAAAUCACCGAUGAUCCUAGUGCUAAACGGAUAGCACCUCUAUGUUCAACACACGUAUGGUUGGGAAGACGUCUCCUCCUUCUUGAUCCAGCAAGGGGGAAGGAGAGGUUGAUGGAGAUCCAGCAGCACAACGGUGUGGUGGUGGAAGUAGCAGCAAUCUCGGCAGGGCUUCGCCAAGCUCUAUGAGAGGGAGAGGUGCUGCAGAGGGAGAGGGAGGCGCCAGGAGUAGGGGUACAUAGCCCUCCCUCUCCCCCUCUUUAUAUAGGGUCCCUGGGCGGGCGGCCCCCUAGAGAUUGGAUCUCAAGGGGGGGCGGCGGCCAAGGGGGUGGCUUGCCCCCCAAGCCAAGUGGGGCGCCCCCCACCCCUAGGGUUUCCAACCCUAGGCGCAGAGGGAGGCCCAAGGGGGGCGCACCAGCCCACCAGGGGCUGGUUCCCCCUCCCACUUCAGCUCAUGGUGCCCUCCAGGAUAGGUGGCCCCACCCGGUGGACCCCCGGGACCCUUCCGGUGGUCCCUGUACAAUACCGGUGACCACCGAAACUUUCCCGAUGGCCGAAACUGGACCUCCUAUAUAUAAUUCUUCACCUCUAGACCAUUCCGGAACUCCUCGUGACGUCCGGGAUCUCAUCCGGGACUCCGAACAACUUUCAGGUUACCGUAUACUAAUAUCUCUACAAACCUAGCAUCACCGAACCUUAAGUGUGUAGACCCUACGGGUUCGGGAGACAUGCAGACAUGAACGAGACGACUCUCCGGUCAAUAACCAACAGCAGGAUCUGGAUACCCAUGUUGGUUCCCACAUGCUCCUCGAUGAUCUCAUCGGAUGAACCACGAUGUCGAGGACUCAAGUAAUCCCGUAUACAAUUCCCUUUGUCAAUCGGUACGUUACUUGCCCGAGAUUCGAUCGUCGGUAUCCCAAUACCUCGUUCAAUCUCGUUACCGACAAGUCACUUUACUCGUACCGUAAUGCAUGAUCCCGUGACCAAACACUUGGUCACAUUGAGCUCAUUAUGAUGAUGCAUUACCGAGUGGGCCCAGAGAUACCUCUCCGUCAUACGGAGUGACAAAUCCCAGUCUCGAUCUGUGUCAACCCAACAGAUACUUUCGGGGAUACCCAUAGUAUACCUUUAUAGUCACCCAGUUAUGUUGUGACGUUUGGUACACCCAAAGCACUCCUAUGGCAUCUGGGAGUUACACGAUCUCAUGGUCUAAGGAAAUGAUACUUGACAUUGGAAAAGCUCUAGCAAACGAACUACACGAUCUUGUGCUAUGCUUAGGAUUGAGUCUUGUCCAUCACAUCAUUAUCCUAAUGAUGUGAUCCUGUUAUCAACGACAUCCAAUGUCCAUAGUCAGGAAACCAUGAAUAUCUGUUGAUCAACGAGCUAGUCAACUAGAGGCUCACUAGGGACAUGUUGUGGUCUAUGUAUUCACACGUGUAUUACGAUUUCCGGAUAACACAAUUAUAGCAUGAAUAACAGACAAUUAUCAUGAACAAGGAAAUAUAAUAAUAAUCAUUUUAUUAUUGCCUCUAGGGCAUAUUUCCAACAGUCUCCCACUUGCACUAGAGUCAAUAAUCUAGUUACAUUGUGAUGAAUCGAACACCCAUAGAGUUCUGGUGUUGAUCAUGUUUUGCUCGCGGAAGAGGUUUAGUCAACGGAUCUGCAAUAUUCAGAUCCGUAUGCACUUUGCAAAUAUCUAUGUCUCCAUGUUGAACAUUUUCACGAAUGGAGUUGAAGCAACGCUUGAUGUGCCUGGUCUUCUUGUGAAACCUGGGCUCCUUGGCAAGGGCAAUAGCUCCAGUGUUGUCACAGAACAGAGUGAUCGACCCUGACGCAUUGGGUAUGACUCCAAGGUCGGUGAUGAACUCCUUCAUCCAGAUUGCCUCAUGCACUGCCUCCGAGGCUGCCAUGUACUUCGCUUCACAUGUAGAUCCCGCCACGACGCUUUGCUUGCAACUGCACCAGCUUACUGCCCCUCCAUUCAAAAUAUACAUGUAUCCGGUUUGUGACUUAGAGUCAUCCAGAUCUGUGUCGAAGCUAGCAUCGACGUAACCCUUUACGACGAGCUCUUCGUCACCUCCAUAUACGAGAAACAUUUCCUUAGUCCUUUUCAAGUACUUCUAGAUGUUCUUGAUCGCUGUCCAGUGUUCCAUGCCGGGAUUACUUUGGUACCUUCCUACCAAACUUACGACAAUGUUUACAUCAGGUCUGGUACACAGCAUGGCAUACAUAAUAGACCCUAUAGCUGAGGCGUAGGGGAUGACACUCAUCUUUUCACUAUCUUCUGUCGUGGUCGGGCAUUGAGCUGAGCUCAAUUUCACACCUUGCAACAUAGGCAAGAACCCCUUCUUGGACUGAUCCAUAUUGAACUUCUUCAAUAUCUUAUCAAGGUAUGUGCUUAGUGAAAGACCUAUGAGGAGUCUCGAUCUAUCCCUAUAGAUCUUGAUGCCUAAUAUGUAAGCAGCUUCUCCAAGGUCCUUCAUUGAAAAACACUUAUUCAAGUAGGCCUUAAUGCUGUCCAAAAGUUCUAUAUCAUUUCCCAUCAAAAGUAUGUCAUCUACAUAUAAUAUGAGAAAUGCUACAGAGCUCCCACUCACUUUCUUGUAAACGCAGGCUUCUCCAUAAGUCUGCAUAAACCCAAACGCUUUGAUCAUCUCAUCAAAGCGAAUGUUCCAACUCCGAGAUGCUUGCACCAUCCCAUAAAUGGAUCGCUGGAGUUUGCAUACCUUGUUAGCAUUCUCAGGAUCGACAAAACCUUCCGGCUGCAUCAUAUACAGUUCUUCCUUAAGAUAGCCAUUAAGGAAUGCCGUUUUGACAUCCAUUUGCCAUAUCUCAUAAUCAUAGUAUGCAGCAAUUGCUAACAUGAUUCGUACGGGCUUCAGCUUCCUCUAUGGGAGAGAAAGUCUCAUCGUAGUCAACCCCUUGAACUUGUCCAUAACCUUUAGCAACAAGUCGAGCUUUAUAGAAGGUAACAUUACCAUCCGCAUCCGUCUUCUUCUUAAAGAUCCAUUUGUUUUCUAUCGCUCGCCGAUCAUCGGGCAAGUCUGUCAAAGUCCAUACUUCGUUUUCAAACAUGGAUCCUAUCCCGGUUUGCAUGGCUUCAAGCCAUUUGUUGGAAUCUGGGCCCACCAUCGCUUCUUCAUAGUUCUAAGGUUCACCGUUGUCUAACAACAUGAUUUCUAGGACAGGGUUGCCAUACCACUCUGCUGUGGAACGUGUCCUUGUGGACCUACGAAGUUCAGUAUUAACUUGAUCCGAAGUACCUUGAUCAUCAUCAUUAACUUCCUCUCUAGUCAGUGCAGGCACCACAUGAACAUCUUCCUAAGCUGUGCUACUUUCCGGUUCAAGAGGUAGUACUUCAUCAAGUUCCACUUUCCUCCCACUUACUUCUUUCGAGAGAAACUCUUUCUCCAGAAAGGACCCGUUCUUGGCAAUAAAGAUCUUGCCUUCGGAUCUUAGGUAGAAGGUAUACCCAAUGGUUUCCUUAGGGUAUCCUAUGAAGACGCAUUUUUCCAACUUGGGUUCGAGCUUUUCAGGUUGAAGUUUCUUGACAUAAGCAUCGCAUCCCCAAACUUUUAGAAAUGAUAGCUUAGGUUUCUUCCCAAACCAUAAUUCAUACGGUGUCGUCUCAACGGAUUCAGACAGUGCCCUAUUUAAAGUGAAUGUAGUUGUCUCUAGAGUGUAUCCCCAAAAUGAUAGCGGUAAAUCGGUAAGAGACAUCAUAGAUCGCACCAUAUCUAAUAAAGUGUGAUUACGAUGUUCGGACACACCGUUACCCAGAGGUGUUCCAGGCGGCGUGAGUUGCGAAACGAUUCCACAUUUCCUUAAGUGCGUACCAAAUUCAUGACUUAAAUAUUCUCCUCCAUGAUCUGAUCGUAAGAACUUUAUCUUUCGGUCACAUUGAUUCUCUACCUCAUUCUGAAAUUCCUUGAACUUUUCAAAGGUCUCAGACUUGUGUUUCAUCAAGUAGACAUACCCAUAUCUACUCAAGUCAUCAGUGAGAGUGAUAACAUAACGAUAUCCUCCGCGAGCCUCAACGCUCAUUGGACCACACACAUCAGUAUGUAUGAUUUCCAAUAAGUUGGUUGCUCGCUCAUUGUUCCGGAGAACGGAGUCUUGGUCAUUUUGCCCAUGAGGCAUGGUUCGCAUGUGUCAAAUGAUUCAUAAUCGAGAGACUCUAAAAAGUCCAUCAGCAUGGAGCUUCUUCAUGCGCUUGACACCAAUGUGACCAAGGCGGCAGUGCCACAAGUAUGUGGGACUAUCGUUAUCAACUUUACAUCUUUUGGUAUUCACACUAUGAAUAUGUGUAACAUCACGUUCGAUAUUCAUUAAGAAUAAACCAUUGACCAUCAGGGCAUGACCAUAAAACAUAUCUCUCAUAUAAAUAGAACAACCAUUAUUCUCGGAUUUAAAUGAGUAGCCAUCUCGUAUUAAACGAGAUCUAGAUACAAUGUUCAUGCUCAAAGCUGGCACUAAAUAACAAUUAUUGAGGUUUAAAACUAAUCCCGUAGGUAAAUGUAGAGAUAGCGUGCCGACGGCGAUCACAUCGACCUUGGAACCAUUCCUGACGCACAUCGUUACCUCGUCCUUCACCAGUCUCCGCUUAUUCUGCAGCUCCUGUUUUGAGUUACAAAUAUGAGCAACCGCACCGGUAUCAAAUACCCAGGAGCUACUACGAGUACUGGUAAGGUACACAUCAAUUAUAUGUAUACCACAUAUACCUCUAGUGUUGCCGGCCUUCUUGUCCUCUAAGUAUUAGGGGCAGUUCUGCUUCCAGUGUCUGCUUCCCUUGCAAUAAAAGCACUCAAUCUCAGGUUUGGGUCCAUUCUUUGGCUUCUUCCCGGCAACUGGCUUACCGGGCGCGGCAACUCUCUUGCUGUCCUUCUUGAAGUUCUUCUUACCCUUGCCUUUAUUGAACUUAGUGGUUUUAUUGACCAUCAACACUUGAUGUUCCUUUUUGAUUUCCACCUCCACUGAUUUCAGCAUUGAAAAUACUUCAGGAAUAGUUUUCACCAUCCCCUGCAUAUUGAAGUUCAUCACAAAGCUCUUCUAGCUAGGUGGGAGCGACUGAAGGAUUCUGUCAACGACCGCCUCAUCCGGGAGAUUAAUGUCCAGCUGGGACAGGUGGUUGUGCAACCCAGACAUUUUGAGUAUGUGCUCACUGACAGAACUAUUUUCCUCCAUCUUACAACUGUAGAACUUGUCGGAGACUUCAUAUCUCUCGACCCGGGCAUGAGCUUGGAAAACCAUUUUCAGCUCUUCGAACAUAUCAUAUGCUCUGUGUUGCUCAAAACGCUUUUGGAGCCCCGGUUCUAAGCUAUAAAGCAUGCUGCACUAAACGAGGGAGUAACCAUCAGCACGUGACUGCCAAGCGUUCAUAAUGUCUUGGUUCUCUGGGAUGGGUGCGUCACCUAGCGGUCCUUCUAGGACAUAUGCUUUCUUGGUAGCUAUGAGGAUGAUCCUCAGGUUCCGGACCCAGCUCGUAUAGUUGCUGCCAUCAUCUUUUAGCUUGGUUUUCUCUAGAAAUGCGUUGAAGUUGAGGUUGAUAUGAGCGUUGGCCAUUUGAUCUACAAGACAUUUUGCAAAGGUUUUUAGACUAAGUUCAUGAUAAUUAAGUUCAUCUAAUCAAAUUAUUUAAUGAACUCCCACUCAGAUUAAACAUCCCUCUAGUCAUCUAAGUGAUACAUGAUCCGACUCAACUAGACCGUGUCCAUUCAUCACGUGAGAUGGACUAGUCAUCAUCGGUGAACAUCUCCAUGUUGAUCGUAUCUUCCAUACGACUCAUGUUCGACCUUUUGGUAUCUUGUGUUCCGAGGCCAUGUCUGUACAUGCUAGGCUCGUCAAGUCAACCUAAGUGUUUUGCAUGUGUAAAUCUGUCUUACACCCGUUGUAUGUGAAUGUUAGGAUCUAUCACACCCGAUCAUCAUGUGGUGCUUCGAAACAACGAACUUUCGCAACGGCGCACAGUUAGGGGGAACACUUUCUUGAAAUUGUUAUGAGGGAUCAUCUUAUUUACUACCGUCGUUCUAAGCAAAUAAGAUGCAAAAACAUGAUAAACAUCACAUGCAAUCAAAUAGUGACAUGAUAUGGCCAAUAUCAUAUUGCUCCUUUGAUCUCCAUCUUCGGGGCGCCAUGAUCAUCUUCGCCACCGGCAAGACACCAUGAUCUCCAUAAUCAUGAUCUCCAUCAUCGUGUCUCCAUGAAGUUGUUCGCCAACUAUUACUUCUACUACUAUGGCUAACGGUUUAGUAAUAAAGUAAAGUAAUUACAUGGUGUUUAUUCAUUGACACGUAGGUCAUACAAUAAUUAAGACAACUCCUAUGGCUCCUGCCAGUUGUCAUACUCAUCGACAUGCAAGUCGUGAUUCCUAUUACAAGAACAUGAUCUCAUACAUCACAUAUAUAUCAUUCAUCACAAACUUUUGGCCAUAUCACAUCACAAAGGCAAAUGCUACAAAAACAAGUUAGACGUCCUCUAAUUGUUGUUGCAUGUUUUUACGUGGAUGUUAUAGGGUUCUAGCAAGAAUGUUUCUUACCUACGUAAAAGCCACAACGUGAUAUGCCAAUUUCUAUUUACCCUUCAUAAGGACCCUUUUCAUCGAAUCUGAUCCGACUAAAGUGGGAGAGACAGACACCCGCUAGCCACCUUAUGGAACUAGUGCAUGUCAGUCGGUGGAACCUGUCUCACGUAAGCGUACGUGUAAGGUCGGUCCGGGCCGCUUCAUCCCACGAUGCCACCGAAACAAGAUAAUACUAGUAGUGGCAAGAAAAUUGAUAACAUCUACGCCCACAACAAAUUUGUGUUCUACUCGUGCAAAGAAAACUACGCAUAGACCUAGCUCAUGAUGCCACUGUUGGGGAACAUUGCAGAAAAUAAAAAAUUUCUACGCUUCACCAAGAUCAAUCUAUGGAGUCAUCUAGCAACGAGAGAGAGGAUAGAAUCUACAUACCCUUGUAGAUCGCGCACAGAAGCGUUCAAGAGAACGGGGUUGGGGGAGUCGUACUCGUCGUGAUCCAAAUCACCGAUGAUCCUAGUGCUGAACGGACAACGCCUCCGCAUUCAACACACGUACGGUUGGGAAGACGUAUCCUCCUUCCUAAUCCAGCAAGGGGGAAGGAGAGGUUGAUGGAGAUCCAGCAGGACAACGGCGUGGUGGUGGAAGUAGCAGCGAUCUCGGCAGGGCUUCGCCAAGCUCUAUGAGAGGGAGAGGUGUUGCAGACGGAGAGGGAGGCACCAGGAGCAGGGGUACGCAGCCCUCCCUCUCCCCCUCUUUAUAUAGGGGCCCUGGGGAGGGGGGGCGCCGGCCCCUAGAGAUUGGAUCUCAAGGGGGGCGGCAGCCAAGGGGGUGGCUUGCCCCCCAAGCCCAGUGGGGCGCCCCCACCCCUAGGGUUUCCAACCCUAGGCGCAGGGGGAGGCCCAAGGGGGGCGCACCAGCCCACCAGGGGCUGGUUCCCCCUCCCACUUCAGCCCAUGGGGCCCUCCGGGAUAGGUGGACCCACCCGGUGGACCCCCGGGACCCUUCCGGUGGUCCAGGUACAAUACCGGUGACCCCCAAAACAUUCCCGAUGGCCAAAACUGGACUUCCUAUAUAUAAUUCUUCACCUCCAGACCAUUUUGGAACUCCUCAUGCUGUCCGGGAUCUCAUCCGGGACUCCGAACAACUUUCGGGUUACCGCAUACUAAUAUCUCUAGAACCCUAGCGUCACCGAACCUUAAGUGUGUAGACCCUACGGGUUCGGGAGACAUGCAGACAUGACCGAGACGACUCUCCGGUCAAUAACCAACAGCGGGAUCUGGAUACCCAUGUUGGUCCCCACAUGCUCCUCGAUGAUCUCAUCGGAUGAACCACGAUGUCGAGGAUUCAAGUAAUCCCGUAUACAAUUCCCUUUGUCAAUCGGUACGUUACUUGCCCGAGAUUCGACCGUCGGUAUCCCAAUACCUCGUUCAAUCUCGUUACCGGCAAGUCACUUUACUCGUACCGUAAUGCAUGAUCCUGUGACCAAACACUUGGUCACAUUGAGCUCAUUAUGAUGAUGCAUUACCUAGUGGGCCCCGAGAUACCUCUCCGUCAUACGGAGUGACAAAUCCCAGUCUCGAUCCGUGUCAACCCAUCAGAUACUUUCGGGGAUACCCGUAGUAUACCUUUAUAGUCACCCAGUUACGUUGUGACGUUUGGUACACCCAAAGCACUCCUACGGCUUCCGGGAGUUACACGAUCUCAUGGUCUAAGGAAAUGAUACUUGACAUUGGAAAAGCUCUAGCAAACGAACUACACGAUCUUGUGCUAUGCUUAGGAUUGGGUCUUGUCCAUCACAUCAUUCUCCUAAUGAUGUGAUCCUGUUAUCAACUACAUCCAAUGUCCAUAGUCAGGAAACCAUGACUAUCUGUUAAUCAACGAGCUAGUCAACUAGAGGCUCACUAGGGACAUGUUGUGGUCUAUGUACUCGCGCGUGUAUUACGAUUUCCGGAUAACACAAUUAUAGCAUGAAUAACAAACCAUUAUCAUGAACAAGGAAAUAUAAUAAUAAUCAUUUUAUUAUUGCCUCUAGGGCAUAUUUCCAACACCUAGUACCUUCAGACAUCCAUACUAUCCUUCCAUCUUGAUAGAAGUGUGCUGUGGAGUAGAACUGCAUUAUGAGCUCAUCAUUCCACUUUGUGAGCUUGUGCCCAACAAAGUCAUCCACUCCACAAGCAUUGAAACUGUCAUACACUCCAGGAUAGUGCUCUUCAUUCUCCUUCAUAUAUUUCCAGUCCACCCAUCUCAUGUCACAGACAAUUUACUUCUUGUCAAGCAGCAUUGUCUUAUAGAAGUCCUGUUGUUCCUUAGUAUGGAACCUAUAGUCCACAACAGUUCUCCACCUGACUACAUAGGGAUCAGUCAACCUCCACUGUAUGAGUCAUGCAUCCUUUCUCAGCUUCAUAUCCUCAGCUACAGGAUGAACAUCAUUGUGAUCUGGAAUUUUGGGCUUCAACUUUCUCAAGACAUGUUCCUCAUCAUCUUCUUCUUCAAUAGCAACUUCAGGCACUGGGGCCAUGUUCUUUUCUCCAGCGGGAAUGUUCCUACUAUUCCUCUUGGGUGCAGCUCUAGGCUUUGGAGCAGCUGCCUUGGGAGCUUCUUUGGGCAUUGAUGAAGCAGCCCCUGACCUGAUGGCAUCACCCAUAAGCUUCUGAGCUUUAGGUGCUGGUGCAGCAACCUCUUCCUCUUCUUCCUCUUCCAUCAUGGAAGGCUUUCCAACAACCCUUGCCAUGGUCUUCUUGACCCUUUCCUUACUCUUCUUCCCUUCUUCAGCAACCUCUUUUGGUUCAGAUUCCAAAGGCACUUGAGUGGAGGCUCUAGUUUUGGACAUGGGAAUUCUUCUAGCAGGUGCUCUGGUCCUCAUACCAGGCUUAGUGGCAGCAGUUGUGCCAUAUUCCUUCUUGAGCACCUUCUUUUUGGAAGUGGCCUCAUCCUCAACAACCACAUAAUCUUCAUCCUCAGACUCUGAGGUUUUCUUCUUUCUGGCCCUGGUGGCUGCCUUAGGCAAGUUGCUGGGUGUGCUCCUACUACCAUCAUAGCUGCUAGAGGGACUAGUGCCCUCACUCAUGUGAACCUGCUCCUCAGACUUGUUCUGACUAUCACUCUGAUCAGACAUGUUGCAAACACUGACAGCAGACCCUGUGAAUAGAUAUAGAUGAGGUAGAUAGGAUGAGCAUCACAAAAUACAGAGGUUUUUGCAAAAGAAUGAGUCAAAAACUUAGUUUUAGUUUUCCACAGAAAGCAUUUCGGAUCUACCGAUUUGUAAACUCGGUGAUACCGAAGCAGCUUUUGGAACCUAAACUAGUGAACUUGGUCAGACCGAGUCACAGUUCGGUGACACCGAGACUGCUAGGGUUUCACAAAGUCCUGAACUCGGUCACACCGAUUUGCAAUUCUCGGUCAGACCGAGAAUCACAUGUGCAAUGGCCUUGGCCAAAUCGGUGGAACCGAUUUCUACAACUCGGUCGGUCCGAGAUGGUUUUGGCAGAAACCUAACCCUAAAUUUUCAAUCCAAACCUGAUCUAUGGAGUGUUUUCAUUGGAUAAGAUGAUCUCAAUCGUGGCAAGAUACAUGGCGAAAACAAUGUGCUAGGAAUCGGAGUGAGAUUAGCACAAGGAUCAAGUCCAUACCCUAGUUCGGCGAUGGACUUGCUACAGCGGCAAUGGCAGAGAUGAUUCCAGUUGACGGCGGCAGAGACCAGCGAUGAGAGGCGGCUAGCGACGAGGAGGACGAUCCGGAGACCUAGGGAGGCAGAGCGGGCUGAGCGCGGGCGAAAGAGUUCGGAGAAAUUUCCAAAAUUUUGCCCGUGGAUAUAUAUAGCCCGACCCUGUCGGGGUGACCGAGCGGAACAACUCGGUGGCACCGAGAUGCAUAUCUGCAAGCAGUUACUGCAACUCGGUGUGACCGAAAAGUUCAAAUCGGUUGCACCGAGAUUGAAAAUCUAGAUCGACUUAGUGAUCUCAGUAUGACCGAAAUGGAAGAAUCGGUCAGACCGAAACGCACAAAGAAGUUUUGGAAGUUUAAGUCUAUGACGAAUCGGGGACCCCGAGUGCUCCUCACACAGAGUGGUUCGAAUCUGACUUCAUCAAAUUUUGUGAUGUAGCAUGAAUAGAGUUUGAGACAAGAAAAGCAUAGAUAGCUAGAGAAGGUUCUUAGGUAUUCUUGUCCAUCCACUUGGCAAAAGAAAAGACACCAAACAAUCAAAACAACAAGUGGAUGUCCUCGAAUGAGUAAAUAUGCAACCAACAUGCUCACACAAUAAAAUGACAAGUGAAAUAUGUGGCAAAGCAUGCACAACCAUUCUAGCUUCUAUCAAGCAAUUGGUGAUGACUAGGUCAUCUAUAUAUGAGUAUAUUGACUUAGGAGUCAAAUGAGAACAUUUGAUCAUAGGUCAUACUCAUCGUUUAAUCUCAAGUGGGGUUGCCACUUUUACAUAAUGCAUUGUUGUGUUCACACCAUUAGAGUUGCUUUAACUCAAUUCUUAGAGUACAGCUCCCCCUAGAUGUGAGAUCCCCCCUUAGAGGGAUGAACUAACCUUUGUUUUUGUCGAUGAUGACUUCAUGUAGGUGUUGAAGAUGUGGAUGCUCAUUGUUGAUGUAGAUCAUUUGGAGCAAUCCUUUGGAGUGAGUUGCACUUUCAAUACCUACAUGGGUUAGUCCCACAAGGAACAAACAAUGAUAUCCAUAGACAUAGAGUGAUGCACACACAAAAUGAUGUCUAUGAAAACAUUAGGUUACCUUGUCCCUUGUCUUACCAACAAGAGGGUUUGUGACUCCAUGAACUAGUGCAAGAUGUGGAAGUUGAUUGCACUUGUCCUUGCCAAAAUGAUAUAGUGAAGUAUGUUGGCAGAGUCACCCUCAAGAACUCUCUAGUUCUUCUUCUUCAGGAUCCACAUCAUCUUGAUGGGAAUCCUUGGAGUUGUAGUCGUACUUGAUGAAGUAGAACUUGACGUAGUCUUGGGAACCCACUUGACCAAGGCCUUGGGAGCUUCUUCAAAUGCAUCAAUCUCCUCUUGAAGCUCAUCCUUGCCUUUUUGCUUGUGGUCUUGUGGUGGAAGAUCAUCUUGAGCUUGUGUCCCUUUCAAGGAAGUAGGAUCAUACUUCUCUUGUUGAGGAACAAACUUCAUCUUGGGGUAUUGAUCUUCUUCCCACUCAACUCCAUUGUCAUUGAACUUUCGUUCAAAACCAACACCUUGGUUCUUCCGGUGCCUUCCUUGCUUGCGUACAAUUUCCUCGAAUUGAUUACUCCCGGCAAGGCUCUUGUAAACACCUUUCUCUAUAAUUCCCUUCAAUAAGCUAUUUUCUUGCUCAAGUGUAACUUGGCUAAGAGAAUCAUUAGUGGAAUCAAGAGAACUACUAAAAGCAACAACAUUGGAUUUAACAUGAUUAUUGUUACUACUAGAGGAAGAAUCCUUCUUGUUCUUGUUACUAGACUUGACUUGAGGCAUGUAAGUAGAUAAGAGUAAACGCUUGGCAAUGUAAGAAGAACUUUUCUUGCGAAGAUCAUCAUUGAUUGCCUUUAAGAACUCAUGCUCUUGCUCAAGGUUGAGCUUUUCAAAGCGUAACUUCUCAUGAGUCCUUAAAAGUUCUCGAUGAUCCCCUAAGAUAGUUUCAUGAGCUAACUUAAGAGUGUUUAGUUUUUUAGUUAGGAGCUCAAUCUUCUCCUUAUCAUUGUCAUUCGUUUUAUCUUGAUUAGCAUGAUUAAUUGACGUUUCAUCGUAGUAUUCAUCACUAGAGUUGUCAAUAAGUAAAUCAUCAUCACCUAACAAGUAAUCUUCAUCACUAUUGAAAUCAACAUACUCGGGGUGUGUUACCUUUGGGCCUUUAGCCAUGAAGCAUCUUCCAAGUCCUUCAUUUGGUGAAUCAAAUAUGUCGUAGGAGUUGGUUGACACAAGUGCUAGACCGGCAACACCUUCAUCUUGAGUAUGUUCGGAGUCGAAGUGAUAGCUUCUCUCGGAGUGAUUGUCGGAGUCGGAGCCGGAUACCCAUUCACCAACAUGAGCUUGAUGUCUUCGUUUUGUGUAGCUCCUUGAUGACUUGUCCUUCCUUUCUGAAUCCUUGCUUCUCCGGGAUGUUCUUCGUUCAUAACGAUCAUCUCUACUCCUUCUCUCUCUUGGUGGUGAUUCUUCUCUUCUACUUCUCCUCUUAGGUGAUUCUUCUCUUCUUUUGUAGGGAGCCGUACACUCAUUGGAAUAGUGUCCGGGUCUUCCACAGUUGUAGCAGUUACGCUCUCGACUAGAAGAUCUUUUGUCAUUGUAGGACCUUGACUUGGAGCUUCUCUCUUUGCUUCUACUCUUGUAGAACUUGUUGAAGUUCUUCACCAUUAGGCUCAAUUCUUCAUUGAAGGUUUGUUUCUCACUUGAUGAUGUGGGGGCUUCACAUGAGGCUUUGUAAGCACCACUUGACUUGUUGUGGAGCUCCUCCUUAUCUUUGAGUGACAUCUCAUGAGCAACAAUUCUUCCAAUGACUUCCGUUGGCUUGAGAUUCUUGUAAUUGGGCAUCAUUUGGAUCAAUGUGCACACGGUAUCAUAUUUUCCAUCCAAUGCUCUUAGGAUCUUCUUGAUGAUGAAUUUGUCGGUCAUCUCUUCACUUCCUAAGCCGAUAAUCUCAUUUGUAAUGAGAGCAAGCCUAGAGUACAUUUCAGCGAUGCCUUCACCAUCCUUCAUCUUGAACUUGUCAAGUUGACUUUGUAGCACAUCCAACUUGGAUUCCUUGACAGAGUCGGUACCUUUGUGCAUAUCAAUCAAAGUAUCCCAAAUUUCCUUUGCAUUCUCAAGAUGGCUGAUUUUGUUGAAUUCUUCGGGGCACAGUCCGUUGAAUAGGAUAUCACAAGCUUGAGAGUUGUAUUGCAGCAUCUUCAACUCAUGCGCGCUAGCUUCACGGUCCGGUUCUCUCCCAUCAAAGAAUUCACCUUGCAGGCCAAUACACACAAUAGCCCAAACAACAGGGUUAUGUCCGAGAAUAUGCAUUUUCAUCUUAUGCUUCCAUCUAGCAAAAUUAGUACCAUCAAAGUAAGGACCUCUAUGGUGAUAGUUUCCCUCGCUAGACGCCAUACUCUCCUAGGUUGUGAAACCAAGGCUAUGACCACCAAAAGCUAUGGAAAUCAAAGCAAAUGGAGACCAAAGCUCUGAUACCACUUGUAGGAUCGGAAGUAUGUCUAGAGGGGGGUGAUUAGACUACUUGACCAAAUAAAAACUUAUCCUUUUCCCAAUUUUAGUCUUUGGCAGAUUUUGGCUAACUUAGCACAAGUCAAGCAAUCUUAACACAAUUCAAGCAAGCAUGCAAAGAGUAUAUGAGUAGCUGAAAGUAAAGCAUGCAACUUGCAAGAAUGUAAAGGGAAGGGUUUGGAGAAUUCAAAUGCAAUUGGAGACACGGAUAUUUUUGUCGUGGUUCCGAUAGGUGGUGCUAUCGUACAUCCGCGUUGAUGGAGACUUCAACCCAUGAAGGGUAACGGCUGCGCGAGUCCACGGAGGGCUCCACCCAAAAAGGGUCCACGAAGAAGCAACCUUGUCUAUCCCACCAUGGUCGUCGCCCAUGAAGGACUUGCCUCACUAGCGGUAGAUCUUCAUGAAGUAGGCGAUCUCCUUGCCCUUACAAACUCCUUGGUUGAACUCCACAAUCUUGUCGGAGGCUCCCAAGUGACACCUAGCCAAUCUAGGAGACACCACUCUCCAAGAAGUAACAAAUGGUGUGUUGAUGAUGAACUCCUUGCUCUUGUGCUUCAAAUGAUAGUCUCCCGAACACUCAACUCUCUCUCAUAGGAUUUGGAUUUGGUGGAAAGAAGAUUUGAGUGGAAAGCAACUUGGGGAAGGCUAGAGAUCAAGAUUCAUAUGGUAGGAAUGGAAUAUCUUGGACUCAACACAUGAGUAGGUGGUUAUCUCUCAGAAAAUGUAAGUUGGAAGUGUAGGUUCGUUCUGAUGGCUCUCUCCAUGAAUGAAGAGGAGGUGGAGGGGUAUAUAUAGCCUCCACACAAAAUCUAACCGUUACACCCAACUUGCCAAUCUCGGUGGGACCGAUUUGAGAAACUCGGUCGGACCGAUUCAACAAAUCUAGUGACCGUUAGGAUUUUCGGUGGGAUUGACAUGCAACUCGGUAGGACCGAUAUGGUUAGGGUUAGGGCAUAACGUAAUCUCGGUGAGACCGAUUACACAAACUCGGUGGGACCAAUUUUUGUAAUAAGCUAACCAGAGAGUUGGUCAGGUAAACUCGGUGGGACUGGUUCGCUCAUCUCGGUGAGACCGAAAUGUUAUGAAAGGGAAACCGAGAGUUUACAUUACAAUCUCAGUGGGACCGAUCGCUCAUCUCGGUGGUACCAAAACGUUACGAAGGGAAACAGAGAGAUUACAAUCCCAUCUUGGUGAGACCGAGAUCCCUAUCGGUGAGACCGAUUUGCCUAGGGUUUGUGGCAGUGGCUAUGACAUCUAAACUCGGUGGCGCCGGAUAGAAAGAAUCGGUGGGGCCGAGUUUGACUUUUGGUUUAGGUCAUAUGUGGAUGUGAGAAAGUAGUUGAGGGCUUUGGAGCAUAUUACUAAGCACUUUGAGCAAGAACCUCAUUAAGCAACACCUCACCCCUCCUUGAUAGUAUUGGCUUUUCCUAUAGACUCAAUGUGAUCUUGGAUCACUAAAAUAUAAAAUGUAGAGUCUUGAGCUUUGAGCUUGAGCCAACCCUUUUAUCCUUAGCAUUUUGAGGGGUCCACUUUUCUCAUCCAUGCCAUGCCAUUCAUUGAGCUUUCCUGAAAUAUUUAUCUAGAAAUGGCAUUAGCUCAAUGAUCUAUAUGCUGUUAGGAAUUACCAAAACCACCUAGGGGUAGUUGCACUUUCAGGGACUCUCUCAUGUCCAUAAGUAUAUGGAUGUUUUGAGAAGUCAAACCUCAGAAAAGUUUGACCAGGUAUAUGUGGAGAAAAACAUUUACAUCUGGAACGAUCAUUAGAUUCAUCACAACAUGUACUUACUUCAUACUAUCAUUUAUCUUUGGUAUUGUAGAUAUAAGUAAUUUUUUUAUAAACUUGGUCAAAGUUUCAAAAGUUUGACUUUAAAAAAUGUUGGAACUACAUUAUUGAACGGAGGGAGUAGCUCUUUCUCUCUCUCUCUUUGCUAUCUCUCAUGGCCCUCCCCUCCCACUCGAACUCUCUAUACCGACGGAUUAUACGCUCACUGUGUCAGCGUAUAUAGCUCCAUAUAUUGUUUAGUUGACCGGUCAACCAGUCCACAUGCUGCCUUGUCAGCUUGUGUUCUCUAUCUUCGUGUGCUAGCCCAUGUGGCAGUGGGUGAAAAUAAGUAAACGAGGCCCAUCUGACACGCGCAUUGAGGACACACUUCUUCCGUGUGAAGGAUGCACUCACGCACAAUUCGCCACUGGACGGUGGCAUGCACAGAAGGAUGCACUCGUGCACAUCCAACACACAACACACACCAACACACGUAUACACCAGCAUCGCCGCCGGUUGAGAUGGACGGCGAGGCAGCCAACAAGCGAAGGCGGCUUGAGCCAAAACUGCAUCCGGCGAGCCUAGACUUCAUCAGCAGCCUCCCCAAUGACAUGCUGCUUGUCAUCAUCGGCCUCCUCCCCACCAAAUCUGUCAUGCGAACCGCCCUGCUCUCCCGGCAGUGGCACCCCCUCUGCCGCCGCGUCCCCCUCAAUCUCACCAUCGACAGCUGCCUCUGCAACGGGGAUUGCAAAUGCAUGUCCGCAGUCUCCAAGAUCCUUUCAUCGCACCCUAGGCCAGCUAGACGCCUAGACAUCCGCAUGUUCAAUACCAACUGCAAGGUCCAAGCCAAGUUCGACGAGUGGUUCGUAUCCCCCGCUCUAGAUCAGCUCGAGGAGCUCAGCUUUGAAGCUGGACAAUGUCACUCUCUACCGCAGUCCACGCUCCGCCUCACACCAAUGCUGCACCGCGCCAGCUUCAGCUCCUGCUAUCUUCCCCAGAUUAAUGUCGUGCCCACCCUUCUUCUCCCUCAACUCAAGCAGCUCGACCUCUUCGUUAUGGUUAUUGAGAAUGUGCCUUUCCUUGAGAGAUUGCUUGUAUCGGAUCUAGAAGGUCCAACAAAAAUUAGGGUCAUUGACGCGCCAAAAUUGACAGCAUUGGUGUACUCAUCUGCCAAAUUCUCCGAACUCUUUAUUGGAUCCGUAAUCGUUCAGGUACAACACUCAUCUUCUUAUCCGUCUUCUUGAAAUUCACAUUUUAUAUUUCUUCUUGAUGUAUUUACGACCGUCUUCCAGAAAAUGAUUCCCACAAGCUUGACCCAGUCUAUGCGCACAGUGAAGAUCUUGGCAAUAAAAUCAAUAGGCCCCAAUCUGGAUCAAGUUGUUGGAUUCCUUAUAUGUUUUCCGCGCAUGGAGAAGCUACUCAUCCAGGUGAAACUUCUUUCCUAUUAGUAAACGGUAAUCACAAUGUAGCUCAGUUUUUUCGUAAUUUUCCCAAAUUACGAUGACAAGUGUAGUGUUCAAAACUGCAUCUACGCACUGCACCAAAAGAAAUGUUUUUAGUAUUUUUUCUCACGUGGUCACCUGCAUCAUUUUUUGUUGUAUUACUAUAGUAGCCUAGGCUAGUCAUAGUGGAAAGUAACUUAGACUAGUAACUCUAUGGUUACCCUAAGAGCAAGUACUACCUCUGUCCUGGUUUACUCUUCCUAUUUUGUAGUAUCAAAAUUUGACCAUAGAUUUAACUGAAAAAAUGUUAAUGCAUGUCACUAAGAACUAUAUCGUUGGAUUUGUAUUUGAACAUAAUUUCAAAUGGUAUAAUUUUUAGUGACAUGCAUUGGCAUUUUCUUAGGUAAAUCUAUGGUCAAAAUUUUAUACUAAAUACGAGGUAGUACAAAAGUGGGCUAUAAUGGCCCUCCACUAUGUAGGCCAAAACACGUGCCAAAUUCACUUGUGAUGCAUUUGACAUCGAUGCCCCUCCAUUGCUCACCUGGUGCCCCAAUCUGGAUCACCUACUUUGCUCUGGUGCCAAAUUAACUCACGCAAUGAAAAAACACUUGCGUGGGAUAGAGAGAGAGGACCGAGGCAAUAAAAAACACUUGUUUGGGAGAGUGAUAGGCUGGUGUAGUUGGUUUGAUUGAUUUGUUUAUACAUGUGGGUCUGUGUGCACAACGGUGCCAACUCUCUCACAUCACGAGAGCAGGUGCCAAAAUCUUUUGAUUUGACAUCGAUGCGUAUUAUGUGGCAUACUUUUGAGAAAUAUGGCAUCGGCCACAUAGUGGAAGGCAACAAAUGCCCAAGCUCUUCACGUGCUCCUAGGUAAAUGAGAGGAAAGAGAGAGAGAGAGAGAGAGAGAGAGAGAGAGAGAGAGAGAGAGUGAAAAAAUAUCACUAGCCAGCCAACCCUAUCGUAUGAGCGAAUGAUAUUAGUACCUCUUGAUGACACGGCAAUCUUAUACAGCCAGCUACUCUAAUAUGUUCUCUUCUUUUGUAGACAAAAAAGACUCGAAAGUGAAAAAUGUGUUGCACUAUAGCAAUCUCAUCGAAUGCCUUGAUCUCCAUCUUACAGAAAUUGAUUUGAUCGACUAUCGAGGCGGCACAUCUGAGAUUAAAUUGGCCAGGUUCUUUGUUCUUGAUGCAAGUGUGCUCAAGGUAAUGAGGUUUGGCGUUCUUUGGUGCAACAAUGAAUGGCGUGCUGAUCACCGCAAGCGUCUAAGCCUAAAUGACAAAGUCUCCGCAGAAGCUGAAUUUUUUUUGAAACAUCAAGUGGCCAAAGACUCGAAAACUUAUUUGCUCAUUAGUGACUUGUCAGGGCUGUGGAUUUUAGUUUGUACAAUAAUGCUGCAUCCACCUAAAGUAACAAAAGUUCUUACAUAAACUUCCUAGUAAUUCCCUCUUCAUAGGUGCAACAUUACUCCUAACAUUUGUAAUAUCAGUUUGAAACUUGUAAUAUUGCCGUGUCCUAUUCCCAUGUUUUCAAAAUCCUACAAAUCAAACAGGUCCUGAGUUGGUGAUGAUGUUGUGCCUGCCAUCUUUCACCAAUAGUCGUCGGAUAUAGAUCUGACGCAUACAAACCAAACUUCUCUAGUUUUGCAAAAAGAUGCCCGCACUUGUUCCCUAUUUACAAACAACUGCCUGUCUCUCACAAUCAGCCUUAUCUCCUCCCCACCACAUCUAGAAGGCCAUGGAAAAAUCUGGCACGAUGGCCGCUGCCGGUGCUGUCCACCCCCAAUCUUGGUGUUUCGUGCAAUGCACGGGUAUUUACGUACAGGAAAUUAUGUCGAACACGGCUAGUUGUAAGCAGGCUAGCUCUACAGCCAUGAUGAUAGUGACUGCAGACGGUGAAGCUGACUAUGGUAUGCCGAACGCGGCGCCUAUACUCAGGUGUCAUCUCCGGCGCAGGGUCUUGUCACUUCACUGUGAGGAGCAACACGUAAUAAUUUGACCAACGGGUAGUACAGUGCUACUACAUUGGUAGUACUACUACUAGUACUACCACAUCCAUAUGGAUUUUAGUAUUUGACUAGCAAUAUCUAGUAAUGCAUGUCACAAAAAAUGUACUACUCCCUCUGUAAAUAACUGCAUGGUGUAUUGUUUUAUUCCUAUCAGCGAGAGAACUUAAUGUCUUUUUGCUAAUUAAUAGGAUUACAUGCAAUGAACUAACCACUGCAUGUCAUGUUUGGUAGUCUCAAGUCAUUGAAAGCAUGCACGGCCCACAUCUCUCAUUGGUUGAUAUGUCACGAAAUAAGAAACGAGGAGGGAGUUAAUGUACCGUGCCUAAGUGUUUUGGGAUUAUUUGGUUUUCGUAAGGUAACUUACACAACCUUUUUGGUUACAUGCAUUAAAAUUUUAUUAGUUAAAUCAAAGGUCAAAACUUGGCGCAAAAUGUAAAGGGGACCAAUAAACCAGUAAACAUCAAAGUUCUCUCAUUUGGCCCCAACUAGAGGUCCGGUGAGAUGACUAUACUGCACUGGCACGGAGGGGGGACAUAGCUUCAUUGACUUACUGCACCUGCCUUUGAGUGCAUGACACAUGGGCCCAACGGGUGGCUGGCCCACCUGUCAUACAGCCAAAGGUAGGUGCAGUAGAGGGCCGAGGAGUAGAUGGCCAACAUGCACGUGAAUUCAACACGGUCUGCACUUCUCAUAUAAAGGCUCCCUGCCAGUCCAAUCUAGUACAAAAUCCUACGCACCUACGCACGCUAACCAAGGGCAAGAGUGAUCACUCCAAUCGCAAGAUCAGUUGACUAGAAUCUAAGGUAGACCAUGGAGGCGAUGAGCGCGAGUAUCAGCCAGUUGUGCCAGAUGGUCCACAAUGUCGUCAUGCGGCCCGGCACCGAGGAACGUCUCCAGGUAGUGCUUGAGGCCGCCAGGGCGAGGGGCCACUUGGACGACUGCUUCAUCUCCUUGUUCGACGAGGUCCUCAUCGGCUUCCUCGACAAGUUCACCAUCGUCAAGAAGCUCGCGGACGACCUUGACAUACGCCUCCAGCCCACGCGCCCAGGCUCUGCGAUGCCCGCCACCCUUAAUGGCCACUAUGGUGACAACCUCUUUGACGCACUGGUGGCCCUGUGACUGCCCACCAUCGUGCCAGAGAAUGUCCACCUCAAGGUUGCACUCGCCAUGCAGCGCCUGGCACAGCAAGACAACAUCAAAAUAAUCACCCACGUCUACGCGCAAAUCGUCCACAAGGACUACUACAUGCAAGAGGAGGACGAUAGGAUGCUGUCCUUCUUGGACCGCAGGGCAAUCUUGGAGGGCAUUGUUCAGAAGCACAUUGAGCUUGCCGCCAACGCCGCUGCUCCUCACACGUCGAUUGGUGACCCGGCGCACUAGGGCGUGAGGAUGUCGUUGAUGGAUCCGUAUGUAUUUUUAUCUUUCCGUCAAAUCCAUGUAGUAGUAUAUGGUACUACUAGUAAUUAUCUUACCUUUUGCAUCAACUUCAUAAUAUUCGUACGUACUCCAUGCAUGAACCGCACCAGAACCAAACUUCUCAAUACUCUAGGGGAAAUCAUUAUUUCUAUCUAUCGGUCGCGCCAUGGAGCAGAACCAAAUUUUACAAGUUACAAGUUCAAAAGGAAAAGUCUGCCGUGUUCGCGUCGCACCCCCACACGGUUGGUCCGGCACACCGCUCAAGGGGAAAUGCGUGUUGUGUUGCAUUUUCACUUACAAGUGGGACCAUAGUUGAGCAAACCGACUAUCGACAAACCGCCAUCCCGCCCACCGCGUGAUGGCUGAGAAAAUAGGAGGGAGAAGAGAUGCCUGUAGCAUGGACUCCAAGAAAAAUUGGUGUCGGAUAGGACUCGUGUGGGUGGCGUGUGUUGUACUGCUAGACGUGAAUGCUAGUUAUGACCCAUGCCACCCCACUAUAUCGAGCCUAUAUCGAGGUUCUGGUUACGUAGAACAAAUUUCCUGCAGUCCGUGCUCAGCCCUCCUCUAUCUCUCUUCUCAGCCAGCCAAUAGAUGCAUGGAGCCCAUCGUCUGUUUGCUCAUAUGCGGUCCCACAUGUCAGUGAAAAUGCAAGAGUACCCACUGAACCUGCACAUCUUUCACCUCAACGUGCUAGUGAUGAAAAACAAAUCCAAUAAAGAUCUUUGGUGGCCACUUUUGGAGUUACUCAAGAGUAGUAAGAUUCUAUUUAUAGUUUAACCCAAGAUGCACAUCACGUGGCUUCAACUACCACUCUAGUUUCUUGCAUGACACGACCUGGAUGCUGGAUGUCCCACGUGUCGGCAAAAGGAGGAAGAACUCGACCAAAUCUUUGGCUGUGCUCUCGGAUUAGACUAGUUGUGCUAACUUAAAAUUUUAUUGUGUAGAAUGGAUGCAAGUUUUGGUAUUGGGAAGAAGAGUACAUAGAUAUAUUGAUAGAGGGAAAUUUAGUAGAUGUUCUAGCACUUUUAGCUAGCAUAGAGGCUAGAGAUGAGACUAGUGCACUUGUUGAUAGAAUAGAGGCUAGACAUGAGACUAGAUGCGAGGAAGCAACGUCUACCUCUUUACACUCGAAGAAGAAAGAAGUACGCAAGAUCGAGCCUCCGCAAAUCAACAAUGAAUGCAUCGAGAAGGCACUAAUCCAACUUACAGGAGUAGUUAUGGAAGUUGGAUAUCUUCUAAAAUGUAUUCUUGUGGUUCUUGUUUUCUUUGGUCUUGCUUUUCUAGUCAAAUUUUGGUGAUGUAUUUCCAUGUACCAAAAAUCAAUGAUGAAAAAAAGAUAUGUGUUUGCAAAGAAAAAUGUACGCGGCCGGGAUGCGUCCGCGUGUUGGGCGCAUGGCCACCUCAUCCGAGAAAUGGCCCGGACACGACCCCAUUGCCCUACCCAAACGGACAGAAUCCGGGAAAAACGGAGGUCCGUUUGGGGUCGUGCGUUGGAGUUGGCCUUACAAGUGGGACCGUAGUUGAGGAAACCGACUAUCGACAAACCCCCACCUCGCCUGCCGCGUGAUGGCUGAGUUAGAGAAACAACGAGGUUGAAGAGAUAGUUGUAGCACGGACUCCAAGAAAUAUGGUGUCAGAUGGAAGUCGUGCUGGUAGCGUGUGCUGUACUCCUGGACAUGAAUACUUAUUCUGGCCCAUACCACCCUACUAUAUUAGUAGUAGUAUCGACGAUUCGAGGUGCUGGUUACGUACGGCGAACACAUUAACAUAUGGCCCACCUCACACUAUGGCCAAAUUUCCUAGAGUUUGUGCUAGGUUAAAAAGUGUUCUUUGUGAGGGUGGGUGGCUGGUCUCAAGUUUAAAACUUAUUGUAUUACGUAUACGUAUACAUAGAGAUAGUGCAGCAGUUCUGAAAGUUUGAACCCAAACAUAAGAAUGCAAUUUCUACUGGACUCAUCUGAGGACCUAGGAUGAUGGGAUUCACAACUACAGUAAAAAACACCUGCACGACGCACAAAGAUGUGAAGCUAGUACAAAUAGUGUACUAUUGUAGAUUGGCCUCAUCCGAUAACCUGUUGCAAUGCAUGUACAAUUAUGUAUUCAGAAAAUAUUUUUUUGCCUCGUCGUAGCACCCACUCAGAGAAGUGACUCGAAAGCCAUUCAUAAAUUUAGUAAGUUUAUCACAGGCAUAUCAUUUUAUUACAUACAACAGGUCAUCAACCCACAACGACAACAAGGAUACAUUAUAAAUACUAAAGUUUUCAGCACACAACAAAUAACAAGCAAUGGAAUGAACUUCAACUCAACCAAUCCUUGGCGUUGGAAACGCUUGCUUUGAACUAGAAGUGAUUCUCUAGGAAGGGCCAUCUAUUGUCAAUCUUGAGACCAACGUAGCACUGAUCAUCCAGGCUGAAGCGGCCUACUAUAUCACUACCAGGGUAGGGAACCACCGAAAUGUCCGAGGUAUAGAUACAGUUGCUUCUCAUAAAUGGUAGUAACAUUGUGUCAACAACAGUUGGAUCGCCUUUCACCAUCAUUGGAUAGUUUUGUCCAAGGAAGAGCGAGUUUUCUCCAAGCAUAUCAAUACUAUACCAGGGAGAAGGUGUUGGCGCUAGCACACUAGUAUCCAUUCCGAAUACCAUGCAACGGGUGUUGGAAUAGGUCUGGAGAGUGCGACGAUGGUAGACAACACCUGCUUCCUUAGUAGUAACAUCAGCAGUGCGCUGUAUACAGACAAGAAGGGGUGAUCCAUCGGAAUAAGUUGCCAGGCGCCACUAAGUAUACGGGCCCUCCUCGUCCUCAUGCUCGUGAUCAUCACCAUCGUCAUCUCCCCCUUGGUUAUAAAAUAUUUCAAGUAUAGGUGGUGGAAUGUUCACAGGACCUUGGAAACACAAGAAGAAGGUUAAUUAGUAAAGGGAAACUUGCUAACCCGCAUGCAUGUGGAUGAAACAAUUAUAAUUAUGGUGGAAGACAAACGUACCGAAACUACGAGGAUCCCAUGCAAAAACAGUGCCACGAGUGGUGGAAGCAAACAUAAGACCCUCGUAUUGAAUUGCAUCACAGUACACAUCCGUGUAUUAAAACUGAUUCUUGAGCAAUAUCCAUCCAGUCGAACCACGAAGGACGGCAACAAGCUUGUCGAAGAUAGCAACAACUACAUAGUUCGUGUAAUCCCAAGAGCGGUUAGGAACUCAACAAAUUGCUAUCUUCCGUAGAAUACAGUCACCAUGAUCGUAUUUGAACAUGCGUAGAAUACCAGUGUGCUCAACCUCUAGGCAGUCUGAGAUUUUUGGAAGUGGAACCCAGUGACAAGUGUACACAUUCACAAGUUCCCACUCGCAAUUGUACCCAAUAUAAAAAAACCAAUCUCCAUUUGCGCCUGCCCAAGCCUUGUCCUCAAGCGAUGGCAUCUUAACAUCAUGCGUAUCAUUAUCAAGCGACAUCAACUUGCACAAGGCAAGGCUUCCCUCGUCCCCGCGCCAGUCGGCAGGGUCACGACAAAGAAGAUAGGGGAGAUCAAACCGCUCUUGUACCCUUGGGUUCCUUGUAAUGAUGUUAUUAGUUGAGUCGAGAAUGGUCUUUAACGAACCUGCCAUGCUAGCUAAGGUGAUGUUGCACCGAUCAAUGAGUUCCUCCACCACGUCAUCUUUCAGAUCGGAGCAAGAAUAACGGGGUCGUUUAUGGCCUGUUCCCUCCACGGAGAAGAUGAUCGAACAAUGACAGAAGGAAGGGUGAAGGCAAAUGGAGGAGGGAGGAAGAGCGUGCGACAGCAGUUCCAAAUUGAGAGGGAAAGGCGAAGAGUCAAUGGACGGUUGCCAGUUUGCCACGGUACAUGAAGAGGCGCACCGACCUACGUGUCCGUUCGAAAAUAGUACAAAAGGACUCACCGUCGUCUCACUCACAUGUUGGAAUGGGACCACAUGUCAACGAAACAUGGUGUGUAAUUUCUCGUGCAAAAUGUGAUCUGGCCGCGUUGGCCCGAGGUGUUGCAUUAGUUAUCGACCUUUUUUUAACAUACAAUCUGAGUGGAUAGCUCCUGUGGUCAUCACACGUGAGCGGAUAUAUAGGUGGGCUAGGUGGGCAGGCGGCAACAAUCUGAGUGCUAAAAGUGUUGAUCCAACGCUUGGUUUUGUUUAGAUUUUCCAACUAUGACCAUUGGAUAGAGUGAAUCAAUGGCUUACGUUCAAAGUUAUUCUCAUAAUAUAGAAUGGUAUAGGAAUGUGGAGAGAUUUGGUUGAUUUUAUAUCGCUUAAUAAUAUAAAAUAUUAUGAGUGCAGACGCUCCACCGCGAGGUUUGUUGCUCCUUCUCGGUCGACGGGAAUCUAUGCUCUUCAACUCUUUCGUUUAAGACGUGAGCUUUGUUCAUCCUUUUGCCGACACGCGGGACAUCUAUAUGCCUCCAUUUUAAAAAUCAUACUAUAUGCCUCCAUGACACAUGGGACAUCUAGCAUCAAGGUAGCGUGUCAUGCAAAAAAAUGGAGAUAUGCAGUGCGUAAGUGAGCCGUGCACUUCGAUGGCACCUAGUACUAUGCAAUAUUUGUUCUCCUCGAUGGCACGUGAAUAGUGCACGUACUCAAUGACAGAGCACGCGAUGGUAGCCAUGGACAUGGUCGGCCCUUUUUGAAGAGAGUACUAAUAAAUAACUUUGAUGUGUCCCAUCGACUCGACGAGAAGCUUGCUUACUGCGCCUUCUCCCUUGCCAACGCGUGCGCGGUGGCUCGCAGCAUGAGGAGAAACUUUUGCUUACAAGCGGUGGACGUGCAGCAGUUCAUUUGGUGUUAGAUUGCCAAAAGUACUAUUGUAGUACCAUAAUUAUUGUUCGACUUCCGGAAGAGGAGAAGAGCCAAGUGCAAGGUCACCUACUAACCUAGUAUAGUACUACUAUAGCCAAAGCUGGUCCACCUUUUUAGAGCAUGGUUAAUUAAUAUAGGUGGCUCUUGCAGUGGCACAUCAUUUAGAGCAAGACUCUCUUCGUAGGAACAAAGAAAGUGAAACAAAAGUUGGAGUGGAUGCUAGAUUGCCAAUUAAAACAUGAUUACGUAGGAAAAAAAUCCUAUAGCAUUCUAUCUUAUGAAUCAAAUGACCAAUGUAGGAAAAUUAUGAGGGGGGUCUCUCCAACAGUGUUCCUCGGCUCGCACAUAGCAUCACGGUUGUCGAACUUGGAGUCAUUCAUCUGGUACACGUGGCAUCUCAGAUCUGGACACAAGGUGACGCGACCUCUCACUUCGUCCGCCAUUUGAAGCGGCAUGCCGUUGGAGGACUAGCAUACUCCAAUAUUAGGUUGGCUCUAUGUGAUGGGGCAACUUCAUAUACUAACCGGAUGCUGGCUAUACUACUAUGGUACUCACAUUCCAAGAAGUGACUCGAAAACCAUUCAUAAAUUGAGUCUAUGACAUGCAUUUGCAAAUGUACCAUUCAUUACAUACAACAAGUCAUCAACACACAACGACAACGAGGAUACAUAUUGGAUUAUAUAUUAUUUCUAACAAAACAUCUAUCUAUCUAUACCUAUACUAAUUAGGCACUUCCAAAAAAUUACCACGUUAAUCAGUAAUUAGGAGCCGUUCAUCAGGUGGGGCCAAAUUAUUACGGUGUAGAUCAACCUACAAAAUCAUGGGCAAAAAAAAGCGCUCAAUAGGAUUAUUAUUUUUGAAAAAGCAACCUGUACACGUUGAUAAUAAAUGCAAGCAAUUGAUAUAGUGGGACCAGAUUAUGGCGUUUCGUAUUAAAUAUGUUUUUGCGGAAGGGUUCAGAUUAAAUACUAAUUAGAGAUUCUUAAAAAUAACUAGGUUAAUCAGAAGAAAAAAAUACAAGCUAUUGAUCUCACGGGACCAGAUUAUAACUGCCGUUCAGAUUAAAUAAAGACUCCAUGUCAUGUACGAUUCAUACAAUCCGAGCCCUCAAGUAAUUAAAUCUCCGUACAUAGCUAGCUGGGUAAACUGAUAGCCAUCGGAUGUUGGCUCAAGAAGAGAAAAUACAUGUUGUUUGAUCCGUGAUUAUUUCUACCGUGUCCCGAACGUCCUGGAGCCUUGACGCUCCAUAUCUCCUUCCUUUCCUCGAGCCCUUCUCAGCUUCUUCGCUCCAUUACAUAUUGAAUCUAGCAGUGUCUGCGUUCUCCUGUUUUGUCGCCUGUUCACCACCUAGGGUUCCAGCUCUACCUUAUUGGACAUAUAUUCUCUACGUAUGGCAGUGUCACAAUUCCUACUAGCUAUCAGGCUCUCCAUGCCAGCAAGAUUAAAGAGGUGUGUCCUGACUGGUCGGGCGCCAAGGCAAUGGUUCAUCGCGUUUGCUCCAUAGUGGAUUCGCCCAAAUUUGAGCAGUAACCGUUGAAGAGGCUUGCUUUCUUCUUAUAUCUAUUUAUGUGAAUUACAGAUCCAUCAGAGUAUCUUGCCAUUUGUGGGUAUUUGUCUAGCUUUCCUUUUAUCUUACUUUCUACUUGCUUUUCGUCAAAUACAGUUGUCAUCACAUGCGCAGAUGAACUGGAUCGAUCUAUUCAGGUAAUCCAAUACUUUCAGUGCAACAAUGUGGUGAAACAGAAAUAUAUUUGCACAAAGAAUUUCACAGCUCAUGUGGAUGUAGCACUAAAUUUCUUUAUGCGCCGAGCUUGAACAGAACUCCCUGGUUGGAGAUGUGCGCUUAGCUUAUUAUUUUCUUGGAACAAUGAUUCACUUGAUUUUGGUUUGACGCAAACAUAUAGAUAGAUUUCACAAGGUAAUAGCAAGCCCAUGUGACCCUAUAUGCAAUCUCUGUUUGUAGAUGCUCUAUAUUAUGACAUUUAUCUAAUUAAAAUUUACUGAAAUAAAAACGGCUACGGUGUAACUUAUAGAUCAUUUUUUUGUAGGUUAAAUCUAGGAAAUCGUAUGUCGUCAAAACUCUAACAAGCCAUCAGAUUGUUAUGACAGUAUCGUUACUGCAAUGAAAAAUCACUUCACAAGAUUCAUAUUCUCAUUCUAAUGACCAAUACAAACAAAGUAUAUCGCAAUUUCUGUGUGUUGGAAGGAGAAACUCACACACAAGAAAAGCUAUGGUAUUUCAUGUUAAGCUUGCAUGUACAGACCUGCAAUGAUUGAGUUAGUUCAAAUUAUUGUGUGCUAUAUUACUAACCUGCUCUUUGUAGUUUGUAUUUAUGGACAUAUAUCAUGCUGUUUUAUGGUCAUUUUAAUAAUGUUUCCCUUUUCAAAUAUUUGUUAUGAUGAUGUAUAAUUAGGUUAGCUUGAAAAAGGGAGGAUGAUGCUAUUAGCUAUUCUUGAGCUAGGAGCUCCUAAUUAAGUGUCCUUUUAGUUUCCGUAUUACGGCUUUGUUGUACUGAUAGAACAGUAGGUUGGCACUUCUUCUGUCAUGUUAUUUUUUUAGCCAUUGCCCUUUUCUAGCUAAUAGUGUGGUACUAUUCUGUUACAAAGUAAAUUCUUUUCCGAGAUCACACUUUCAUAUUUGGUUUCGAAAAUAAUUGUCUUUUGUGAAGAUCCAUCUCUGAAUAUUUUAGUUAAUGAACAGCAGUCUUACUGCCUAAUCUUAAACUAAUUGUUUGAACUUUUCAUAGAGAUCAGAAUUGUACAUAGACAGCUGGUUAUAAACUUAAUAAUUGAUGACUGGAUGUUUUGUACAAAACUCUGCUUAAGUACGGUUUCAGAUGGUGAAUAAAUUAAUGAAGAACGUUUCUUAUGCAUGUGGAAUCACCUGGUAAUUUUCUUAGGAACGCGGUUUUCCUAUUCCACAGUGAAAUCUGAGGUUGCCUUUAAACUACAACAAAGGAACUGGUGAUGCUGCCAUUGUGUGGCCUCUUACGAUAUAUUUUUGGACCUGUUACUAGAUGGCACACGCAUUAGCUGCCAUAAGAAACAAAUCAUUUUUUAUUUUAAUAUGUCAGCUGAGACGCGUUUGACUACCUUCUUACUUAUUAUGCAGGGCACCAAGUAACGAAUAAUUGGAUCUCAAAGCUCAUAUAUGAAGCACCGAUCUUGGUAGUGGCAUAAAUGGAAGAUGAGAUCUAUGAAUAACAAAUACAAUAAUUACCUGUAGUUUCUAUAAUUUUCAAAGUUUGUAUUCUCUUCAAGAUUUUCAGUCGUUCAAGCUCACAAAUAAGAUACAUAUGGGCAUCAAUUCUAUCAGGUUUUUACACACAUGCUUCAUUUUUGAAGUAAAGAAGCAAGGGAAAACGCAGGUAAAUGCACCAAAAAUGAGAUGUCAUCAAAAGUGUUUAAGUUAUUGGAACAUCACUUUUUAUGAUUUCGUGUACAUCUGAAUUUGUAUUUGUUAGCAUUAAUCAUGGAAAAAAUAAACAAUUUUCUUUCCCUAUAUAAGCAAUCAUAAAUUUGCAUGUUUCCAAUAAAACAAGUGGGUAAAUGUAGUACUUUUAUAUUUUAUAUCUCUAAAUAUGGUUUAUCAAAUAAAUGCUUUAGUACCUAUAUAGACUAGGCCGUGCGGAUGCACGGGUUGACGACUAGUUCUAGUAAAUACUGAAGUUUUCAUCACGCAACAAAUAACAAGCAAUGAAAUGAACUUCAACUCAACCAAUCCUCGGUGCUGGAAACACUUGCUUUGAACCAUAGGUGCUCUGGGAAGGGCUAGCUAUUGUCAAUAUCGAGAGCAAUGCAGGACUGAUCAUCCAGGCUAAAGCGGCAUAUAUCAGGAGCAGGGUAGGGAACCACUGCAAUGUCCGAGGUAUAGAUACAGUUGCUUCUCAUAAAUGGUAGUAACGUUAUGUCAACAGCAGCUGGAUCGCCUUUAACCAUCAUUGGAUAGUUUGGUCCAAGGAAGAGCGAGUUUUCUCCAAGACUAUCAAUAUUGAACCAGGGAGAAGGUGUUGGCACUAGCACACUAGUAUCCAUCCCGAAUACCCUGCAACGGGUGUUGGAAUAGGUCCGGAGAGGGCGACCAUGGGAGAGAACACGUGCUCCCUCAGUAGUAACAAUCUCAGUGCACUGUAUACAGACAAGAAGAGGUGAUCCAUCGGAAUUAGUUGUCAGGCGCCACUGAGUAUAUAAAUUCUGCUCGUCCUCAUGCUCGUGAUCAUCGCCAUCGUCAUCUCCCCCUUGGUUAUAAAAAAUUUCAAGUAUAGGUGGUGGAAUGUUCACAUGACCUUGGAAACACAAGAAGGUUAAUUAGUAAAGGGAAACUUGCUAACCCGCAUGCAUGUGGAUGAAACAAUUAUAAUUACGAUGGAAGACAAACGUACCGAAACUACAAGGAUCCCAUGCAAAAAUAGUGCCACGAGUGGUGGCAGAAAACACAAGAUCCUCGUAUUCAAUUGCAUCACAGUACUCAUCGUCCGUGUACAGAAACUGAUUUUUGAGUAAUAUCCAUGGACGAACCGUGGAAUCAGUAACGACGGCAACAAGCUUGUCGAAGAUAGCAACAACUUCAUAGUUCUCGUAAUUCCAAGAGCGGUUGGGAACUCGACAAAUUGCUAUCUUCCGUAGACGACAGCCACCAUGAUCGUAUUUGGACGUACGUAGAUCAUCUGUGUGCUCAACCUCAGGGCACUCUGAGAUUUUGGGAAGUGGAAUCCGCUGAUGAGUGUACACAUUCACAAGUUCCCACUCGCAAUUGUACCCGAUAUAAACAACCCAAUCUCCGUUUGCGCCAGCCCAGGCCUUACCCUUAAGCGAUGGCAUCUUGACAUCACAUGUAUCAUUAUCAAGUGGCAUCAACUUGCACAAGGCGAGGCCACCGUCGUCCGCGCCCAUGCGAACAAGCUUAUAGCAAAGAAGAUAAGGGAGAUCAAACCGCUCCUGGACCCUUGGGUUCCUUGUAAUGAUGUUAUUAGUUGAGUCAAGAAUGGUCUUGAACGAACCUGCCAUGCUAGCUGAGGUGAUGACAUCACACCGAUCAAUGAGUUCCUCCACCACGUCAUCUUUCAGAUUGGGGCAAGAAUAACGGGGUCAUUUCUGGCUUGUUCCCUCCAUGGAGAAAACUAUCGAACAAUGGCAGAAGGAAGGGUGAAGGCAAAUGGAGGAGGGAGAGCAUGCGACAGCAAUUCCAAAUCGAGAGGGGAAGGCGAAGAGGCGGUGGACGGUUGCCAAGGUACACGAGGAGGCGCCCCGGCCUACAUAGACGUCCGUUCAGAAAUUGUACAAAAGGACUCACCGUUGUCUCACUAACAUGUUGGAACGGGACCACAUGUCAACGAAACAUGGUGUGUCAUUUCUCGUGCAAAAUGUGAUCUGGUCGCGUUGGCCCGAAGUGCCGCAUUAUUUCUUGACUUUAUUUUUUUAAUGGCGUGCAGUUCAGUUUUGAAGCAUGACUAACUGGUACUGUAUGCAUAGAAAAUAUAAACUAUUCUACCACUACUCCACCUCUAGUACUAGUAGUAUAAAAAAGAUAUAUAGGCUGGAGCUUCAGCGCUUUCUUGCUAAGGGCUGCCCACUUGCUUCUCACACUAUCACCCUCUCUCCAGAUCUAAAAAAGACGGCCUCUCUUUCCCUCCUCACCGGUGGUCAUAGAUCCGCCGGGGAAGAAAAGGAUGUGCAACGUGGACGCACUCGUCAUCGGCGAGCGAGGUCACGCACUGACGACAAGGUCGUCCUCUCAGACCUAGCGCCCACGCGGGAUGGCCUCCAUCCCCAAGCUCGCUGUCGUAGUGUGUGCGGAGGACGACGACCACGAGUGGAGCCACUUCCCGUCGACCCUUAGGUAUGCUACCUCUUUUCGAACCAUACCCUUCUUCUAUUGCCCCAUCUGCCACAUCGCUGCAUGUGGAUCUUUUUACACUCCACCAUCUUCCCAAUUUGCUAUCCUCUGCUCUGCUAGUCACGAAGACAAAAACCUUAAUUUGCACUAUUAAAGGAAACCCUACUUCAUGCAAACUAAUCCAUGUCUGGGUUGAAUAAGGAAAGGAAGGGAGACUGUACUGUCCAAGAGAGUAGGCAUCGAACCCGCAUCUAGGUUGAAAUGGGGAAAAUCAGUAGCUAAGGAACGAGUCUCGUGUCUCUUGGUUGAAGAAGGGUAGAAAGGCAUGACAACGCAAGAAUGACCAGGUCGAUCGGUUUGUUGUCCUCACAUAGGAAAAAAGGUGGCUAAAGAGAACAAAAAUGGAACAUAAUCCACAUAUGCUGCCUGGAUAUUUGUUGCUCUGGGCAACCAUACCUCCCUCACCACUCUAUGCGUCCGUGGAGGUACAUCGUACUGGUGCGCCCACUGUCCGAAUGGGCCUCCCAUGCUCUUAUUGCCACUUUUUUUAUGUUAGUAUAACACCAACAGUCAAGUCAAGCAAUGCUACUGAAAGUGAUGCCACAUUUAACUAAUGUCGCACUCAGUCUAAUACCACCGAUAAAUUUAAGCAAUGCCAUUUAAUGUCACUGGAUUAUUUCAGGGUUAGCUGUUGAUUGUGGAUGUAUUAAAGAUUUUUUAGCUAAGGCAUUCUAAUGUUGUUGCACAGCCAGUAUACCAACGAUGAAUUUUGUUACUACCUUCAGAUUUUUGCACUACUAAUGCUUAUAGAUUACAUACCUCACUUUCAUGAGAUAAGUCUUUUUUUUGUACAGUGUCAAGAGGAAAGGUCAAGAGUGGCCACUCCUCCUCCGGCUAUUCUCUUGAUUCAUUCGAUCAAGUUUUUAUGUUUGACCGAUUAUCAAGAUUGGGAUAGCAAUUUUUAGGUCCCCUCGAGUUCGAAAUGAUAUUUACCUUGAAGGUACAUGGUUUGCAAUUUUUUUAUACCGUUGCUACCUCUUGAGCAUGCGUUGGUUUUCCCUUGAAGAGGAAAGGGUGAUGUAGCAAAGUAGCGUAAGUAUUUCCCUCGGUUUUUGAGAGCCAAGGUAUCAAUCCAGUAGGAGGCUACACUCAAAUCCCUUGUACCUGCACAAACAAAUAAGAACCUUGCAACCAACGCGAUAAAGGGGUUGUCAAUCCCUUCACGUCCACUUGCAAAAGUGAGAUCUGAUAGAGAUAAUAAGAUAAAUAUUUUUGGUAUUUUUAUGAUAUACAUUGGAAAGUAAAGAUUGCAAAAUAAAAUAGAUCGGAAACUUAUAUGAUUGAAAAUAGACCCGGGGGCCAUAGGUUUCACUAGUGGCUUCUCUCAAGAUAGCAUAAGUAUUACGGUGGGUGAACAAAUUACUGUCGAGCAAUUGAUAGAAAAGUGCAUAGUUAUGACAAUAUCUAGGCAUGAUCAUGUAUAUAGGCAUCAUGUCCGCGAAGUAGAUUGAAACGAUUCUGCAUCUACUACUAUUACUCCACACAUCGACCGCUAUCCAGCAUGCAUCUAGAGUAUUAAGUUCAUAAGAAAAGAGUAACACAUUAGGCAAGAUGACAUGAUGUAGAGGAAUGAACUCAAGCAAUAUGAUAUAAACCCCAUCUUUUUACCCUCGAUCGCAACAAUACAAUACGUGCCUUGCUGCCCCUACUGUCAAUGGGAAAGGACACUGCAAGAUUGAACCCAAAGCUAAGCACUUCUCCCAUUGCAAGAAAGAUCAAUCUAGUAGGCCAAACUAAACUGAUAAUUCGAAGAGACUUGCAAAGAUAACAAAUCAUACAUAAAAGAAUUCAGAGGAGAUUCAAAUGUUGUUCAUAGAUAAUCUUAAUCAUAAACCCACAAUUCAUCGGAUCUCGACAAACACACCGCAAAAAGAAUUACAUCGAAUAGAUCUCCAAGAAGAUCGAGGAGAACUUUGUAUUGAGAUCAAAGAGAGAGAAGAAGCCAUCUAGCUAAUAACUAUGGUGGACCCGAAGGUCUAAGGUAAACUACUCACACAUCAUCAAAGAGGCUAUGGUGUUGAUGUAGAAGCCCUCCGUGAUUGAUUCCCCCUCCGACGAAGCGCCGAAAAAGGCCCCAAGAUGGGAUCUCACGGGUACAGAAGGUUGUGGCGGUGGAAAUAGGGUUUCUUGGUGCUCUCGGAUGUUUUCAGGGUAUAUUAGUAUAUAUAGGCGAAACAAGUCGGUCAGGGGAGCCACGAGGGGCCCACGAGGGUGGGGGCGCGCCUACCCCCUGGGUGCGCCUCCCUACCUCGUGGCCGCCUCGUUGCUUCUUUGACGUCCACUUCAAGUCUCCUGGAUUGUGUUUGUUCCAAAAAUGACUCUCCUAAAGGUUUCAUUCUGUUUGGACUCUAUUUGAUAUUCCUUUUCUGCGAAACACUGAAAUAGGCAAAAAAAUAGCAAUUUGGAUUGGGCCUCUGGUUAAUAGGUUAGUCCCAAAAAUAAUAUAGAAGUGUAUAAUAAAGCCCAUUAAACAUCCAAAAUAGAUAAUAUAAUAGCAUGGAACAAUCAAAAAUUAUAGAUACGUUGGAGACGUAUCAACUGUCAUUAGUUAAUAAUGCUAGUUAUCUUCAGACUUUUGUAUUUGGUUUAAUGCUCAUGCACAGCUAGUAUACCAAUGGUGAAACUUGUUACCUUUACAUUUUGUAUUGUUAAUUCUUAUAGAAAUCUUCCAGUGCUAGAGUUUAUUGAAAUCUGUUCAGUAAAACCAUUUGUAUUGUACCCUAUAAUAAAAUAACUACUCUACUGUUGCACUACCCACUGGAUUAGUGUAUAUUUGUAUUAUUCGAAUGGUGCUCCAUUAGCGUAUGGACAUAAAUAAAGUGUGGCAAGAUUUCCCAAAUAUGUCCUCGAGAAAACUACUACCUGUUUUUCUAAAUACUAGACGUUUGGGUACUUUAAAUUUAACUACGAAAACGUCUUAUGUUAAGGAACACGGGGUGUAGAGUUCACUCAAAUUAUCCCGGUAAAGCUAGUCACACCUUUGUUAAAAUUAAUGUUCAUUAUGUUAUCGGAGGAGGUAUGUAUGUUUGUCUCUAAUGCCUGUCGACUACAUACCUGACAUCAUGAUGUAAUGUUAAGUCAUUUCCUUUUGUACAGUGUCACUGAAUUGUCAAGGAGGUGAUGGCAUUUUAUUUUAGUUGAACUGCACAAAAUAUGCUUAAAAGAAGAGGAAAGGUCAGGAAUCAAUCAUUUUUCAGAAAGAACUAUAUAUGCCUUCCUGACAUCAGCCGUUGUUGCCUUAUUUGUUCCUUCAAACAUGUGGUUCGAAACAGUCUUGCUACCUUUUCCCAUUAUGAAAUUGGAAUGCUUAUAUUUGUGAGUCUAUGCUUCAACUAGUGUCACUUUUAUAGUAAUCACACUUUCAAUAUCUAUGCAAACAGGGAUGCCCAAUUUUAGUGGAACUGCACAAAAAGUCCAAAUGGUUCAACAUUAGGAGCAUGUUUUCUUCCAAACCUUUAUAUCCAAUUGGUGGCACUAUGAGCUGUUCAUUACGAAGGUUCAUGGUUUGCUACUAUCUUGCUACUCUUUUUGUAUUGUCAUUAGAUAGUAAUACUAGUGGUUUGCAUGUGAAUUUAUUGGCAGGGUGGACCUACUUUGGAAGUGCAGGACAGGAUUCAAUGAUUGGAUGCUCAAUUUCGGUUGUAUCCAUUUCACCUCUUCCAUCACUGCGAACAUGGAUAUCCUUGGUCUGAUGAAGAAUAGGCGCUAUAUUUCUGCUCUAAACCAGCAAAUCAAUUCAGUAUGAAAUUGUCCAGGGCAAAACAUGACUGUAUCAAAUUGUCCAGUACAAAACAUGACAGAUGCUAAGCGGAAGAGACGUGUUUAAAACAAAAAUACAAGGUGGGGUAUAUGUUUACUAGCUUCUUGAUAUUUGUGCAGACAGAGAUGUCUACCCAUUGCUAUUUGGCAAACAAACAAAGUGACCACAAUUUUGGUUGAACUGCACAAGAGAAUAGUAUAGUCACUACAUGCAGUGCCAUUUGAAAAUAGACACAGAAAGAUUGGAUAGUCACUUCAUGGACUGCAGAAAACUAGUACUGUACUAUUUAUUGGCCAACACUAGGUGCUUCAUUGGUUUGGUCUAAUUAUACAAUGGGCAUCAUUUUGCCUAAGUUAAAGUUUGUAUUCUGAAAAUAGUCUCGCCGUGUGAUCGAGAGAAGACCAAAUCAUAUUGAAGUGGAUGUUCCUCCAUCAUGUGUGGUUCAUUCUCAUGGUUCCAGCUGUUGGUGAAACCACUUACGUUUGCAAGAGGAAUUGUAGACUUCACAAACAAAUUUGUCUUUCAGUCUGUAUUGAAUGUUGGCCAAGAGAAGCAUCCAUGUUAGUAGGAAGAACAGAUGUUUUUUCUAGAUCUUUGCUUUUGGAGCUACAUAUUUGUAUAUGAUCUAUCAAUCAUUGAGAUGCAUUAACAUGUUGAUCUUAUGUAUGCGAAUCGUACUAGUUGGUUUUGAAUUUGGGCUACUAAUGUGAACAUAUUACAAUGCCAGGCCUGUGAGUCUCGUGUGAACAUUUUGAACAGAUCGGCUCUUACUGUUGUGCACAACAUGAUCCUUAUUUCUGUGUUCUCAGUGUUUAAAAGUUAUUAACAGUUCCUUAUUUCGUUUGCUCAGUGUUUACAAGUUAUUGAUCGAUCACUAGCUAGCCUACUAAUGCGCUCCUGGCAGUUUUAUUUGCGACGCAAGAUCCGAAGUGGCAGGUUUUUGAAUAAAAAUGCCUACCUCUGAAGAAACUGACAAGCUGCUCUGAAGAAAAUGCCAUGCAAAUCUGAAGAAACUGCCAGCAAAAACGUUCACAAAUGCCUUAUGUCCCAGCUAACGUUCAUCAUCUAAAACGAUCAUACACGUACACCAUCCGACCUACUCGAUCCUACACAUACACUAUCCGACCUACUCGAUCCUACACGGAUAAAUAGCGGAUCACGCACGUACUACCUCCUUUCCGGUUUGCAGGGCUGAAUUCAAAAAACGAUCUACUCGAUCCUACACGAAUAAAUAGCGGAUCACAAACAUACUAGUACCUCCUUUCUGGUUUGCAGGGCUUAAUUAAAAAAUCUCACCAACCAAGGUACUCCCUCCGUUCGGGUUUAUUAGUCACGUGAGCCAAAAUAGCAAGACCUUAACUGCAUGCAGAAGUUUAAGCCUAAUUAAUUCCAGCGAUUUAAGUGGCUGCAUGCAUACCCUCGGCUGCGACUCGUUGCAUGCUACUCCGUGUACUAGUUGCGAGCGAUUCUGAGUGGCACCAUGCAGCCGGCCAUAAUUAAGGCAGCUAACUGAUGCGAAAAAAGAUGCGCUUUAAUUGUUGCGGGCCUUUUAAAUCCAUGGAACCAUUAUUGACAAGGAUAGAGUACCUCAUCUGGAUGAUUCAAGUGCACUCGUUUGACCAUCAUGCUGGCGUGCGACCCAGCACGGACGAGACGGGACGGCACAGACAUAAUUUUAGUUUUUCUAGUUUUCCACGGCAAGCUGGCGCGCUAACCAUGCUUGCUUAUGCAUUGAAUUCCGAUGAUUGUCGCGCUACCUUCCGCCUAUAUGUAUUGUUUCCCGGCCUUCUUUGGUGGCACCAUGACCCAACUCGCCCUAUCCUCAUAAGCCCCCAUCGGCCCGACGUUGCUCACCACUUAUCCUCGCUCUCGCCACGUCCACCAUGCCCCCGCCCGUCCGUGAUAGGCGACGCCGGAGGCGGUCACCGCCGGAACUAGUGUUCGGUUUUUCACCGGAAGGCAGACGAAGGGAGGAGGCAUUCUAUCGGUCUUUAGAUGGAAAUGCAGAGAUCGAGGACUUGUUGGAGCGCGACCGCCUGGCAGAGGAGCAGCGUAUCAUCGAUUUGCGCCGCCAGCGGGACAUGGAGCAGCAGCGCACCGACGCUCUGAGUCACGAGCAGAGUGCCUGCAACUGGGCCAACUACGUGGAGGUCGGCACCUGGAAAAUAUCCCUGGAGGCUGUCGGGCACGAACGCGUUCACGACGCUGAUUUUUACUACCAGCUCAUCAAGUGGGUUUCCCGCUUAGAAGUUGAAGCUUCGGUGGACCACGCCGACAUGGAAAGGGCCAACGCGCGCGAGCAACGCGCCCUAUCGCACCUCUGGCAAGUCCGAGGAGAGGCGGAGGACGCCGGUGCCGGCGUUUAGCAUGUACUGCAGAUGGCGGCCGGCAUCGUCUAGUUAGCUAAGAGUAAGUUAGUACUUGUACACUACUAGAGUAUUAGUGGGAGUAGAUACUUAACUUGGCUAUGAUGGUUGUCAACGUGGAAGUUCAGUACUCUAUAUCUGGAUCAGACCUGUUACUUUGCUCUGAAUGUUGAACUCUCUGUUUGAACAUAUGGAAUGGGCUGUUAUUUUUUUAAAUGGGUUGUAUUUAUCCGCCACGGGUUUAGAGGCUAACUUGUGGGCCUACCAGAUCGACACGUACACAAUCAUGACAUGAUUGUAUGUGAAGAGGAUGACAGCAGGGACCCGCCAAGGUCAUUGCAGUAUGCAAGCAAGUGCCUCCUUAUUUCAAGAUAAUAAAAAUGGCUCCUCCUAAUGGAUUUCCGACAUCUGGGUCUCAUGCCAUUGUCAAUGUAUAGUCAAUAAACGAUAGAAUUGCACAACGAGCGGCUGACACCAGGGACCCAGCAGCUCUCCCAGUUACUUUUGCUUUGGGUUAAUUUGAUAAAUGCCACUCCAAAUCUGGUGAUUCCGAGAAAGGCCACUUCAAUUUCCAAACUUUGAAAAUGCCAUUUCCAAUGACAUUUUUCGAAGAAUGGAGUGGCGUUUUUCAAAGCUUGCAAAUUGCAGUGUCAUUUUUCAAAGUUUGCAAAAAUUGCAGUGGCAUUUUUCAAAGUUGGAAAUUGCAGUGGCAUUUUUAUGAAUCGCCAUAAUUGGAGUGGCAUUUAUGUAAUUUGUUUUUGAGACGGAAGUAGGGUGUCAACUGGGCUGUGCGGGGCACUCUGGCCUGUCUAGACAACCUUUUCUUUUAUGUUUAUCACAGACCAGCCCAUUAGUUUUUUUCUUUCUGAAAAUGGCUAGCUCAGUUUUUUUGUGAUUUGUCAAAUAAGUCGCUUUGUCAGGCCUGUUGGGCUGUAAAUCUUUCAAGACGAGGAGAGCUUCAUUCGGCUGGCCGAGAAAAUGGCCUAUCAGUAAUGAGAAAUGGGUUGUACAUUUUUAAAACACAUCAAACCGGCAAUUAGUUUCAAUUUUUUUUAGAUUUUAAAUUGCAUUGGUUUUUAUGCAUGGACAAUUUGAUGGAUUUUAUAUUGAUAUACAUUUUUUUAAAUCAGUUUGAAUGUGACUCAAAAUUUCGGGAUUAAAAACAGUUCGGACUGCACCGAAAUAUGCAAAAUUUCGUAUAAUUUUUUAACCAUGGCCACAAUAUGGGAUGUAAUGCUAACAAAAAGAAUAAAAUGGGUUGUAAAUUAUUAGAAAUAAUGGUAGAUGGGUUGUAUGCUGUUUUCCACAGAUUUGAGGCCUUCCAAAAAAAAUAAGGUUGAUGCACAAGCAGUGACUAUUGGAUGUCCAUCCAACGGCCGUCGUGCUUAUUCAAUCUCUGCUCUUCCUGCUCCAGCCGCUCAAACAAGCGCCGGCGAGACUGCCUGCUCACUCCUCCCGCGGCCGGUUGUGCUGCCGCGCAGGUCUCACCGCCCCACCAUACUCUCAUCACUGGCCUAGCCAUCCCUCUACUCACCCACACCCGUUGUUAUUCUCCGGUGACGGCAGAUGAACCAGUAAACCCUCGUAUAGUCGUACUCCCCUCCGUAUGGGAAACAACUGUCGGGGUCUUUCGUAGCUCCGUGUCAUUCCCUUCCUAGGCCUCGCCGUCGUCCACCGUCCUGGUGCUCUCGGCAUGGCGUGGUCAACAUGGUCAACGACCGAAAUGCAUCUGAAGUGGACUAUACAUGGAGAGGCUGACAGCUGGGUCCACGGCCACACGCAAGGAAAUGCCUCCUUAUUACGCGCAAAAUCAUGAUUCCUCCACCUAACAUCUGGGACCCACCGAAAGGGCAUCUGUAUUUCGCAAAAAAACGUUACCGCCGCUGACAGCUCGAACACACCAGCUAUAUCUUCGCACGCAAGGAAGUGCCUCCUUAUUACGCACAAAAAAAUGAAUACUCCCCCUGCUAGUUGGGACCCGGUAUAGUGGGAGGCUGACUUGUGGGCCCACUAAGUUGACGGGGACGGAGGUGAGGGAGUCCCGGACUAGGGGGUGUCCGGAUAGCCGAACUAUCAUGGUCGGCCGGACUCCAAGAUUAUGAAGAUACAAGAUUGAAGACUUCGUCCCGUGUCCGGAGGGGACUUUCCUUGGCGUGGAAGGCAAGCUUGGCGAUACGGAUAUGUAGAUCUCCUACCAUUGUAACCGACUUUGUGUAACCCUAGCCCUCUCUGGUGUCUAUAUAAACCGGAUGGCCUUAGUCCAUAGGACGAACAACAAUCAUACCAUAGGCUAGCUUCUAGGGUUUAGCCUCCUUGAUCUCGUGGUAGAUCCACUCUUGUAACACACAUCAUCAAUAUUAAUCAAGCAAGACGUAGGGUUUUACCUCCAUCAAGAGGUCCGAACCUGGGUAAAACAUCGUGUCCCUUAUCUCCUGUUACCAUCCGCCUAGAUGCAUAGUUCGGGACCCCCUACCCGAGAUCCGCCGGUUUUGACACCGACUUUGGUGCUUUCAUUGAGAGUUCCUCUGUGCCGUCACCAUCAGGAAGGAUGCCUUUUCCCGUCUUUAAAGACGGCACCGUCGUCAAGGGAGCUUUGGCCACCGGCCAGACUAUCCGGCUAGGCGGUUUACUUAUGACCGCCUAUUCGGCCACCGCUCUGACAAUGACCUCUCAGGUCAUUAAAAGCGAUCUUCACGUCAGCUCGGAAUUCGCCAAGCAGCUAGAUCCGAUUGAGCUCUCCUCCGUAAACGAGCGAGCUCUUGGAUCGCAUCGCCGCCCUGGGAGUCGCUACUGACUGCAAUCAGAUUGGGCUUAAAACCGAUCUGAGAGAAAUUAACUCUCCCCUGGUUACCCACCACGUUGUUGUGGUAGAGGAACAAUGCGGCGACUCUUCUUCUAUGUUAAAAACCAACUAUGUCCGGAUUCCCGAUCCCUCCAUGCCGGAUUCCCGCGGAGGGACGGACGCUAAUCAAAUACUAAACCUAAAGUCAGGCAUCGGACCAGAUUUGUUGGAAAGCGUCCAGCAAACCAAGCUUCCGAAUCCGGAAGCUUCUUGGCCUUUGAGCCUCAGAUCGGGUGGGGUUCCAAACUUGAUUCCACCCGCCCACCCAAACAUAAGCGAUCUAUCUCAAAUACGGCAAGAGCCCUAUGAAACAGUACAUCAUUAUUGGGCCAGAUUCCUCCUGGUUAUGAACAGGAUAAAGGACUGCCGUGAAGAAAGCGCGAUUUCAAUCUUCUGCAACAAUUGCACGGACAAGGGAAUCAUAAAUGCCAUCAGUCGUCGCGAAGUUACACGCUUCGCCGACCUAGCGACCAUUGUACAAAAAUACUGCGUGAUGGAGAGUGCCUGGAAAACCGAAACUAGGUUUUGGGACAAUCCGGCCCUGAAUACAACCCCAGUCCGAAAUAAAAGGGUGCGUCAUACUCAAGCACCUGGGUUAAAAACCAAAAAGCAAAAAAUCCCUAAAGGGUACGGAACCGUACUGGAGGGAUGGCUCAACGGACCCUGCAAAAUCCACAGUACGGAGGGCGCCACUCCAACACAUAGCCUUCGAGCAUGUUGGAUAUUACGGCAGGUGGCCAAAAGUGGCGAAGGCUUUUUAGCCCCGGGCAACCAGCCCAGCAGCACCAGUAUGGUAUUAAUAGUCUUUGAGACUUUCGCAUCAAAUAACAUGCGGAAACGAACAAUCCGCAGCCUCGCCGAAGUCUACCAAGUAGCAACAACAAAUCCAUGGAGUGACAUGGCUAUCACCUUCAAUGCCAGCGACGAACCUAUUCCGAACAGCUAGAGCACCAGCCGCAUUGGUCCUCAGCCCGAUAGUGGACGGCUUUCGUCUUACCAAGGUACUCAUGGAUGGCGGCAGUGGAUUAAACCUCAUCUACGAAGAAACUCUUCAAAAAAUGGAAAUUGACUAGAGCCGCAUCGAGCGGAGUAGCACAACCUUCAGGGGAAUAAUCCCUAGUCGAGAAGUACGCUGCACAGGAAAAAUCACACUAGAUGUAGUGUUCGGCUCGCCGGACAAUUACAGGUCCGAAGAGGUCAUGUUCCAAGUGGCCCCAUUCGGCAGCGGAUAUCACGCCUUGUUAGGGCGAGAGGCAUUCACAAUCUUCCAAGCUAUACCCCAUUAUGGGUACAUGAAGCUCAAAAUGCCCGGACCCAAUGGAAUAAUCACUCCCGCCAGUGAUCCAGAUACAGCACUCCGCGCUAAAAAUAAGACAGCCGCACUGGCCCUAGAGGCAUUAUCCGAAGCCCUAGCGGCAGAGGAACUAACUGCGUUGCGCUCCACGGUGGAUAGGGACAAUGUGAUACUCGACAAGAGGUCCAAGUCCACCUCUUUUAAACCAGCAGACGAAAUAGUCAAAUUUCAGGUCCAUCCAACGGACCCCACAAAGACGGCAUCCAUUGGGGCACAAUUAAAUCCUGAUGUAGAAGCCGCACUACGAGAAUUCCUCCGGGAAAAUUGGGACAUUUUUGCCUGGCACCCUUUAGACAUGCCAGGAAUCCCACGCAGGCUGGCAGAGCACAGCCUAAAUAUCCUAAAAGGACUCAAGCCAGUCAAACAAGCUCUUCGGCGAUUUUCCGAACCCAAAAGACAGGCAAUGGGAGAGGAGCUAGCCAAACUCUUAGAAGCCGGAUUCAUCAGAGAUAUCAAACAUCUGGACUGGCUAGCCAACCUAGUAAUGGUACCAAAAAAGGACAAAUCCUGGCGCCUCUGCGUUGAUUUCAAAGACCUUAACAAGGCCUGUCCAAAGGACCCUUUCCCUCUCCCUCGCAUUGACAAAAUCAUCGAUGCUACCGCAGGGCACGAUUCAUUGUGCUUCCUCGAUGCAUACUCCGGAUACCAUCAAAUCAAGAUGGCGGAAAAAGACCAGGCCGCAACGGCAUUCAUUACUCCAUAUGGGCCAUUCUGCUUCAACACAAUGCCCUUCGGACUCAAAAACGCCGGCGCAACAUAUCAGCGCAUGAUCCAGACAUGUCUGGCUACCCAGAUAGGUAAAACGGUAGAGGCAUACGUAGACGAUGUGGUCAUCAAGACCAAACACGUCGAAACUCUAGUAGACGACUUGAGGGUGACAUUUGACAACCUCCGAGCAUAUGACAUUAAGCUCAACCCGGAAAAAUGUGUCUUUGGAGUACCAGCCGGAAAGCUUUUGGGCUUCAUUGUAUCCGGUAGAGGAAUUGAAGCAAACCCAGCCAAGAUCCGAGCUCUGUCACAAUUGGAUAUCCCAAAAGACCUCAAGCAAAUACAAAAACUAACUGGGUGCGUAGCGGCUCUAAGCCGCUUCAUCUCCCAUUUGGGAGAAAAGGCUCUGCCCCUCUAUCGCCUCCUCCGGCGCAUCGAACACUUCGAAUGGACGGAUGCCGCCACGGCCGGACUCGAAGAAAUCAAGGCCAUACUGGCAACAAAUCUGGUCCUGGCCGCGCCCAACCUGGGCGAACCUAUGUUAUUAUAUAUCGCAGCAACACAUCAAGUUGUCAGUGCGGUACUCGUCGUCGAACGAGAAACAGAAGGGCACAAAUUCCCUCUUCAAAAACCAGUGUACUACGUAUCCACUGUCUUAACUCCAUGCAAGUCCCGGUACCCACAUUAUCAAAAGAUAGCGUAUGCGGUGUUCAUGGCAUCCCGGAAGCUGCGACACUACUUUCAAGAGUGUUCCAUAACGGUGGCCUCCGAAGUACCUCUCAACAAUAUUAUAAACAAUCGCGACGCAACGGGCAGGAUUGCAAAAUGGGUCAUUGAGCUCUUACCAUUUGACAUAACCUACAAACCAUGGCGAGCUAUAAAAUCGCAAGUUUUGGUUGACUUCGUCGCCGAAUGGACCGAAGCCGAACUCCCUAAAGAGUACGGCGCGUACUCCAAUUGGAUCAUGCAUUUCGACGGAUCCAAAAUGUUGGCUGGCUUGGGGGGUGGCGUCGUCUUGACGUCCCCAACUGGAGACAUAGUCCAAUACGUACUUCAAAUAAUGUACAUGGACUCCAACAACGCAGCCGAAUACGAGGCCCUUCUACACGGCCUCCGGAUGGCAAUCUCCAUGGGCAUUCAACGCCUAGAGGUGCGCGGGGAUUCAAACCUCGCAAUAUCCCAAGUAAAUGGAGACUUUGACGCCAAAGAUCCAAAAAUGGCAGCUUACCGCAACGCCGUCCUAAAAAUGUCAGCUCGGUUCGAAGGACUCGAAUUCCACCAUGUAGCCCGGGAUAAUAACCAGGCAGCAGACGUGUCAGCACGCAUCGGCGCAAAACGCGACGCCGUCCCUCCAAACAUCUUCCUGGAACGACUCUUUAAGCCAUCCGUAUUAUGGGAAGAGGAGUCCGGAAAUAACAAUCCGGAGCCAGCUGCAGCACCUAACUCAGACAAUUCUGACACAAUCGGCGGCUCAGCAAAUGAAAUAACACCUUCAGCCCACGAAAUAAUGGCAGUAAUUGCCCUGUGGACGGAACCAUUCCUAGCCUACUUAAUUAGGCAGGAACUUCCCGAAGACCAAAAUGAGGCCCGCUGCAUAGUUCGGUGAUCUAAAGCCUACAAGGUCCAUGAGGGAGAACUUUAUAAGAAAGCACAACCGGAGUCCUUCAAAGGUGUAUCUCCGAAGAGGAAGGGCGAAAUCUCCUGGCUGAAAUUCACGCCGGACUCAGCGGGCACCACGCUGCAGCCCGGGCCCUUGUAGGCAAGGCCUUCCGUACAGGAUUUUAUUGGCCGACAGCCCAGGCGGAUGCUCAAGACUUAGUCCAACGAUGCGUCGGUUGCCAGCUCUUUGCUAAUCAGAGCCACAUGCCACCCACCGCCCUCAAAACUAUACCCAUCACCUGGCCGUUCGCGGUCUGGGGGCUUGACAUGGUUGGACCCCUUAAAGGGGGAACCCACAAGCACAAAUACUUAUUGGUCAUGGUGGACAAAUUCACCAAAUGGAUUGAAGCCAAGCCGGUUAAAAUGGCAGAAUCCGGACCUGCGAUACAUUUCAUAUCCAAGGUAGUACACCAUUUUGGCGUCCCCCAUAGCAUCAUCACUGAUAACGGCACGAAUUUCACGGCCGACGAGGUUAAACUCUGGUGCAAAAAUAUGGGCAUCAAGCUCGACUACGCUUCAGUCUAUCACCCCCAAACUAACGGUCAAGUCGAGCGAGCAAAUGGUCUAAUCAUGAGCGGCAUCAAACCCAGACUAGUGCGGUCCCUCAAGGAAUCUAACAUACACUGGGUAGAGGAGCUUGACUCCGUACUCUAGGGGCUGCAGACCACGCCAAACCGAACUACCGGAUUCACACCAUUUUUUAUGGUGUACGGCGCAGAGGCAGUUCUGCCCUGCGAUAUAAUUCAUGACUCACCUCGCGUGCGCAUGUACGAAGAAAGAGAAGCCAAGCUGGAUCGGCAGGAUAGUUUGGACGCCUUAGAGGAGGAGCGGGACGUGGCAAAAGGUCGUUCCGCAUUUUAUCAACGGCAGGCUCGAAUAUAUCAAAGCAGAGAAGUACGGGCCAAAGCUUACAAUGUUGGCGAACUUGUUCUACGCCUGCCGGACAAGAAAAAGGACAAACUUAAGCCCAAGUGGGAAGGUCCCUUCAUCAUCAACCAAGUCCUGACUGGCGGAGCAUACCAUCUACGUAACGCAUCUGACAACCGACUCGAGCCGAACCCAUGGAACGCAGCCCAUCUCCGAAGAUUUUACGCCUAACGCCGGACUCAGAGUUCAUCUCACUCCUCCGUCCACCUUUUUACAUAUUCACUGUCUCUUGUCCCCCUCCUUCUUCCCACUUUUUUUCAAUACCUUUGAUAGUCUGAUUUGCGCAUUGUUCGCACACACUUGAUGUGUUCCUAGCACUCAUUAUACCUGGGGGCUUCUUUAACAGAAGCUUAUUUAUACGGGCUUCAUGCCCAACACAUGUGUCAUACUUCCGCAUGUACCUUUUAUUCACCCUUAUAUGCAUCGAUAUGACUUAAGUUUUGGCCAAGCUAGGUUGCCUGGCUCCUGUGCUUACCCCUACGUUCCCGAUUGUUCGGCUCGGAGGUAAAGGGAGCACCUCUGCGAUUGUUACUGCCGGGUCAGCUGGAUGUGUACCUUAGACUGGGUGAAGCCAAAAGCUAGCGUUCUUAAGAGAAUAUUCGGUCGGUGACUUGAAAGAUGAUUUAUUACUUACUUAUUUAUUUGCCCCCAGAUGCUUUUUCUGCUAUUUUCGCAGUCCGGACAUGCACUUUAGGGCAUGCCUCCCAGGGAAAGGAACCCUUAACGGAACUAUUCUCCUUGGAAGAUGUUUCUUACUAACCAUGUAAUAUAACAUAGCUAGUUGGGCACUUGUCUGAUAAAGCAAUUAUGACCCCGACGCCUUGUCUCCACGCAUGCCCCGGUUCUUCUAUAACCGUAAGGGUAUUCGGACACACUCUGAACUGUUGGGUCCCGAGGUUGAAGCGAAAAGGUCUGCAAAGACAAACGAUCUACAAUCCGGCUAGAAGGCAUUUUACAUGUCAUUUCAAAUUACAUCGUCAAACUGACUGAUUGUACUCCUCUUAAAUCCCAUCUAAUAGGCUGUCUAAUUUACAGUCAUGUUGGGAAUAUUUCACGGCCAGUUCUACUUGGCCGUACAUCAAGCUCACAGGGAUCUCCUUCCCAUCAGGCCCCGCAGGUCCGACCUCGGCCAUGUGGUUUGGGUCAGCCUUCGGGUACCGCGUCUUCACCAUGGCCCAGGCCUCCCUGGCGCCUUGACGGCAGGCCGAUAUCUUCCACAGACGGAGGCGUCGCCGUGCUCCCUGAAGCUUCUCAGCAAGCCCUCCAAGGCCCUUGGGUAGGGAGACGGAAGGCCAUAAAGCCUGAACGACGCCACUCAUCGCCUGCCGAACAUGUUCGAGCAGUUGCACUAGCUCGGGAAGUUGGUCACCCGUUGAACCAGGCAUUUCCUCCGCAGGGCGACCUAUGAGCACACCUAAAGACACAUUUCUGUCAAUCGACUUCCUCACCGAAUUCUUCUUUUCAAAGGAAUUUGCUCAAGCACUUACUAUAAAUGCCGCGACGAAGCCGCUGAUUCUCCUUCACGGAGCCAGACAGCUGGGACCGAACACCUUUCAGCCCUUCUCCUAGCUAGGUGUGGGCAUCUUGGAGCUUGUUUCUCUCCUGCUGCACCUUCAUAAGCACCCUCGCUCGCCGGCCUUUAGCAGACGCAGUAGUUGUUGCUUGUCUGGAUCUAGUCCGGCGCCCUCUGCAAUAUUAUUGUCAGAUUUACGCACGCGCCGCACUUUGUUAACUACUUAUCUUUUCGAAGUACGUAUUACCAGUGGGGGUCUCUGUGGCUCCCCUGUGGUGGCUAGUGCGGCCUCAAGUUGGGCCUUGCACUCUUGGAGCUCCUGGGACAGGUGGGUAUUCUUCUCCGUAAGAUCCUUAAAUCAGUUAUUUUAACUAUUUUAAGUCUCGGGGGCUACUAGCAUAUAUAACUAUUAAAAUUACUUACCCGUAUGUCCUUCACAUACUGCUCCGUGGCUCUGGUUAAACCAUCUUGAGCAGCACAGAGGUGCGCGUUUCCCGCAUCAAAGGCAUUCAACGCCUCCGGGGAGAAACAGGCGUCACGAAGAACUGUCCGGCAACGCCUGUGAUUCAUGGCGCUCUCCACCUCAGACCGGGUGGCGGACAGCCUGUCGGCAUCCUCCGUCGGAGGAGCAUCCGACUCUUGCCUUGUGUUCGCCUCCACUUCCGGACCACGCGAUGGAGCAUGGCUGGCGGAGGCUUGAUUGGCAACCUCUCCGGACACUGUCCGACGAGCGCUCUUUCUCCUGGAAAAAGUUAUGAGCAUUAAUAUACCUCCUAGGGAUCCUUCCAUUAAAAAUGACGGUGUGUUGUACCGUUGCGGCGACGUUUCGAUUCGCGUCGCACUCCUCUUCCGCCUGCUGGGCCGAACUGACCCUUGCUAGUCAGCCGCCGCAGGUUCGGCUUCCCGCCUUAAUGUUGGGGAACGUUGCAGAAAAUUAAAAAAUUUCCUACGGUUUCACCAAGAUCCAUCUAUGAGUUCAUCUAAGCAACGAGUCAUGGGAGAGAGAUUGCAUCUACAUACCACUUUGUAGAUCGCGCGGAAGCGUUCAAAAGAACGGGGUUGAAGUAGUCGUUCUCGUCGUGAUCCUAUCACCGGAGAUCCUAGCACCGAACGGACGGCACCUCCGCGUUCAACACAUGUACAGUCGGCGUAACGUCUCCUCCGUCUUGAUCCAGCAAGGGGGAAGGAGAGGUUGAUGAUGAUGGCUCCAGCAGCAGCACAACAGCGUGGUGGUGGUGGAACAGCAGCACUCCGGCAGGGCUUCGCCAAGCACGUGACGGAGGAGGAAGAGGUGUAGCAGGGGGAGGGGCGCCAGGACUUCAGGGUGCGGCUGCCCCCCUCCCCCCUCCCUUUAUAUAGGCCCCCAGGGGGGCGCCGGCCCUGGGAGAUCUAAUCUCCCAAGGGGGCGGCGGCCAAGGGGGGUGGAGUACCCCCCAAGGCAAGUGGGGCGCCCCCCCACCCUAGGGUUUCAACCCUAGGCGCAGGGGGUGGGCCUAGGGGGGCGCACCAGCCCACUAAGGGUUGGUUCCCCUUCCCACUUCGGCCCUUAGGGCCCUCCGGGAUGGGUGGCCCCACCCGGUGGACCCCCGGGACCCUUCCGGUGGUCCCAGUACAAUAUCGGGUGACCCCGAAACUUUCCCGAUGGCCGAAAUACCACUUCCUAUAUAGUUUUCUUUACCUCCGGACCAUUCCGGAACUCCUCGUGACUUCCGGGAUCUCAUCCGGGACUCCGAACAACAUUCGGUAUGCUGCAUACUCAUAUUGAUACAACCCUAGCAUCACCGAACCUUAAGUGUGUAGACCCUACGGGUUCGGGAGACACGUAGACAUGACCGAGACGGCUCUCGGGCAAUAACCAACAGCGGGAUCUGGAUACCCAUGUUGGUUCCCACAUGCUCCUCGAUGAUCUCAUCAGAUGAACCACGAUGUCAAGGAUUCGAACAACCCCGUAUACAAUUCCCUUUGUCAAUCGGUACGUUACUUGCCCGAGACUCGAUCGUCGGUAUCCCAAUACCUCGUUCAGUCCUGUUAUCGGCAAGUCACUUUACUCGUACCGUAAUGCAUGAUCCCGUGACCAAACACUUGGUCACUUUGAGCUCAUUAUGAUGAUGCAUUACCGAGUGGGCCCAGAGAUACCUCUCUGUCAUACAGAGUGACAAAUCCCAGUCUCGAUCCGUGUCAACCCAACAGACACUUUCGGAGAUACCUGUAGUGCACCUUUAUAGUCACACAGUUACGUUGUGACGUUUGGUACACCCAAAGCACUCUUACGGUAUCUGGGAGUUACACGAUAUCAUGGUCUAAGGAAGAGAUACUUGACAUUGAAAAAGCUCUAGCAAAACGAACUACACAACCUUGUGCUAUGCUUAGGAUUGGGUCUUGUCCAUCACAUCAUUCUCCUAAUGAUGUGAUCCCGUUGUCAAUGACAUCUAAUGUCCAUAGUCAGGAAACCAUGACUAUCUGUUGACCAACGAGCUAGUCAACUAGAGGCUCACUAGGGACAUGUUAUGGUCUAUGUAUUCACACGUGUAUUACGAUUUCCGAACAAUACAGUUAUAGCAUGAAUAAAAGACAAUUAUCAUGAAUAAGGAAAUAUAAUAAUAACCCUUUUAUUAUUGCCUCUAGGGCAUAUUUCCAACAGUCUCCCACUUGCACUAGAGUCAAUAAUGUAGUUACAUUGUGAUGAAUCGAACACCCAUAGAGUUCUGGUGCUGAUCAUGUUUUGCUCGCGAGAGAGGUUUAGUCAACGGAUCUGCGACAUUCAGAUCCGUAUGUACUUUGCAGAUAUCUAUGUCUCCAUCUUGAACAUUUUCACGGAUGGAGUUGAAACGACGCUUGAUGUGCCUGGUCUUCUUGUGAAACCUGGGCUCCUUGGCAAGGGCAAUAGCUCCAGUGUUGUCACAGAAGAGUUUGAUCGGCCCCGACGCAUUGGGUAUGACUCCUAGGUCGGUGAUGAACUCCUUCACCCAAAUUGCUUCAUGCGCUGCCUCCGAGGCUGCCAUGUACUCCGCCUCACAUGUAGAUCCCGCCACGACGCUCUGCUUGCAGCUACACCAGCUUACUGCUCCACCAUUCAACAUAUACACGUAUCCGGUUUGUCACUUAGAGUCAUCCAGAUCUGUGUCGAAGCUAGCUUCGAUGUAACCCUUUACGACGAGCUCUUCGUCACCUCCAUAAACGAGAAACAUGUCCUUCAUCCUUUUCAGGUACUUUAGGAUAUUCUUGACCGCUGUCCAGUGUUCCUUGCCGGGAUUACUUUGGUACCUUCCUACCAAACUUACGGCAAGGUUUACAUCAGGUCUGGUACACAGCAUGGCAUACAUAAUAGAUCCUAUGGCUGAGGCAUAGGGGAUGACGCUCAUCUCUUCUUUAUCUUUUGCCGUGGUCGGGCAUUGAGCCGAGCUCAAUCUCACACCUUGCAAUAUAGGCAAGAACCCUUUCUUGGACUGAUCCAUUUUGAACUUCUUCAAAAUCUUAUCAAGGUAUGUGCUUUGUGAAAGACCUAUGAGGCAUCUCGAUCUAUCCCUAUAGAUCUUGAUGCCUAAUAUAUAAGCAGCUUCUCCAAGGUCCUUCAUUGAAAAACACUUAUUCAAGUAGGCCUUAAUGCUGUCCAAGAAUUCUAUAUCAUUUCCCAUCAAAAGUAUGUCAUCUACAUAUAAUAUGAGAAAUGCUACAGAGCUCCCACUCACUUUCUUGUAAACACAGGCUUCUCCAUAAGUCUGCGUAAACCCAAACGCUUUGAUCAUCUCAUCAAAGCGAAUGUUCCAACUCCGAGAUGCUUGCACCAGCCCAUAAAUGGAUCGCUGGAGCUUGCAUACUUUGUUAGCAUUCUUAGGAUCGACAAAACCCUCCGGCUGCAUCAUAUACAGUUCUUCCUUAAGAUGCCCGUUAAGGAAUGCCGUUUUGACGUCCAUCUGCCAUAUCUCAUAAUCAUAGUAUGCGGCAAUUGUUAACAUGAUUCGGACGGACUUAAGCUUUGCUACGGGAGAGAAAGUCUCAUCGUAGUCAAUCCCUUGAACUUGUCGAUAACCCUUAGCGACAAGUCGAGCUUUAUAGAUUGUGACAUUACCAUCCGCGUCUGUCUUCUUCUUAAAGAUCCAUUUCUUUUCUAUCACUCGCCGAUCAUCGGGCAAGUUAGUCAAAGUCCAUACUUUGUUUUCAUACAUGGAUUCUAUCUCGGACUUCAUGGCUUCUAGCCAUUUGUUGGAAUCUGGGCCCGCCAUUGCUUCUUCAUAGUUCGAAGGUUCACCGUUGUCCAACAACAUGAUUUCCAGGACAGGGUUGCCGUACCACUCUGGUGCGGAACGUGUCCUUGUGGACCUACGAAGUUCAGUAGCAACUUGAUCCGAAGUACCUUGAUCAUCAUCAUUGUUUUCCUCUUUAGUUGGUGUAGGCAUCACAGGAACAUUUUCCUGAGCUGCACUACUAUCCCGUUCAAGAGGUAGUACUUCAUCUAGUUCUACUUUCCUCCCACUUACUUCUUUCGAGAGAAACUCUUUUUCCAGAAAGGAUCCGUUCUUGGCAACAAAGAUCUUGCCUUCGGAUCUUAAGUAGAAGGUAUACCCAAUGGUUUCUUUAGGGUGUCCUAUGAAGACGCAUUUUUCCGACUUGGGUUCGAGCUUUUCAGGUUGAAGUUUCUUGACAUAAGCAUCGCAUCCCCAAACUUUUAGAAAUGACAGCUUAGGUUUCUUCCCAAACCAUAAUUCAUACGGUGUCAUCUCAACGGAUUUAGACGGUGCCCUAUUUAAAGUGAAUGUAGCUGUCUCUAGAGCGUAUCCCCAAAAUGAUAGCGGUAAAUCGGUAAGAGACAUCAUAGAUCGCACCAUAUCCAAUAGAGUGCGAUUACGACGUUCGAACACACCGUUACGCUGAGGUGUUCCAGGCGGCGUGAGGUGUGAAACGAUUCCACAUUUUCUUAAGUGUGUACCAGAUUCAUAACUUAAAUAUUCUCCUCCACGAUCCGAUCGUAAGAAUUUUAUCUUUCAGUCACGUUGAUUCUCUACUUCAUUCUGAAAUUCCUUGAACUUUUCAAAGGUCUCAGACUUGUGUUUCAUCAAGUAGACAUACCCAUAUCUACUCAAGUCAUCAGUGAGAGUGAGAACAUAACGAUAUCCUCCGCGAGCCUCAACGCUCAUUGGACCGCACACAUCGGUAUGUAUGAUUUCCAACAAGUUGGUUGCUCGCUCCAUUGUUCCGGAGAACGGGGUCUUGGUCAUUUUGCCCAUGAGGCAUGGUUCGCAUGUGUCAAAUGAUUCAUAAUCGAGGGACUCUAAAAGUCCAUCAGCAUGGAGCUUCUUCAUGCGCUUGACACCAAUGUGACCAAGGCGGCAGUGCCACAAGUAUGUGGGACUAUCGUUAUCAACUUUACAUCUUUUGGUAUUCACGCUAUGAAUAUGUGUAACAUUACGUUCGAGAUUCAUUAAGAAUAAACCAUUGACCAUUGGGGCAUGACCAUAAAACAUAUCUCUCAUAUAAAUAGAACAACCAUUAUUCUCGGAUUUAAAUGAGUAGCCAUCUCGUAUUAAACGAGAUCCAGAUACAAUGUUCAUGCUCAAACUUGGCACUAAAUAACAAUUAUUGAGGUUUAAAACUAAUCCCGUAGGUAAAUGUAGAGGUAGCGUGCCAACGGUGAUCACAUCGACCUUGGAACCAUUCCCGACGCGCAUCGUCACCUCGUCCUUCGCCAGUCUCUGCUUAUUCCGCAGCUCCUGUUGUGAGUUACAAAUGUGAGCAAUGGCACCGGUAUCAAAUACCCAGGAGUUACUACGAGUACUGGUGAGGUACACAUCAAUUACAUGUAUAUCAAAUAUACCUUUAGUGUUGCCGGCCUUCUUAUCCGCUAAGUAUUUGGGGCAGUUCCGCUUCCAGUGACCCUUCCCCUUGCAAUAAAAGCACUCAGUUUCAGGCUUGGGUCCAUUCUUUGACUUCUUCCCGGUAACUGGCCUACCGGGCGCGGCAACAUCUUUGCCGUCCUUCUUCAAGUUCUUCUUACCCUUGCCCUUCUUGAACUUAGUGGUCUUAUUGACCAUCAACACUUGAUGUUCUUUCUUGAUUUCAACCUCUGCUGACUUCAGCAUUGAAAAUACUUCAGGAAUGGUCUUUACCAUCCCCUGCAUAUUGUGGUUCAUCACAAAGCUCUUGUAGCUUGGUGGGAGCGACUGAAGGAUUCUGUCAAUGACCGCCUCAUCCGGGAGGUUAAUGUCCAGCUGGGACAGGCGGUUGUGCAACCCAGACAUUUUGAGUAUGUGCUCACUGACAGAACUAUUUUCCUCCAUCUUACAACUAUAGAACUUGUCGGAGACUUCAUAUCUCUCGACCCGGGCAUGAGCUUGGAAAACUAGUUUUAGCUCCUAGAACAUCUCAUAUGCUCUGUGUUGCUCAAAACGCUUUUGGAGCCCCGGUUCUAAGCUGUAAAGCAUGCCACACUGAACGAGGGAGUAAUCAUCAGCGCGAGACUGCCAAGCAUUCAUAAUGUCUUGGUUCUCUGGGACGGGUGCAUCACCUAGCGGUCCUUCUAGGACAUAUUGUUUCAUGGCUGCUAUGAGGAUGAUCCUCAGGUUCCGGACCCAGUCCGAAUAGUUGCUGCCAUCAUCUUUCAGCUUGGUUUUCUCUAGGAAUGCGUUGAAGUUCAUGUUGACAUGAGCGUUGGCCAUUUGAUAUACAGGACAUAUUUUGCAAAAGUUUUAGACUAAGUUCAUGAUAAUUAAGUUCAUCUAAUCAAAUUAUUUAAUGAACUCCCACUCAGAUCAGACAUCCCUCUAGUCAUCUAAGUGUUACACGAUCCGAGUCGACUAGGCCGUGUCCGAUCAUCACGUGAGACGGACUAGUCAUCAUCGGUGAACAUCUCCAUGUUGAUCGUAUCUUCUAUACGACUCAUGUUCGACCUUUCGGUCUCUUGUGUUCUGAGGCCAUGUCUGUACAUGCUAGGCUCGUCAAGUUAACCCUAAGUGUUCUGCAUGUGUAAAUCUGUCUUACACCCGUUGUAUGUGAACGUAAGGAUCUAUCACACCCGAUCAUCACGUGGUGCUUCGAAACGACGAACUUUAGCAACGGUGCAUAGUUAGGGGGAACACUUUCUUGAAAUUAUUAUAAGGGAUCAUCUUAUUUACUACCGUCGUUCUAAGUAAACAAGAUGCAUAAAACAUAAUAAACAUCACAUGCAAUUAUAUAGUAGUGACAUGAUAUGGCCAAUAUCAUAUAGCUCCUUCGAUCUCCAUCUUCGGGGCUCCAUGAUCAUCUUCGUCACCGGCAUGACACCAUGAUCUCCAUCAUCAUGAUCUCCAUCAUUGUGUCUUCAUGAAGUUGUCACGCCAACGACUACUUCUACUUCUAUGGCUAACGCGUUUAGCAAUAAAGUAAAGUAAUUUACAUGGCGUUCUUCAAUGACACGCAGGUCAUACAAAAAUAAAGACAACUCCUAUGGCUCCUGCCGGUUGUCAUACUCAUCGACAUGCAAGUCGUGAUUCCUAUUACAAGAACAUGAUCUCAUACAUCACAAUAUAUCAUUCAUCAUUCAUCACAACUUCUGGCCAUAUCACAUCACAUGACAAUUGCUGCAAAAACAAGUUAGACGUCCUCUAAUUGUUGUUGCAUCUUUUACGUGGCUGCAGUUGGGUUCUAGCAAGAACGUUUUCUUACCUAAGAAUAACCACAACGUGAUCUUGUAAACUUCUUUUUACCCUUCAUAAGGACCCUUUUCAUCGAAUCCGCUCCAACUAAAGUGGGAGAGACAGACACCCGCCAGCCACCUUAUGCAACUAGUGCAUGUUAGUCGGUGGAACCGGUCUCACGUAAGCGUACGUGUAAGGUUGGUCCGGGCCGCUUCAUCACACAAUAGCGCUGAAGCAAGAUAAGACUAGUAGCGGCAAGCAAGUUGAUAAGAUCUACGCCCACAACAAAAUUGUGUUCUACUCGUGCAAUAGAGAACUACGCAUAGACCUAGCUCAUGAUGCCACUGUUGGGGAACGUUGCAGAAAAUUAAAAAUUUUCCUACGGUUUCACCAAGAUCCAUCUAUGAGUUCAUCUAAGCAACGAGUCAUGGGAGAGAGAUUGCAUCUACAUACCACUUUGUAGAUCGCGCGGAAGUGUUCAAAAGAACGGGGUUGAAGUAGUCGUUCUCGCCGUGAUCCUAUCACCGGAGAUCCUAGCGCCGAACGGACGGCACCUCCGCGUUCAACACACGUACGGUCAGCGUAACGUCUCCUCCGUCUUGAUCCAGCAAGGGGGAAGGAGAGGUUGAUGAUGAUGGCUCCAGCAGCAGCACAACGGCGUGGUGGUGGUGGAACAGCAGCACUCCGGCAGGGCUUCGCCAAGCACGUGACGGAGGAGGAAGAGGUGUAGCAGGGGGAGGGGGCGCCAGGACUUCAGGGUGCGGCUGCCCCCCUCCCCCCUCCCUUUAUAUAGGCCCCCAGGGGGGGCGCCGGCCCUGGGAGAUCUAAUCUCCCAAGGGGGCGGCGGCCAAGGGGGGUGGAGUACCCCCCAAGGCAAGUGGGGCGCCCCCCCACCCUAGGGUUUCAACCCUAGGCGCAGGGGGUGGGCCUAGGGGGGCGCACCAGCCCACUAAGGGCUAGUUCCCCUCCCCACUUCGGCCCUUAGAGCCCUUCGGGAUGGGUGGCCCCACCCGGUGGACCCCCGGGACCCUUCCGGUGGUCCCGGUACAAUACCGGGUGACCCUGAAACUUUCCCGACAGCCGAAAUACCACUUCCUAUAUAGUUUUCUUUACCUCCGGACCAUUCCGGAACUCCUUGUGAUGUCCGGGAUAUCAUCCGGGACUCCAAACAACAUUUGGUAUGCUGCAUACUCAUAUUCAUACAACCCUAGCGUCACCGAACCUUAAGUGUGUAGACCCUACGGGUUCGGGAGACACGUAGACAUGACCGAGACGGCUCUCGGGCAAUAACCAACAGCGGGAUCUGGAUACCCAUGUUGGUUCCCACAUGCUCCUCGAUGAUCUCAUCGGAUGAACCACGAUGUCGAGGAUUCGAACAACCCCGUAUACAAUUCCCUUUGUCAAUCGGUACGUUACUUGCCCGAGACUCGAUCGUCGGUAUCCCAAUACCUCGUUCAGUCCCGUUACCGGCAAGUCACUUUACUCGUACCGUAAUGCAUGAUCCCGUGACCAAACACUUGGUCACUUUGAGCUCAUUAUGAUGAUGCAUUACCGAGUGGGCCCAGAAAUACCUCUCCGUCAUACGGAGUGACAAAUCCCAGUCUCGAUCCGUGUCAACCCAACAGACACUUUCGGAGAUACCUGUAGUGCACCUUUAUAGUCACCCAGUUACGUUGUGACGUUUGGUACACCCAAAGCACUCUUACGGUAUCCGGGAGUUACACGAUCUCAUGGUCUAAGGAAGAGAUACUUGACAUUGAAAAAGCUCUAGCAAAACGAACUACAUGACCUUGUGCUAUGCUUAGGAUUGGGUCUUGUCCAUCACAUCAUUCUCCUAAUGAUGUGAUCCCGUUGUCAAUGACAUCUAAUGUCCAUAGUCAGGAAACCAUGACUAUCUGUUGACCAACGAGCUAGUCAACUAGAGGCUCACUAGGGACAUGUUAUGGUCUAUGUAUUCACACGUGUAUUACGAUUUUCGGACAAUACAGUUAUAGCAUGAAUAAAAGACAAUUAUCAUGAAUAAGGAAAUAUAAUAAUAACCCUUUUAUUAUUGCCUCUAGGGCAUAUUUCCAACACUUAAAGGCACCUCCUGUGAUGCACCAUCAGUAUAGGAUGGUCAGAGUUGAGCACGGAUCAAAUAAUGGUGUCAAGACCUCGGUCGUAGUCGCCUGGGAGGCCGGGAACAAACCGGGGUAGUCACCGUAAUGGCGACUAGGGCAUUGUCCAUGCUAAGUUGGUGGAACACCCCGUCAAUCAGCUCCGCCUUUAUGUUCGGAUCCUCUGCGGAGGUCGGAUCAAGGGAUCAUUCCGGAUCCUCGGGCUGUGGAGUUAGGCUUCGUAUGCCCUCCACGUCCCGGCGCAGCUCCUGCGUCGAAAUCACAAAGUAAGAUACUUGACUUUGGAAGUAUGGAUCGGGUAGAUAAACGUCCGCUUACCCAGCUCCGAGGGUUGUUCAUGGAAAAUCCGUUCAAUGGAUUCGUGCGGAGAAAGUCCUCCUCCUCCCUCUUGUACAAGCCGGACAGGAUCUUUGCCAGAUCGGCUGCCGAGCUCGGCCCUCUACGGCCAUGACGGGUGGCGUCGUCUUCCCCGUUGAAAUCCCACAUAGGGUGGCCCCUAUAUUGGAGUGGCUGCACCCCUCGCAUAAUGCACGUGGCCAUGAUUUUGAUCAUGGUCAAUCUGGAGUGGGCCAGUAACCUAAUCCGGCCCAUCAGAUAAUGGACGCUCCCAUCAUCCUCGCGUUGAGGGCUCCGCGGGCGCCAACUCAGGCGUUUCUUCAAAGGAGCAUUGCCGAACUCCGGGAGGCCGAUCCGAACUGGAUCCGGCAGAGGGGCGUCCUCCAUGUAGAACUAUUCCGAAGGCCAGUCUUCGGACGCCUUCUUCGGGGUGCCGGAUAGAUAUCCGGUCCUGGCAAUGCGCCAUAUUUCGGCUCCGCCCACUUGAUAUAUCGACCCCUCAUAAGAACGGGGUACCAGGCAAAACAAUCUCUUCCACAGCGCAAAAUGGGGCUCGAUGCCCAGGAACAGCUCGCAAAGAGUUACAAAGCCCGCGAUGUGCAAAAUGGAGGCAGGUGUGAGGUGGUGAAGCUGGAGUCCGUAGAACUCCAGGAGCCCCCGGAGAAACAGAUGUAUGGGAAAUCCGAGUCCCCUUAUUAGAUAAGGGACGAAGCAUACCCGCUCUCCUUUGGAAGGGUUGGGGACGCUCUCCGCCUGCUUUCCACCCUUGAAGGUGGCUAGUCCGGCUCGAACCGGAACCAUAAAAGCUGGGGGAAGAUAUCCCUCGGUUUGGAGCGCCACUAGCUCGCUGUGUGGAACUGAGCAUCUCCCCCAAUCUCCUGGCUUAGGGCUAGGAGCACGAGAGGAGGAGCCGCGUCGACUAUCCAUGAUAGAAUGGAUUUUUGUCAGAGGCGCUUCGAUGAGAACUUGCGGAUGGAGGAUGGUGUGAGCUGGAUAUAGAUCCUCGCCUCUCUUAUAGGCGGCUCGUUCGCACGGCUGGGGGGUAAAAUGUAAAAAUACCCUAGCUUUUUGCAUUCAUACGACACAUGGAAGAAGGCCAUUAAUGGGCGUAGAAGCCAAGGAGCGCAACAUUUAUAAGGAAGCCGGAUACUAUUCGACAGGAACAUGAAGUUUGAAGGAGAACCCGCCUUGCAACGCCGAAGACAAUAUACGCGCCGGACUCUUCGUCGCUGAAGCCCGGUUCGAGGGCUACUGAGGGAGUCCCGGGCUAGGGGGUGUCCGGAUAGCCGAACUAUCAUGGUCGGCCGGACUCCAAGAUUAUGAAGAUACAAGAUUGAAGACUUCGUCCCAUGUCCGGAGGGGACUUUCCUUGGUGUGGAAGGCAAGCUUAGCGAUACGGAUAUGUAGAUCUCCUACCAUUGUAACCAACUUUGUGUAACCCUAGCCCUCUCCGGUGUCUAUAUAAACCAGAUGGCCUUAGUCCAUAGGACGAACAACAAUCAUAACAUAGGCUAGCUUCUAGGGUUUAGCCUCCUUGAUCUCGUGGUAGAUCCACUCUUGUAACACACAUCAUCAAUAUUAAUCAAGCAGGACGUAGGGUUUUACCUCCAUCAAGAGGGCCCGAACCUGGGUAAAACAUCGUGUCCCUUGUCUCCUGUUACCAUCCGCCUAGACGCACAGUUCGGGACCCCCUACCCAAGAUCCGCCGGUUUUGACACCGACAGGAGGGCUUUGUCAACUUAGUUAAUAUGCACGAUUCUAGCUCCAGUGACCGUACGAUGUCCAUCCAACGGCCGUAGUGCUUCUUCAACCUCUGGUCUUCUUGCUCCAACCGCCCAAAGCAGCGCCGGUCGUGCCGCCUGCUCCUGCCUCCCGUGGCCGGUGAUACGUCUCCAACAUAUCUACAAUUUUGUAUUGUUCCAUGCUAUUAUAUUACCCAUUUUGGAUGUUUAUGGGCUUUACUUUACACUUUUAUAUCAUUUUUGGGACUAACCUACUAACCGGAGGCCCAGCCCGAAUUGCUGUUUUUUUGCCUAUUUCAGUGUUUCGAAGAAAAGGAAUAUCGAACGGAGUCCAAACGGAAUGAAACCUUCGGGAGCGAUCUUUUUGGAACAAACGUGAUCCAGAGGACUUGGAGUGGACAUCAAGCAAUAGAGGAGGCAACCACGAGGGUGCCUGGCGCACCCCCUACAGGUGGGCGCGCCCCCACCCUCAUGGGCCCUCGAGCGUCCACUGACCUACUUCUUCCUCCUAUAUAUACCCACGUACCCUGAAAACAUCAGAAGCGACCACAAAAAACUAUUUCCACCGCCGUAACCUUCUGUAUCCGCGAGAUCCCAUCUUGGUUUGGCCUACUAGAUUGAUCUACUAGAUUGGUUUGGCCUACUAGAUCCCAUCUCUGAAUUAUCAGUUUGGUUUGGCCUACUAGAUUGAUCUUUCUUGCAAUGGGAGAAGUGCUUAGUUUUGGGUUCAAUCUUGCGGUGUCUUUUCCCAGUGACAGCAUGGGCAUCAAGGCACGUAUUGUAUUCUUGCCAUCGAGGAUAAAAAGAUGGGGUUUAUAUCAUAUUGCAUGAGUUUAUCCCUCUACAUCAUGUCAUCUUUCUUAAUGCGUUACUCUGUUCUUUAUGAACUUAAUACUCUAGAUGCAUGCUGGAUAGCGGUCGAUGUGUGGAGUAAUAGUAGUAGAUGUAGGCAGGAGUCGGUCUACUUGUCACAGACGUGAUGCCUAUAUACAUGAUCAUGCCUAGAUAAUCUCAUAAUUAUUCGCUUUUCUAUCAAUUGCUUGACAGUAAUUUGUUCACCCAUCAUAAUACUUAUGAUAUCUUGAGAGAAGCCACUAGUGAACCUAUGGCCCCCGAGUCUAUCUUUUAUCAUAUAAGUUUAUCAUCUACUUUUAUUUGCAUCUUUACUUUUCCAAUCUAUAUCAUAAAAAUACCAAAAAUAUUUAUCUUAUCAUAUUAUCUCUAUCACAUCUCACUUUCGCAAGUGGCCGUGAAGGAAUUGACAACCCCUUUAUUGUGUUGGUUGAGAGGUUCUUGUUUGUUUGUGUAGGUGCGUGGGACUUUUGAGGAGCCUCCUACUGGAUUGAUACCGUUGUUCUCAAAAACUGAGGGAAAUACUUACGCUACUUUGCUGCAUCACCCUUUCCUCUUCAAGGAAAACCAACGCAAGCUCAAGACGUAGCAAGAAGGAUUUCUGGCGCCGUUGCCGGGGAGGUCUUCGCUCAAGUCAAGACAUACCAAGUACCCAUCACAAACUCAUCUCCCUUGCAUUACAUUAUUUGCCAUUUGCCUCUUGUUUUCCUCUCCCCCACUUCACCCUUGCCGUUUUAUUCGCCCUUCUUCUGUUCGUCUUUUCAUUUGCUUUGAUGUCUUACUUCGCUCGUUUGGUCGUUUAGGUGGAAUAGUUGUUUAUUUAUUGCUAAACAGAGAACCUAAGAUCUAUGGAUCCUCAUCCGCUUGCCAAUCUUUUUAAGAGAUCCAAUUAUGAUGAACCAAUUGCUAGUGAGUUUUGUGCACUAGAUUAUCUUUAUGAAGCUUUGCUUGAAAUUCGUGAAUCUAAAAAUUAUGAUGAAGAAAUUUAUGAAGAGAUUCACGAUAACUCUUUGAAUAAAAAACAUGAUUGCAAUGAUGUUACUACAAAUUCUCUUGAUGUCAAUUGUGCUAAUAAUAUGCAAAACCCUAAGCUUGGGGAUGCUAGUUUUGCUAUGUCUACUACUUGUUGCAAUGAUCAUGAUUGGGGUGAUUCUUCUUUUGAUCUUGAAAAUUUAUUUAACCCCCAUGGUGAAUAUGAGAUUGAUAAUAGUGUUUGCAAUAUUAUUGAAAGUGGGUUUGGAAGAGUGUCAACUUUAGAUCCCACAUAUUUGGAUUUUGAUCAAUCUUAUGAAAUUUUAGAUAAAAGUGGGCUUGGAGAGGUCAUGACUUUAGUUAAUGUUAAUCCCACUAUUUUGGAAGAGUGUCAACUUUGCAUGCAUGUGGAUCGUGUUGAGAAUAUUUUAAGUGAUAGCUAUUUUGUUGAAUUUGCUUAUGAUCCCACAUGUAAUUAUUAUGAGAGAGGAAAAUAUGGUUCUAGAAAAUUUCAUGUUACUAAAUUACCUCUCGUUAUGUUGAGAUUGCUAAUGUUCCUUUCCGUUUCCUUGCAUAUGUUAGUUUUUGCUUGCUAUGAUAAUUUGUUUUUCUAUAAGAUGCCUAUACAUAGGAAGUAUGUUAAACUUAGAUGUGUUUAUCACGUGGUCUAUGAUGCUCUUGCUUUAAUUCUGUUCUUUGAUGUGAGCAUCAUUAGAAUUAUCAAUGCCGCUAAAAGGUUUUAAAGAAAAGCGCUUGUUGGGAGACAACCCAAUAUUUUUAUUUGCUGUUAUUCAAUAAAAAUUUCAUCUAGCUUCUGUUUAGAUGUUUUUUCAUGUUUUAAUUAGUGUUUGUGCCAAGUAGAACCUAUAGGAUAACCUAUGGUGAUAGUUAAUUUGAUUCUGCUGAAAAACAGAAACUUUGCGCGCAUGAAAAUAAUUUUAGUAAUUCACAGAAACGUGCUUUUGUGUUGAUGCUUAUUGCUGUAGAUCAAUAUGCAAAUUUCCCAGGACUUCCUAUUUUGGUAGGAUUUUUAGAGUUACAGAAGUAUUCGAGAGUUACAGAUUGCUACAGACUGUUCUAUUUUUGACAGAUUCUGUUUUUCGUGUGUUGUUUGCUUAUUUUGAUGCACUAUGGCUAGUAUUAAGUGGAAUGAACCAUAGAGAAGUUGGAAUACAGUAGGUUUAACACCAAUAUAAAUAAAGAAUGAGUUCAUUACAGUACCUUAUGUGGUGGUUUUUCUUUCUUGCACUAAUGGAGCUUAUGAGAUUUCCUGUUGAGUUUUGUGUUGUGAAGUUUUCAAGUUUUGGUUAAAGAUUUGAUGGACUAUGGAAUAAGGAGUGGCAAGAGCCUAAGCUUGGGGAUGAUCAUGGCACCCCAAUAUAUUCAAGGAUAACCAAGCCUAAGCUUGGGGAUGCCCCGUAAGGCAUCCCCUCUUUCGUCUUCGUCUAUCGGUAACUUUACUUGGAGCUAUAUUUUUAUUCGCCACAUGAUAUGUGUUUUGCUUGGAGCGUCUUGUAUGAUAUUAUUCUUUGCUUUUUAGAUCACCACAAUCAUCCUUUCUGUACACACCUUUUGGUAGAAACCCACUUGAUUGGAAUUUAUUAGAAUACUCUAUGUGCUUCACUUAUAUCUUUUUAGCUAGAUAGUUUUGCUCUAGUACUUCACUUAAAUCUUUUAGAGCACGGCGGUGGCUUGAUUUUGUGGAAAUUAUUAAUCUCUCAUGCUUCACUUAUAUUAUUUUGAGAGUCUCUUAGAACAGCAUGGUAUUUGUUAUGGUUAUAAAAUUGGUCCUAGAAUGAUGGGCAUCCAAGUUGGGUAUAAUAAAAACUAACAUAGGAAGUAAAUUGGAUGCUAUGAUCAAUUUGAUACUUGAUAAUUGUUUUGAGAUAUGGAGGUAGUGAUAUUAGAGCCAUGCUAGUUGGGUGAUUAUGAAUUUAAAUAAUGCUUGUGUUGAAGUUGGCAAGUCCCAUAGCAUGCACAUAUGGUAAAAGUUGUGUAACAAAUUUAUUGCAUAGGGUGCUCUUUUGAUUGCCUUCCCUUGAGUGGAGGUUCGGGGCGCGCGAUGGUUAACUCCUACCAACCUCCCCCCUAGGAGCAUGCAUAGUAGUACUUUUCUUCGAGGGCUAAUAAAACUCUUGCACUAAGUAUAUGAGUUCUUUAUGACUAAUGUUGAGUCCAUGGAUUAUACACGCUUUUUACCUUUCCAUCAUUGCUAGCCUCUUCGGUACCGUGCAUUGCCCUUUCUCACCUUGAGAGUUGGUGCAAACUUCGGCGGUGCAUCAAAACCCCGUGAUACGAUACGCUCUAUCACACAUAAACCUCCUUAUAUCUUCCUCAAAACAGCCACCAUACCUACCUACUAUGGCAUUUCCAUAGCCAUUCCGAGAUAUAUUGCCAUGCAACUUUCAACCGUUCCGUUCCAUUUUUCAUGACACGCAUCAUCAUUAUCAUAUUGCCUUGCAUGAUCAUGUAGUUGACAUUGUAUUUGUGGCAAAGCCACCAUGCAUAAUUUUUCAUACAUGUCACCCUUGAUUCAUUGCCCAUCCGGGUACACCGCCGGAGGUAUUCAUAUAGAGUCAUAUUUUGUUCUAGUAUUGAGUUCUAAUUCAUGAGCUGUAAAUAAAUAGAAGUGUGAUGAUCAUCAUUAUUAGAGCAUUGUCCCCAAAUAAAAAAAGGCCAAAAAAAAGGCCAAAGAAAAAAAGGAAAAAAAGAAAGGCCAAAAAAAGAAAGGGCCAAAAAAGGGAAAAAUAAAAAAUAAAAUAAAAGGGGGGCAAUGUUAGUAUCCUUUUCCACACCUGUGCUUCAAAGUAGCACCAUAUUCUUCAUAUAGAGAGUCUCAUAUGUUGUCACUUUCAUAUACUAGUGGGAAUUUUUCAUUAUAGAACUUGGCUUGUAUAUUCCUACGAUGGGCUUCCUCAAAAUGCCCUAGGUCUUCGUGAGCAAGCAAGUUGGAUGCACACCCACUUAGUUUCUUUUGUUGAGCUUUCAUACAUUUAUAGCUCUAGUGCAUCCGUUGCAUGGCAAUCCCUACUCCUCAUGUUGACAUCAAUUGAUGGGCAUCUCCAUAGCCCGUUGAUUAGCCUCGUUGAGGGAGUCCUGGAUUAGGGGGUGUCCGGAUAGCCGAACUAUCACCGUUGGCCGGACUCCUAGACUAUGAAGAUACAAGAUUGAAGACUUCGUCCCGUGUCCGGAUGGGACUUUCCUUGGCAUGGAAGGCAAGCUUGGCGAUACGGAUAUGUAGAUCUCCUACCAUUGUAACCGACUCUGUGUAACCCUAACCCUCUCCGAUGUCUAUAUAAACCGGAGGGUUUUAGUCCGUAGGACGAACAACAAUCAUACCAUAGGCUAGCUUCUAGGGUUUAGCCUCUCUGAUCUCGUGGUGGAUCUACUCUUGUACUACCCAUAUCAUCAAUAUUAAUCAAGCAGGAGUAGCAUUUUACCUCCAUCGAGAGGGCCCGAACCUGGGUAAAAACAUCAUGUCCCUUGUCUCCUGUUACCAUCCGCCUAGACGCACAGUUCGGGAACCCCUACCCGAGAUCCGCCGGUUUUGACACCGACAUUGGUGCUUUCAUUGAAAGUUCCUCUGUGUCGUCACCUUUAGGCCCGAUGGCUCCUUCGAUCAUCAACAACGACGCGGUCCAGGGUGAGACUUUUCUCCCCGGACAGAUCUUCGUAUUCGGCGGCUUCGCACUGCGGGCCAAUUCACUUGGCCAUCUAGAGCAGAUCGAAAGCUACGCCCCUGGCCAUCAGGUCAGAUUUGGAAGUUUGAACUACACGGCUGACAUCCGCGGAGACUUGAUCUUCGACGGAUUCGAGCCACAGCCAAGCGCGCCGCACUGUCUCGGUAGGUAUGAUCUAGCUCUGCCUCCAAACAGUACCCUGGAGGCCGCACCAGCGUCCGCUCCGACCCUUAGCUCGGGGCCGACUUCGCCGAUCAAGGACGAGUGGCUGGACACCGCCUCGGGGGCUACGAUAUCUAUGGCAAUUGAGCCAAACAUCAUCCCUGUCUUUUGCGAAGCCCGUGACUCCGAGGUGCCGGACUCUUCUCCGGACUCUGAACCUCCCGCACUCCUGCCAAUCAAAUCCGAGUGGGCAUCGGUUAUGGAGUUCACUGCCGCGGACAUCUUUCAGCACUCGCCUUUUGGCGACAUUCUGAAUUCACUAAAGUCUCUCUCUUUAUCAGGAGAGCCCUGGCCGGACUAUGGUCAGGAAGGUUGGGAUGCGUACAAUGAAGAAAUUCAACACCCACCCACCACCCACUUCAUAGCCACUGUCGAAAGUUUAAACGACGUGCUUAAAUUCGACUCCGAAGACAUCGACGGUAUGGACGACGAUGUAGGAGAUAACCACGAACCAGCGCCUAUAGGGCACGGACAGCCACCCCAUCUCACGAUGUAUACAUGGUGGAUACACCUAAAGCAAGCGACUACGAGGAACAACGGGACGCUACGAAGGAUAAAUCCCUCGAAAAGCAAUCAAGACGGCGACGAAAGCGCCACACUAAAUCCCGCCUCGACAAAGGCGGCGAGCAGACAGACCCAGCCAUAGAGCAGGUCGAACCGGUGGAUGACGAACAUGCCAUUGAACAACCAUCCAAACAGGACAAUGUGGAUAAGCAACCCGUCCCCGGCGAAGAUAACAGUCCGGACGAUCUGACACUGGACAAGUUGUUGGAGUAGAAGAACCUCCACAAAAGGCUCGUCGCCACUGCGCGUAGCCUGAAAAAGCAGAAGCGGAAGCUCAAAAUAGCAGAAGAUGCAAAAUACUCAACACUGCAGACAAAUACGGCGACAGUCGCCAAGCAAAGAGCUACCCGAAGCGCAAACUACUGCCCGAAUUCGAUGAGGAGGCCUUAGAGCCCCCACAAUCAAAGAACAAAGAGGCCGCCCGGUCGGAUAGACGACCACAUGACAAGCAUAGAGCAGCAGGCGGCGCCGCAAAUAAAUCGGCACACGAUCCGCAUAAGAACUCGCAUCAAAAGGAUGGCCCAGUUAGAUCCAUCUACGGGCCAAUAAAGCAAGCUCUUCUAAGCAAUGCAACACGCCAAAUAUCCGGACAUCACGGCACACCCAAAUACAGGGGAGCCGCACACCCCCUAUGUUUCACCGAUGAGGUGCUGGAUCAUGAAAUCCCAGCGGGAUUUAAACCCGUAAACAUAGAGGCAUACGACGGAACGACAGACCCAGGAGUCUGGAUCGAGGAUUACAUCCUCCACAUACACAUGGCUACAGGAGAUGAUCUCCACGCCAUAAAAUACUUACCCCUCAAGCUCAAAGGUCCAGCACGGCACUGGCUUAAAAGCCUCCCUUAAAAUACCAUUGGAAGUUGGGAAGAGCUCGAGGAUGCUUUUCGGGCAAAUUUUCAAGGGACUUAUGUCCGCCCUCCGGAUGCAGACGAUUUAAGUCACAUAACUCAACAAUCCAGAGAGUUAGCCUGCAAAUUCUGGAACAGGUUCCUCACCAAAAAGAACCAAAUAGUCGACUGUCCGGACGCUGAAGCCUUAGCAGCUUUUAAACACAAUGUCCGAGACGAAUGGCUCGCCGGGCACCUUGGCCAGGAAAAGCCAAGAACAAUGGUCGCGCUAAUAAGCCUCAUGACACGCUUUUGCGCGGGAGAGGAUAGUUGGCUGGCAAGAUGUAAUACCAGUGACCCAAGUACAUCAGAAGUCAGAGAUGGAAACGGGAAACCACGACGCAGCAAGGACCAGCGCCGGACAAGGGAAAACAGUCCGAAGAGCAUGGCAGUCAAUGCCGGAUUCAAAAGCUCUUGGCAGAAUCAUAAAAAACUGCCCCUCAAGGAUAACAGCCACGAGUUAUCCAACUUAAACAAAAUCUUGGACAAAAUAUGCCAAAUCCACAGUACACCCGAGAAGCCUGCAAAUCAUACCCACAGAGACUAUUGGGUCUUCAAGCAGUCCGGCAAACUCAAUGCCGGACACAAGGGGCUCGACACACCAAAGAAGAUGACGAACCCCACAAGCAGAGCACCAGAAAACAAAAGAAUUUCCCAUAAGAAGUCAAAACAGUAAACUCACUUCAAGUGAUAAAAGGGAACAUCAGAACGGCGCCCAUAGAAAUACGCGCCGCGCGGCCUAUCCCAGCGGAGUCCCGACAUUGGUUGUCAAAACCAAUCACCUUUGAUCAUUAGGAUUACUCCAGACGUAUCCGGAAUGCAGGAUGGACUGCCCUGAUAUUAGAUCCUCUAAUCGACGGACUCCAAUUCACAGAGGUCCUAAUGGACGGCGGUAGUGAUCUAAACUUUCUAUAUAAGGACACAAUCCGCGAAAUGGGGAUAGACCCAACCAAAAUUCGCCACAGCAACGCCUCCUUCAAGGGGGUAAUGCCAGGCCUAUAUGCCCAUUGCACGGGCUCCCUACCGCUAGAAGUUGUGUUCGGCUCAUCCGACAACUUCCGCCGCGAAAAGUUAACCUUCCAUAUCGCCCCAUUCAAAAGUGGUCAUCAAGCACUAUUGGGACGUGAAGCUUUCGCCCGCUUUAGCGCAAUACCGCAUUAUGCAUCUCUUACACUUAAAAUGCCCGGUCCACGCGGCAUCAUCUCAUUAAAGGGAAAUAUCAAGUGUCACUCGAGCGCGGAAAAACAUGAAACUGCUUGGACAGUCACACACUAAUCCGGCUCCGCUAAACCAAGCACCUGAACAGGUCCUUCGGACCCCGGACACGGCUAGACGAGUCCGGCGUAAUUAUACGAAGGUCUACUAACCGCACACCCCCGUACAAGGGGUUGCAUGCACGUACAACAAGAGACAAUAAAGCUCAAUUUUAUUUGCUUUUCGAAUCAUAUUUCUUUUAUUUAAAUAUAAAGCACAUUUUUUGAACGAUCUUUCUUCAGCUAAGUUCUUAUCCUUUACAGAUGAACAUCGUGCUACACCCGCCCAGGAUACGGCACAACGGAGACACAGGCGCAGACGUGCAGUAGGGACCCGUUGCAAGGAUUCUUUUCAGAUUAAGACCCUGCGUAAACCUUUUUUACUAUCUCUUGUUGACACACCUCCCCCGGUUUCCUGCUAUAACCGAGGAGGAGGCUGACGUUUUGGCAUAGGCCACGUCAGUAAUUUUUGCGCGUACCUAGACACUAGGGGCUUAGGGCAUUGUUCUGCCUGUUUUCAUAAAGACUGAAUACCUUAGGGAGUGUUCGGCGUCUCGAGUUAGGCCUUAUAUGCAUCAGCUCCGAAUCAUGUCUUUGGUCAAAUUUUGGGUUUUCCCAGCUCCUGUGUUUUGCUGCCUUACGUUCCGUUUUAUCGGCUAACGCGGCACCAAGAGAACUACUGCGAUUGUGCCCCGGUUCGGCCUGGCGAGCACCUUAGUUGAGAAAGCCGAAAACUGACUGUCAUGAUAUAGUGUGAGACUGGUCAACCACUCGAUGACCCACAGGAAUGUUUAGAAUUCCUCCGCAUUAACGAAGGAUCGUUUCCCGGUCAGGCACAUACACGCCCUGAAUUCGGGAGAGCGCGGUGCCCCUAGGGGCUAUAUAUAUAGUAGCCCCACCAUCGAACUCCUAUGGCUAAGUGAAAGUGAUAAAGCAUUAUAGUCCGGUUGCCUAGUUUGCUACGCUAUCGCCUCCUUCACAUGACCAAGACAUUGGAUAAAGUGUGAAAAUGCACCUUUUUGCAAACACCCCCGCACUAUGUGCGUGGGGGCUGAAGCCAAGGACUGCCAUCUUUCAGGUUAUAUACAUAUACAUUAACAGCCGCACAGGAGGUACUUUACUACUUGAACGCACAAGUAUAAAAAGCCCUUAUAUUAUAUUGCAACAUUGUUUCACAAACCAUACAUGUCAUUUGAACAUAAUAUCCUUCGAGCACUGCGUCUCUAUUAAACGAGCGCCCUGUAGGACUUCCUCAAAGUAGUGCUCGGCAGGUACUCGGCUUCGGUUUGAAUCCUAGGAUGCAACGUUGGUGGCCUUCAUCUCUGCCCAGUAUGUCUUGACACGGGCGAGAGCCAUCCACGCACCCUCUAUGCAUGCUGACCGCUUCAUUGCACUAAUAUGUGGCACCGCACCAAGGAACUAUUGCACCAAGCCAAAAUAACUCUUCGGCUCGGGCCUCUUUGGCCACAAAUGAGUCACGACAGACUUCAUGGCAAGUCCGGACAACCUAUUCANNNNNNNNNNNNNNNNNNNNNNNNNNNNNNNNNNNNNNNNNNNNNNNNNNNNNNNNNNNNNNNNNNNNNNNNNNNNNNNNNNNNNNNNNNNNNNNNNNNNNNNNNNNNNNNNNNNNNNNNNNNNNNNNNNNNNNNNNNNNNNNNNNNNNNAUCUGACACUGGACAAGUUGUUGGAGUAGAAGAACCUCCACAAAAGGCUCGUCGCCACUGCGCGUAGCCUGAAAAAGCAGAAGCGGAAGCUCAAAAUAGCAGAAGAUGCAAAAUACUCAACACUGCAGACAAAUACGGCGACAGUCGCCAAGCAAAGAGCUACCCGAAGCGCAAACUACUGCCCGAAUUCGAUGAGGAGGCCUUAGAGCCCCCACAAUCAAAGAACAAAGAGGCCGCCCGGUCGGAUAGACGACCACAUGACAAGCAUAGAGCAGCAGGCGGCGCCGCAAAUAAAUCGGCACACGAUCCGCAUAAGAACUCGCAUCAAAAGGAUGGCCCAGUUAGAUCCAUCUACGGGCCAAUAAAGCAAGCUCUUCUAAGCAAUGCAACACGCCAAAUAUCCGGACAUCACGGCACACCCAAAUACAGGGGAGCCGCACACCCCCUAUGUUUCACCGAUGAGGUGCUGGAUCAUGAAAUCCCAGCGGGAUUUAAACCCGUAAACAUAGAGGCAUACGACGGAACGACAGACCCAGGAGUCUGGAUCGAGGAUUACAUCCUCCACAUACACAUGGCUACAGGAGAUGAUCUCCACGCCAUAAAAUACUUACCCCUCAAGCUCAAAGGUCCAGCACGGCACUGGCUUAAAAGCCUCCCUUAAAAUACCAUUGGAAGUUGGGAAGAGCUCGAGGAUGCUUUUCGGGCAAAUUUUCAAGGGACUUAUGUCCGCCCUCCGGAUGCAGACGAUUUAAGUCACAUAACUCAACAAUCCAGAGAGUUAGCCUGCAAAUUCUGGAACAGGUUCCUCACCAAAAAGAACCAAAUAGUCGACUGUCCGGACGCUGAAGCCUUAGCAGCUUUUAAACACAAUGUCCGAGACGAAUCGCUCGCCGGGCACCUUGGCCAGGAAAAGCCAAGAACAAUGGUCGCGCUAAUAAGCCUCAUGACACGCUUUUGCGCGGGAGAGGAUAGUUGGCUGGCAAGAUGUAAUACCAGUGACCCAAGUACAUCAGAAGUCAGAGAUGGAAACGGGAAACCACGACGCAGCAAGGACCAGCGCCGGACAAGGGAAAACAGUCCGAAGAGCAUGGCAGUCAACGCCGGAUUCAAAAGCUCUUGGCAGAAUCAUAAAAAAACUGCCCCUCAAGGAUAACAGCCACGAGUUAUCCAACUUAAACAAAAUCUUGGACAAAAUAUGCCAAAUCCACAGUACACCCGAGAAGCCUGCAAAUCAUACCCACAGAGACUAUUGGGUCUUCAAGUAGUCCGGCAAACUCAAUGCCGGACACAAGGGGCUCGACACACCAAAGAAGAUGACGAACCCCACAAGCAGAGCACCAGAAAACAAAAGAAUUUCCCAUAAGAAGUCAAAACAGUAAACUCACUUCAAGUGAUAAAAGGGAACAUCAGAACGGCGCCCAUAGAAAUACGCGUCGCGCGGCCUAUCCCAGCGGAGUCCCGACAUUGGUUGUCAAAACCAAUCACCUUUGAUCAUUAGGAUUACUCCAGACGUAUCCGGAAUGCAGGAUGGACUGCCCUGAUAUUAGAUCCUCUAAUCGACGGACUCCAAUUCAUAGAGGUCCUAAUGGACGGCGGUAGUGAUCUAAACUUUCUAUAUAAGGACACAAUCCGCGAAAUGGGGAUAGACCCAACCAAAAUUCGCCACAGCAACGCCUCCUUCAAGGGGGUAAUGCCAGGCCUAUAUGCCCAUUGCACGGGCUCCCUACCGCUAGAAGUUGUGUUCGGCUCAUCCGACAACUUCCGCCGCGAAAAGUUAACCUUCCAUAUUGCCCCAUUCAAAAGUGGUCAUCAAGCACUAUUGGGACGUGAAGCUUUCGUCCGCUUUAGCGCAAUACCGCAUUAUGCAUCUCUUACACUUAAAAUGCCCGGUCCACGCGGCAUCAUCUCAUUAAAGGGAAAUAUCAAGUGUCACUCGAGCGCGGAAAAACAUGAAACUGCUUGGACAGUCACACACUAAUCCGGCUCCGCUAAACCAAGCACCUGAACAGGUCCUUCGGACCCCGGACACGGCUAGACGAGUCCGGCGUAAUUAUACGAAGGUCUACUAACCGCACACCCCCGUACAAGGGGUUGCAUGCACGUACAACAAGAGACAAUAAAGCUCAAUUUUAUUUGCUUUUCGAAUCAUAUUUCUUUUAUUUAAAUAUAAAGCACAUUUUUUGAACGAUCUUUCUUCAGCUAAGUUCUUAUCCUUUACAGAUGAACAUCGUGCUACACCCGCCCAGGAUACGGCAAAACGAAGACACAGGCGCAGACGUGCAGUAGGGACCCGUUGCAAGGAUUCUUUUCAGAUUAAGACCCUGCGUAAACCUUUUUUACUAUCUCUUGUUGACACACCUCCCCCGGUUUCCUGCUAUAACCGAGGAGGAGGCUGACGUUUUGGCAUAGGCCACGUCAGUAAUUUUUGCGCGUACCUAGACACUAGGGGCUUAGGGCAUUGUUCUGCCUGUUUUCAUAAAGACUGAAUACCUUAGGGAGUGUUCGGCGUCUCGAGUUAGGCCUUAUAUGCAUCAGCUCCGAAUCAUGUCUUUGGUCAAAUUUUGGGUUUUCCCAGCUCCUGUGUUUUGCUGCCUUACGUUCCGUUUUAUCGGCUAACGCGGCACCAGGAGAACUACUGCGAUUGUGCCCCGGUUCGGCCUGGCGAGCACCUUAGUUGAGAAAGCCGAAAACUGACUGUCAUGAUAUAGUGUGAGACUGGUCAACCACUCGAUGACCCACAGGAAUGUUUAGAAUUCCUCCGCAUUAACGAAGGAUCGUUUCCCGGUCAGGCACAUACACGCCCUGAAUUCGGGAGAGCGCGGUGCCCCUAGGGGCUAUAUAUAUAGUAGCCCCACCAUCGAACUCCUAUGGCUAAGUGAAAGUGAUAAAGCAUUAUAGUCCGGUUGCCUAGUUUGCUACGCUAUCGCCUCCUUCACAUGACCAAGACAUUGGAUAAAGUGUGAAAAUGCACCUUUUUGCAAACACCCCCGCACUAUGUGCGUGGGGGCUGAAGCCAAGGACUGCCAUCUUUCAGGUUAUAUACAUAUACAUUAACAGCCGCACAGGAGGUACUUUACUACUUGAACGCACAAGUAUAAAAAGCCCUUAUAUUAUAUUGCAACAUUGUUUCACAAACCAUACAUGUCAUUUGAACAUAAUAUCCUUCGAGCACUGCGUCUCUAUUAAACGAGCGCCCUGUAGGACUUCCUCAAAGUAGUGCUCGGCAGGUACUCGGCUUCGGUUUGAAUCCUAGGAUGCAACGUUGGUGGCCUUCAUCUCUGCCCAGUAUGUCUUGACACGGGCGAGAGCCAUCCACGCACCCUCUAUGCAUGCUGACCGCUUCAUUGCACUAAUAUGUGGCACCGCACCAAGGAACUAUUGCACCAAGCCAAAAUAACUCUUCGGCUCGGGCCUCUUUGGCCACAAAUGAGUCACGACAGACUUCAUGGCAAGUCCGGACAACCUAUUCAGCUCAGCCCAUUCGGUCAAACGAUCGGUCAAUGGAAGCAGACGCUCUGGACUGUGGAACUGCGACCAAAACAGCUCUUCCAUUCCGUGAUCCUUUUGGCCUCGAAUGUGUUCGGCCGCAUCCGCGGCACUCGCCGCCAAAUCUAGAUAAGCAUCCUCCGCACCCCACGGCUGGCCCAACUGAGCAUACUUGGGAUCCGUGAAUUUCCUCCGCAGCAGAAAAGGCUUUCCAGCCGCAAUAUCUCCGGCCUGACAUAGCUCCUCUUUCAUGGCUCUCAUUGCAGAGCGAGCAUCCUUGGCCUCAGCAGCGACCUUUUUCAGGUCCUCUAGUUCCGCUCGACCUUCUUUUUCAAGAAGCUCGCAACGAUCGGUAGCAUUCUUCAACUUUAUGGCCAUCUCGGCCAUUUCUUUCUUGCUUCGGCAGUGAGCAGCCUGUUCGGCUUCCAGUUCUUCGGCCGCUUUCAAAGCAGCCACAUCACUUUUUCGGGCUUGCUCCUUGGCUCGGGCAAGUUCCGCCUGAAGGUUCUCCAUGGCAGCGACACCAUCUGCGUCAAGCAUACAAGUUGUAAGGCACAGACAUUAAGCUACCUUACCGGGUGUCCGCAGAAAAGUUGCAUACCUUGUGACUCAUCAAGCCGCUUAUUGACAAGCGCGAUGUCAGAAUCCGCCACGUCAAGUUGCCGCUUUAGUUCGGCAAAUUCAUCAGUCCGGCUUGCCACCGGACGCCUCGCCACCUACAUAGGAAGAGCGCAUAUUAUACCUGGGAUUAUGAUACCCGGCGCGCCAUCAUUUUUGACAACGCACCGAGUCUCAGGGGCUACUAUCUAUACAUGGCGCAUUCUACAUGCCAAAGUAUUAGAAGGUACAUCAUUUUGCGUACCUCAAAACCCGUCAGUAAACUUAUGACGGCUUCAUGCAACCCACUUUCAGCGGAUGAAAUCCUUUUAAUCACCGUACCCAUUAGCGCACGGUGAUCUUCCGAGAUAGACGCUCGCCCGAGCAGAUCUUUCAGCUCCUCCGACCGUACACCAGUCGGUGCCAGACUCGUCCGAUGGCCUUUUUUGAAGGCCGAUUGCGGAGGGCUUUGAGGGGGCCUACGACUGCCUUCGGGCCCCGCCGGAUUCGGAGAAACCCUCCGCGACGACACCUCAGGGUCGUCCGCCUCGCAUGAUGGCACAGCAGGCGGAGGCGUUUUGCUCUCCAUCAUCUCCGGAUCAAGAUCCCCUGAAGAUGAGCUCGGCUGAGAAGGGCUGAGAUCCGAACUACAGAGAAAAACUUCGGUUAUCUUCUGAAAUAAAACAGGGAUGCCUCUCAUUGUAAGAAAACGCCCCUCUUUACUUACGGCUCGCUGGAGGGCUGGUCUCCUUGGGGAGAUAGUGCGGCCGGGGCAACUCCCGACACAGGACCCUCUGGCGAGGAUUUCUUCCCUCGCUUCGAGGCCUUGGCCUCCGGAUUUUCAGAAGCGGUCCUCUUCUCCCCUGGGAGGGAGGGAUUCUCGGUCCCUCCCUUCUUGAUAAACUCCUUCGCGGAGGCAGUAGCUCCCUGGCUCCCCCCUUCGCCUUCUUCAAAAGGCGCAGCCUCUAGCAUCCUGGUUAACACAGGAUCUGGCGUGGUCUCAGGGAGGGGGCUGGACACUGGAUCAGUUUUGCUUUCACUAUCCACUCCUGUUCAAAGGACAGCUCUUUUAAAGGCAAGUUUAUGAUAGAUAUAUGGAUAGCAUGUCCGGGUACAGGACUACUUACUUGGGUAACCGGGCGAUUGCAGCAUAAACCUGCGUCCUCGGUUAGUUCUGGACACAUUGCUUGUGAUCCGAAGAACGGUUGGUACAUCUCCACGGGCGUUACGCCCAUAAAAUGCUGGAGAGCUCCUGGUCCCUCCGGAUUGAACUCCCACAGGCGGAGGGGGUGAUGUUUGCAGGGCAGGGUGCAACGAAUCAGCAUGACCUGUGCUACAACGACUAGAUUGAUCUCCCUUUCCAGGAGGUCUCGAAUGCAACCCUGCAGCAAGGGCACGUCCUUGGACGACCCCCAGUCGAGCCCUUUAUUGACCCAUGACGCCAGCCGCAGUGGAGGACCCGAGCGAAAGGCAGGAGGCGCCACCCAUCUAGUGCCCCUGGGAGCGGUGACAUAAAACCACUCUUGUUGCCAUAGUCCGAGCUCCUCUUGAAAAGAGCCCUCAGGCCAUGGAGCAUCAACAUUCUUGCUUAUAACAGCCCCUUCGCACUCUGCCAGCUGCCCCCUGGUCAUCUUUGGUUCCACUUUGAAGGUUUUGAGCCACAACCCGAAGUGAGGGGUAAUGCGGAGGAAGGCUUCGCAUACAACAAUAAACGAUGAGAUGUGGAGGAUAGACUCUGGAUCCAAGUCAUGAAAUUCCAGCCCAUAAUAAAACAUGAGCCCCCUCACGAAGGGGUCCAUUGGGAAGCCUAACCCCCGAAGGAAGUGAGACAUGAACACCACGCUCUCGCCAGGCUUGGGAGUGGGAGUAACCUGCCCUUGGGCAGGCAGCCUGUGCGCAAUUUUGCCGGUUAGAUACCAGGCGUCUCUCAGCUUUAGCACGUCUUCCUCCGUGACAGAGGAAGGCAUUCACCGGCCUUGCAGGUCGGAGCCGGACAUCCUCGGAGGUCCGAAGCGCCUGAAUCUAGAGCUUUGGGUGUUGGAACUCGAGAUGAGGGGCGGAUUCGAUUGAGAUUGAAAGAAAGGAGCGGGCCUUGGUCUCGUUAUAAAGAGGUUGAAUACCAAGAGCCCUCCCCGUGACCGUUUGGGACUCGCCUUCGAUAGAGGAGGCGUGCCAAUGGGCACGACUAGGUUACCCACGCCCGUAUUGAUGAGAAUCCCGGAAUAAGGGGACACGAUCUCCGCUUUGACAAGACGUGCCAAGGAAAACCGCCUCGCUAAACGUGCUGAGGUGGGACAGUAAAAACGAUUCCAGUAAAGGCUUGGCCGUGAUGUGACAUCACGCCGCAAAAUACGUCAGCAGAUUGAAUUUGUGUAAAGAUUAUUCUCUCUACGGUGGUAUGUGGAACUUAUUUUGCAGAGCUGGACACUAUCCUUGUGUUCAAAAUCUGCUAUGAAGUAUUCAGAGGAGGAACCCGCCUUGCAAUGCCGAAGACAAUAUGCGCGCCGGACUCGUCGUCAUUGAAGCCUGGUUCAGGGGCUACUGAGGGAGUCCUGGAUUAGGGGGUGUCCGGAUAGCCGAACUAUCACCGUUGGCCGGACUCCUAGACUAUGAAGAUACAAGAUUGAAGACUUCGUCCCGUGUCCGAAUGGGACUUUCCUUGGCGUGGAAGGCAAGCUUGGCGAUACGGAUAUGUAGAUCUCCUACCAUUGUAACCGACUCUGUGUAGCCCUAACCCUCUCCGUUGUCUAUAUAAACCGGAGGGUUUUAGUCCGUAGGACGAACAACAAUCAUACCAUAGGCUAGCUUCUAGGGUUUAGCCUCUCUGAUCUCGUGGUAGAUCUACUCUUGUACUACCCAUAUCAUCAAUAUUAAUCAAGCAGGAGUAGGGUUUUACCUCCAUCGAGAGGGCCCGAACCUGGGUAAAAACAUCGUGUCCCUUGUCUCCUGUUACCAUCCGCCUAGACGCACAGUUUGGGAACCCCUACCCGAGAUCCACCGGUUCUGACACCGACACUCGUUAUUGUGAGACUUUCUCCCUUUUUUAUCUUCUCCACACAACCUCCAUCAUCAUAUUCUAUUCCACCCAUAGUGNNNNNNNNNNNNNNNNNNNNNNNNNNNNNNNNNNNNNNNNNNNNNNNNNNNNNNNNNNNNNNNNNNNNNNNNNNNNNNNNNNNNNNNNNNNCCUUCGGGCCCCGCCGGAUUCGGAGAAACCCUCCGCGACGACACCUCAGGGUCGUCCGCCUCGCAUGAUGGCACAGCAGGCGGAGGCGUUUUGCUCUCCAUCAUCUCCGGAUCAAGAUCCCCUGAAGAUGAGCUCGGCUGAGAAGGGCUGAGAUCCGAACUACAGAGAAAAACUUCGGUUAUCUUCUGAAAUAAAACAGGGAUGCCUCUCAUUGUAAGAAAACGCCCCUCUUUACUUACGGCUCGCUGGAGGGCUGGUCUCCUUGGGGAGAUAGUGCGGCCGGGGCAACUCCCGACACAGGACCCUCUGGCGAGGAUUUCUUCCCUCGCUUCGAGGCCUUGGCCUCCGGAUUUUCAGAAGCGGUCCUCUUCUCCCCUGGGAGGGAGGGAUUCUCGGUCCCUCCCUUCUUGAUAAACUCCUUCGCGGAGGCAGUAGCUCCCUGGCUCCCCCCUUCGCCUUCUUCAAAAGGCGCAGCCUCUAGCAUCCUGGUUAACACAGGAUCUGGCGUGGUCUCAGGGAGGGGGGCUGGACACUGGAUCAGUUUUGCUUUCACUAUCCACUCCUGUUCAAAGGACAGCUCUUUUAAAGGCAAGUUUAUGAUAGAUAUAUGGAUAGCAUGUCCGGGUACAGGACUACUUACUUGGGUAACCGGGCGAUUGCAGCAUAAACCUGCGUCCUCGGUUAGUUCUGGACACAUUGCUUGUGAUCCGAAGAACGGUUGGUACAUCUCCACGGGCGUUACGCCCAUAAAAUGCUGGAGAGCUCCUGGUCCCUCCGGAUUGAACUCCCACAGGCGGAGGGGGUGAUGUUUGCAGGGCAGGGUGCAACGAAUCAGCAUGACCUGUGCUACUACGACUAGAUUGAUCUCCCUUUCCAGGAGGUCUCGAAUGCAACCCUGCAGCAAGGGCACGUCCUUGGAUGACCCCCAGUCGAGCCCUUUAUUGACCCAUGACGCCAGCCGCAGUGGAGGACCCGAGCGAAAGGCAGGAGGCGCCACCCAUCUAGUGCCCCUGGGAGCGGUGACAUAAAACCACUCUUGUUGCCAUAGUCCGAGCUCCUCUUGAAAAGAGCCCUCAGGCCAUGGAGCAUCAACAUUCUUGCUUAUAACAGCCCCUUCGCACUCUGCCAGCUGCCCCCUGGUCAUCUUUGGUUCCACUUUGAAGGUUUUGAGCCACAACCCGAAGUGAGGGGUAAUGCGGAGGAAGGCUUCGCAUACAACAAUAAACGAUGAGAUGUGGAGGAUAGACUCUGGAUCCAAGUCAUGAAAUUCCAGCCCAUAAUAAAACAUGAGCCCCCUCACGAAGGGGUCCAUCGGGAAGCCUAACCCCCGAAGGAAGUGAGACAUGAACACCACGCUCUCGCCAGGCUUGGGAGUGGGAGUAACCUGCCCUUGGGCAGGCAGCCUGUGCGCAAUUUUGCCGGUUAGAUACCAGGCGUCUCUCAGCUUUAGCACGUCUUCCUCCGUGACAGAGGAAGGCAUUCACCGGCCUUGCAGGUCGGAGCCGGACAUCCUCGGAGGUCCGAAGCGCCUGAAUCUAGAGCUUUGGGUGUUGGAACUCGAGAUGAGGGGUGGAUUCGAUUGAGAUUGAAAGAAAGGAGCGGGCCUUGGUCUCGUUAUAAAGAGGUUGAAUACCAAGAGCCCUCCCCGUGACCGUUUGGGACUCGCCUUCGAUAGAGGAGGCGCGCCAAUGGGCACGACUAGGUUACCCACGCCCGUAUUGAUGAGAAUCCCGGAAUAAGGGGACACGAUCUCCGCUUUGACAAGACGUGCCAAGGAAAACCGCCUCGCUAAACGUGCUGAGGUGGGACAGUAAAAACGAUUCCAGUAAAGGCUUGGCCGUGAUGUGACAUCACGCCGCAAAAUACGUCAGCAGAUUGAAUUUGUGUAAAGAUUAUUCUCUCUACGGUGGUAUGUGGAACUUAUUUUGCAGAGCUGGACACUAUCCUUGUGUUCAAAAUCUGCUAUGAAGUAUUCAGAGGAGGAACCCGCCUUGCAAUGCCGAAGACAAUAUGCGCGCCGGACUCGUCGUCAUUGAAGCCUGGUUCAGGGGCUACUGAGGGAGUCCUGGAUUAGGGGGUGUCCGGAUAGCCGAACUAUCACCGUUGGCCGGACUCCUAGACUAUGAAGAUACAAGAUUGAAGACUUCGUCCCGUGUCCGAAUGGGACUUUCCUUGGCGUGGAAGGCAAGCUUGGCGAUACGGAUAUGUAGAUCUCCUACCAUUGUAACCGACUCUGUGUAGCCCUAACCCUCUCCGUUGUCUAUAUAAACCGGAGGGUUUUAGUCCGUAGGACGAACAACAAUCAUACCAUAGGCUAGCUUCUAGGGUUUAGCCUCUCUGAUCUCGUGGUAGAUCUACUCUUGUACUACCCAUAUCAUCAAUAUUAAUCAAGCAGGAGUAGGGUUUUACCUCCAUCGAGAGGGCCCGAACCUGGGUAAAAACAUCGUGUCCCUUGUCUCCUGUUACCAUCCGCCUAGACGCACAGUUUGGGAACCCCUACCCGAGAUCCACCGGUUCUGACACCGACACUCGUUAUUGUGAGACUUUCUCCCUUUUUUAUCUUCUCCACACAACCUCCAUCAUCAUAUUCUAUUCCACCCAUAGUGNNNNNNNNNNNNNNNNNNNNNNNNNNNNNNNNNNNNNNNNNNNNNNNNNNNNNNNNNNNNNNNNNNNNNNNNNNNNNNNNNNNNNNNNNNNNNNNNNNNNNNNNNNNNNNNNNNNNNNNNNNNNNNNNNNNNNNNNNNNNNNNNNNNNNNNNNNNNNNNNNNNNNNNNNNNNNNNNNNNNNNNNNNNNNNNNNNNNNNNNNNNNNNNNNNNNNNNNNNNNNNNNNNNNNNNNNNNNNNNNNNNNNNNNNNNNNNNNNNNNNNNNNNNNNNNNNNNNNNNNNNNNNNNNNNNNNNNNNNNNNNNNNNNNNNNNNNNNNNNNNNNNNNNNNNNNNNNNNNNNNNNNNNNNNNNNNNNNNNNNNNNNNNNNNNNNNNNNNNNNNNNNNNNNNNNNNNNNNNNNNNNNNNNNNNNNNNNNNNNNNNNNNNNNNNNNNNNNNNNNNNNNNNNNNNNNNNNNNNNNNNNNNNNNNNNNNNNNNNNNNNNNNNNNNNNNNNNNNNNNNNNNNNNNNNNNNNNNNNNNNNNNNNNNNNNNNNNNNNNNNNNNNNNNNNNNNNNNNNNNNNNNNNNNNNNNNNNNNNNNNNNNNNNNNNNNNNNNNNNNNNNNNNNNNNNNNNNNNNNNNNNNNNNNNNNNNNNNNNNNNNNNNNNNNNNNNNNNNNNNNNNNNNNNNNNNNNNNNNNNNNNNNNNNNNNNNNNNNNNNNNNNNNNNNNNNNNNNNNNNNNNNNNNNNNNNNNNNNNNNNNNNNNNNNNNNNNNNNNNNNNNNNNNNNNNNNNNNNNNNNNNNNNNNNNNNNNNNNNNNNNNNNNNNNNNNNNNNNNNNNNNNNNNNNNNNNNNNNNNNNNNNNNNNNNNNNNNNNNNNNNNNNNNNNNNNNNNNNNNNNNNNNNNNNNNNNNNNNNNNNNNNNNNNNNNNNNNNNNNNNNNNNNNNNNNNNNNNNNNNNNNNNNNNNNNNNNNNNNNNNNNNNNNNNNNNNNNNNNNNNNNNNNNNNNNNNNNNNNNNNNNNNNNNNNNNNNNNNNNNNNNNNNNNNNNNNNNNNNNNNNNNNNNNNNNNNNNNNNNNNNNNNNNNNNNNNNNNNNNNNNNNNNNNNNNNNNNNNNNNNNNNNNNNNNNNNNNNNNNNNNNNNNNNNNNNNNNNNNNNNNNNNNNNNNNNNNNNNNNNNNNNNNNNNNNNNNNNNNNNNNNNNNNNNNNNNNNNNNNNNNNNNNNNNNNNNNNNNNNNNNNNNNNNNNNNNNNNNNNNNNNNNNNNNNNNNNNNNNNNNNNNNNNNNNNNNNNNNNNNNNNNNNNNNNNNNNNNNNNNNNNNNNNNNNNNNNNNNNNNNNNNNNNNNNNNNNNNNNNNNNNNNNNNNNNNNNNNNNNNNNNNNNNNNNNNNNNNNNNNNNNNNNNNNNNNNNNNNNNNNNNNNNNNNNNNNNNNNNNNNNNNNNNNNNNNNNNNNNNNNNNNNNNNNNNNNNNNNNNNNNNNNNNNNNNNNNNNNNNNNNNNNNNNNNNNNNNNNNNNNNNNNNNNNNNNNNNNNNNNNNNNNNNNNNNNNNNNNNNNNNNNNNNNNNNNNNNNNNNNNNNNNNNNNNNNNNNNNNNNNNNNNNNNNNNNNNNNNNNNNNNNNNNNNNNNNNNNNNNNNNNNGCUCCACCGGAGGGGGAAUCGACCAUGCAGGGCCUCUACAUCAUCUCCAAGGCCCUUCCGAUGAGUUGUGAGUAGUUUACCACAGACCUUUGGGUCCAUAGUUAUUAGCUAGAUGGCUUCUUCUCUCUCUUUGAAUCUCAAUACAAAGUUCUCCUCGAUCUUCUUAGAGAUCUAUUCGAUGUAACUCUUUUUGCGGUGUGUUUGUCGAGAUCCGAUGAAUUGUGGGUUUAUGACCAAGUUUAUCUAUGAGAAAUAUUUGAAUCUCCUCUGGAUUCUUUUAUGUGUGAUUAAGUUAUCUUUGCAAGUCAAUUCGAAUUAUCAGUUUGGUUUGGCCUACUAGAUUGAUCUUUCUUGCAAUGGGAGAAGUGCUUAGCUUUGGGUUCAAUCUUGCGGUGUCCUUUCCUAGUGACAGCAGGGGCAGUAAGGCACGUAUUGUAUUGUUGCCAUCGAGGAUAAAAAGAUGGGGUUUAUAUCAUAUUGCAUGAGUUUAUCCCUCUACAUCAUGUUAUCUUUCUUAAUGCGUUACUCUGUUCUUUAUGAACUUAAUACUCUAGAUGCAUGCUAGAUAGCGGUCGAUGUGUGGAGUAAUAGUAGUAGAUGGAGGCAGGAGUCGGUCUACUUGUCACGGACGUGAUGCCUAUAUACAUGAUCAUGCCUAGAUAAUCUCAUAAUUAUUCGCUUUUCUAUCAAUUGCUCGACAGUAAUUUGUUCACCCACCGUAAUACUUAUGUUAUCUUGAGAGAAGCCACUAGUGAAACCUAUGGCCCCNNNNNNNNNNNNNNNNNNNNNNNNNNNNNNNNNNNNNNNNNNNNNNNNNNNNNNNNNNNNNNNNNNNNNNNNNNNNNNNNNNNNNNNNNNNNNNNNNNNNNNNNNNNNNNNNNNNNNNNNNNNNNNNNNNNNNNNNNNNNNNNNNNNNNNNNNNNNNNNNNNNNNNNNNNNNNNNNNNNNNNNNNNNNNNNNNNNNNNNNNNNNNNNNNNNNNNNNNNNNNNNNNNNNNNNNNNNNNNNNNNNNNNNNNNNNNNNNNNNNNNNNNNNNNNNNNNNNNNNNNNNNNNNNNNNNNNNNNNNNNNNNNNNNNNNNNNNNNNNNNNNNNNNNNNNNNNNNNNNNNNNNNNNNNNNNNNNNNNNNNNNNNNNNNNNNNNNNNNNNNNNNNNNNNNNNNNNNNNNNNNNNNNNNNNNNNNNNNNNNNNNNNNNNNNNNNNNNNNNNNNNNNNNNNNNNNNNNNNNNNNNNNNNNNNNNNNNNNNNNNNNNNNNNNNNNNNNNNNNNNNNNNNNNNNNNNNNNNNNNNNNNNNNNNNNNNNNNNNNNNNNNNNNNNNNNNNNNNNNNNNNNNNNNNNNNNNNNNNNNNNNNNNNNNNNNNNNNNNNNNNNNNNNNNNNNNNNNNNNNNNNNNNNNNNNNNNNNNNNNNNNNNNNNNNNNNNNNNNNNNNNNNNNNNNNNNNNNNNNNNNNNNNNNNNNNNNNNNNNNNNNNNNNNNNNNNNNNNNNNNNNNNNNNNNNNNNNNNNNNNNNNNNNNNNNNNNNNNNNNNNNNNNNNNNNNNNNNNNNNNNNNNNNNNNNNNNNNNNNNNNNNNNNNNNNNNNNNNNNNNNNNNNNNNNNNNNNNNNNNNNNNNNNNNNNNNNNNNNNNNNNNNNNNNNNNNNNNNNNNNNNNNNNNNNNNNNNNNNNNNNNNNNNNNNNNNNNNNNNNNNNNNNNNNNNNNNNNNNNNNNNNNNNNNNNNNNNNNNNNNNNNNNNNNNNNNNNNNNNNNNNNNNNNNNNNNNNNNNNNNNNNNNNNNNNNNNNNNNNNNNNNNNNNNNNNNNNNNNNNNNNNNNNNNNNNNNNNNNNNNNNNNNNNNNNNNNNNNNNNNNNNNNNNNNNNNNNNNNNNNNNNNNNNNNNNNNNNNNNNNNNNNNNNNNNNNNNNNNNNNNNNNNNNNNNNNNNNNNNNNNNNNNNNNNNNNNNNNNNNNNNNNNNNNNNNNNNNNNNNNNNNNNNNNNNNNNNNNNNNNNNNNNNNNNNNNNNNNNNNNNNNNNNNNNNNNNNNNNNNNNNNNNNNNNNNNNNNNNNNNNNNNNNNNNNNNNNNNNNNNNNNNNNNNNNNNNNNNNNNNNNNNNNNNNNNNNNNNNNNNNNNNNNNNNNNNNNNNNNNNNNNNNNNNNNNNNNNNNNNNNNNNNNNNNNNNNNNNNNNNNNNNNNNNNNNNNNNNNNNNNNNNNNNNNNNNNNNNNNNNNNNNNNNNNNNNNNNNNNNNNNNNNNNNNNNNNNNNNNNNNNNNNNNNNNNNNNNNNNNNNNNNNNNNNNNNNNNNNNNNNNNNNNNNNNNNNNNNNNNAGGAAACGGACUUCUGUUGGACCUCCUACGGUCAAAAUGGGGUUCCGUUGAUCAGGAGCGGUGUGGCGUAUCGCAAAACGGAGGAAACAGACUUAUGUUGGAGCGCUAUGGUUGAAACAGGGGUCCUGUUCAUCGGGAGGGGUGUGGCAUACCGCAAAACAGGACUCCACGGGAUACUGUUCAUCUCCACCGUCGACCUCCUCCAGCCUCCACGGGCUGCUAUUCAUCCACCGUCGACCUCCUCCAGCCUCCACCUGCGACUGUUCAUCCAUGGGCUCCUGUUCAUCCAGCCUCCACCGCGCGCUACUCCACCGGCUACUAUUCAACCAGCCCUCUUCACGGGCUACUGUUCAUCCAGCCCUCCACGGGGUCGUCCUGUUUAUCCAGCCCUCCACGAGAUCCUGUUCAUCCAGCCCCAACCGGCUCGAUCGGGGUCCUGUUCAUCCAGAGGCAACACCACAGGGGCCUGUUCAUCCACCCCCACCGAGAACUGUUCAUCCAAACCCUCCCAACAACGCUCACUGUUCAUCAAGGGAAGGAGGCAGCAGGGUUCGAUCGGCUUCAGUUAGCAGCGGUAGCGAAGGAAUCACUCGGGUUCAGUAACGUAGCUAGUGCAAUCGCUCGAGUUCAGUUAGAGCCCAACGCCUCGCCCGGGUUCAGUUAGAGCCCAACGCCUCGCACCCACGCGCAUACGAUACGAGAGAAACGCGCAUCGCUUGGCCCCCGACCACCCACCGUAACCGAGAACUCCCCGAUAUUUUCCUUGCCCUCGCUUCUACCAUGGUUUUUUCCGUCAUGGACGGCCCAAAGAAUGUCAUGCAGCUGCGUCUCCGGCCCGCCCAGGACGAAAAGCCCAUUUUCUGUCAUGAUUUUUUGUCAUAGAAGUAGGAGCCCACCACAUAUAUGAUGAUACUGGGUUUUUUCACAAUUAUCAUCAUAGAAGUGUCAAUAGUAUGACAAAAAAAAAUUCAUUUGGCCCAAAAUGUCACGGAUGUGUCCUUUUUCUGUAGUGACAGAACUUUCAAGCUACUACAUCAAGUUUUAAUUAACCAUGCAUCAAGUUUUAAUUAACCAAAUCGCUACACUUCUACGCUAAUAGCAACUACUCCUGCAAAUGGAGAACAGAGGAGGCGUGGAGAAGAGACACUGUACCAGAGCUGUGAGGACGACCAAGCCGCUCCAGAUUAGCCGGUUGCUCCGACGCCACUCCAGAUACAUGGCUCGGCCGCCGUUCCGCAUCCAGUGCGGACAAGUGCAGAUCCAGCACCUCCCUUGCCCAGAUCAAGCACCAACGCAGGCAGAUCCAUAGCCUUUGUCGCCUAGAAGCUCGUCGCCGAUGCAAAAAAUUCAAUCUUUGACCUUGGAUGUGGGGCAUGAAUGGACGUCUGGAGUGAGUGGACGCCGGACAUGAAUGGACGCUGGGUGUGGACGCGGAGAAAGGUGGAAGCGACAGGGAGCUAUGCUGGAGACGUUGGCGACGGGGAGUCAGGGAGAUGCCGCUGGGGAGUUGGGAAGAACGACAGGAAGAAGAGAGGGGAACGAGGGGACCGGCGGGAAGAAGAGAGGCGAGCGAGUGAAUGAGAGGAGAGCGAGUGAGUGAGUGGGCUGCGAAGGGAGUGAGGGGUAAUGUCGGAAUGUGCGAGAAUUCCGUAGCGUGUCGAAAUUUGCACUGCAAAACGUCCAAUGACUUACAUUUCAGAACAGAGGGAGUACAAUACUUUUUUCUGUUCCUGCCUCUAACCUUUGCAGGCAACUGGUGUUAUAUGGACCCUCAUCCCUUAUAUGGACACAAAUUUGAACAUCGAUCGCUCAGUUUGAUUCAGGCUACAUUGCAAACACGCAUAUAAUAAUAGAUAACAUAAUUAAGUUCAAAAUACAUUGCACAUUACGAAUUUAAACUAGUCCGACGAAAGCUCGAUCACUUCCGCCUUGGGCCCCCACCCGACGGCCUAGCCUCCUUGAUCGUCAAGAACGUUCUGGUACAGCUUGAUCCAUCGGUGUUCCUCGCUCACGAGCUCCAGAUGCAUCCGAUGGAGGUCGGUCAUGUACUCUUCAUGUUCUCAUGUACCUGACGGCUGGAGACCACUCGAGGGUUGAUUUGGAUGCACGCCGGGACGUUGUGUGUGUCGAGGGGGAAGUUGAGGUUCGCUUUGCAGCCAUAGAGCGCUACUGCCUGAUGUCGUACGCCCUCGGCGUGAACUCCACCGACUAGUGGGAGCCAAGCUAGUACCGGACGCCGGUGUCAAUGUCUUUGAUUCGGGCACCCAUGUCCCACAUGUCCGCUGCCGCAUGCCAUGGUACUUUUUCCCGGUGGCAGCAUCAAUAGGUCAACUCCGAAGGAANNNNNNNNNNNNNNNNNNNNNNNNNNNNNNNNNNNNNNNNNNNNNNNNNNNNNNNNNNNNNNNNNNNNNNNNNNNNNNNNNNNNNNNNNNNNNNNNNNNNNNNNNNNNNNNNNNNNNNNNNNNNNNNNNNNNNNNNNNNNNNNNNNNNNNNNNNNNNNNNNNNNNNNNNNNNNNNNNNNNNNNNNNNNNNNNNNNNNNNNNNNNNNNNNNNNNNNNNNNNNNNNNNNNNNNNNNNNNNNNNNNNNNNNNNNNNNNNNNNNNNNNNNNNNNNNNNNNNNNNNNNNNNNNNNNNNNNNNNNNNNNNNNNNNNNNNNNNNNNNNNNNNNNNNNNNNNNNNNNNNNNNNNGGCCUUGAGUCGGCUGUGUUGCACGGUGUAGAUAUGCGCUUUGAGUCAGCCACGACGACCUAUGAUUGUUCGAUCCUGCCAUUUCGGGGUGGCGCCGGCCGAUUAAAAGCAUUGUCUGAGGUGGACUUGGGCAACAACGGAGAGGAGUGGUGCAGGGGUGGAUUUGAGUACCAGUGGAGAGGAUGUGGUGUGGGGGAGGGGAAGGAUUGCCGACACGUGGAGUAAAAAAUAUACUCCACUAUAGCCUUGAAAGGAUAGGAAAGGUCCGGUUUAUUCCUUUAAACUGGAAUUGUAUCCCCCUAGAGCAUUUUAAGAGAUAAACAACAUGCAAACAAAUCAAAAACACACUUUAUUUUUUAUUUCCCCACUUCAUUUGACAAACCCAGAUACUUAUCUGCCAGAGCUUCACCAAAGAGAUUCAAUACUCGCUUAACCUGUCCUUUCAACUCAUUUGGACACCUCUUACUGAAAUCCACUGAGGGCUUGUCUAAAUUUAUUUUUUUUGCCUUGAGGCUCUUGAAUAUAUUACCUCCGUCCCAAAUUAUUUGUGUUAAAUUUAUUUAAAUACAGAUGUACGUGUGUGAGACGAAGUGAAUAAUUCCAAUGCUGAAACCAUUUUCUGGGCUGCCUGUACAUUAGCUUUCAUAAAAACUAAGCUAUGAUCUGCAAAUAACAAAUGACUUACUUUUGUCGCUGUUGAGAGGGGAGCUCCUACUCAGCGCAUUCAGCGCCGCUUAGGAACAACCACUACACCAACAGAGCUCGCAUGUUAACAAUUGUAUUUAACGCUUCUAUGUACUACACUAACUUAUACGUAUUUUGUUAUGAAGAACUUGCGACCUGCACUACCUACAUGUGUUCAGCUAACCACUAGGGCAUAUCUUUGCAACUGAUAAAAUGCAGCACUAACACUUGAAAAACUUUCAUAGCCGCUCAUAUAUGAUUUUCUUUAACAAAAAUGAAACUUCGCAAAUUUCAGAAAAAGUUCAUGAACAUGCAUAAAAAUGUUGCCCUAAAAAAAGUUCAAUGAUGAAAGAAGUUCAUCAAUUUUAAAAAAUACUUCACAAAAUUUUGAAAAAUGUUCAUCAAAAAAUUGAAAAAAAGUUCACUAAUUUGUAAAAAGUUCAUUAACUUUGAAAAAAGUUCAUCAUUUUUUUAAUAUAGUUCAUCAAAUUUGAAGAAAAGUUCAUCCAAUUUGAAAAAAAUGUACAUUCAAUUUGAAAACAGUUCAUAAAUAUUGAAAAAAAGUUCAUCAAAUUUAGAAAAGUUCAUCGAAUUUGAAACAAAAUCAUCAAUUCUCGAAAAUAGUUCACGAAAAAUAGAAAAAAGUUCAUAGAUUUUGAAAAUAAAAGUUCAUCAAAUAUGAAAAGGUACAUCAUCAAUUUUGAAAAAGUUCACGUAUUUAAGAAAAAGCGAAACGAUGAGGGAAAGAAACUAGGAAGAAGAAGAAAAGAAAAAACAGAAAACAAAAAAUGGAAAAAAGAAAAAGGAAAAAGAAAAAGGAAAAAGAAAGAAUAAAUGAAAGAAAGAAUUGAAUCUUAUCAAAUCGUGUUGCGUGGCGGGGUGGUUGUACUUUCUAACCUUAAUGCGGGUUCGAGUCACGGUGAGGAGCUUAUUUUUUGCGAAAUAAAGUACAGCGUAACGGGCCGGCCCAGUGCGGGGCGCUGCAGGCGCCCGUUUGCAAAAUACACAUUAACGGGCGCCUGCAGCGCCAAAUAGGAUUCGCGUGUUGAGAGAUCCUAGAAUCACAGUAGUUUCAGUAUCAUUUUUAUUUAGCACCCACCGUGGGCUUUAAUGUGUCCAGCCCACGACACCUAACCCUGACCCUAGGUGUUGGGCUCUCGAUCGAUAUCUUCAUCGUCGCUCUAGGGUCUGCGCUGUAGUACUUCACUUUCACUCCAGCCUCCGCCGCCGCAUCAUGAGUGAGGGCGAGAUGACGGCCAGCAGCCGCCGCCACGCCCGCUUGCCGGUUGUCGCGCCGCUGUACGACGACGACCUACUCUCCGAGAUUCUUGUCCGCCUUCCCCCGCAGCCCUCCUCCCUCCCGCACGCCUCCCUCGUCUGCAAGCGCUGGCGCCGCCUCGUCUCCGACCCCGCCUUCUGCCGCCGCUUCCGCCUCCGCCACCGCCGCAGCGCUCCUCUCCUCGGGUUCUUCGACAUAUUCUGUAACAUCUCCUUCAUACCUACUCUGGAGGCCCCCAACCGUAUCCCUCCCGGCCGCUUCUCCUUGCAGCUCGACCACGGGGACGGCGACUUCAUGUCCCUUGGAUGCCGCCAUGGUCUCGUGCUCAUCUACCUUAGGAAGCGCCUCCAGAUCCUGGUGUGGUACCCCGUCACCGCCGACCAGCACCGCCUCGCCAUUCCCCCGGGGGUUGCGGCAUGUGGGGGGAAGACCCCGAUCAACGGGGCGGUGCUUCGCGCUCCUGGAGACGUCCAACACUUCCAGGUGGUCUUGGUAGUGGCAUACGAUGAUGACCAACAACACAGACGAGCGCUCGCCUGUGUUUACUCGUCGAAGACCGGCUUAUGGGGAGAUCCCAUCUCAACACUCUUUCCAUACCAGGCGGUCGAGGCAGAUGUAUUCAGUUUUGCCACCCUCAUUUCUACGAAUGUCGCUGUGCUAGCUGGAGAUUCCCUUCACUGGGUGCUUGCUGGGAAUUUCAAUGGCAUUCUCGAGUUUGAUUUGGAGAAGCAGGGGCUAGCUGUGAUACGGCUGCCAGAGGAGGUCAACUGCUGGAAGCUUAUGCGGGCAGAGGGCGGUGGGCUUGGUCUCCUCGGGAUGUCAGACUCAAACUCGAACACCCAGUUAUGGAAGAGGAAGACCAAUUGUGAUGGUGUUGCUUCAUGGGUGCUUGGAAUGACUAUUGAUCUGGAGAAUAUACUUCCUCUGAAACCAGAGGAGAAAGGGACCAUUGCGAUACUAGGGCUUGCUGAAGACAAUAAUGUGUUGUUGCUGUGGACAAUUAUUGGUCUCUUCGUGGUCGAUCUUGAGUCAUUAAAGUUCAAGAAGCUUUUCCAAACCAUGAUAAUUUCUCAGUACUAUCCAUUCGAAAGUGUCUACACUGCAGGUAAUACCAUGUCUUACGUCGCGGCUGAUGAAAUUAUGUUCACAUCAUUUUGUGUUAAGCCGACAAUUUUAAGUAGUGUCGUACCGUUUGUUUAUUUUGCUGCUUCAUGACCUGCAGUGUCAUGUACUUAUGUCCUGAUGCAGUGAUGCUUGUGGUACUCCCUCCGUUCACUAUUAUAAGAUGUUUUGGAUAUUUCAAUAUGGACUACGUACGGACUGAAAUGAGUGAACAGACACACUAAAAGGCGUCUAUAUACAUCCGGUUCAGAAAAAAUUAGAACAUCUUAUAAUAGUGAACGGAGGUAGCUUUUAAUGUAAUGAUUAUGAUCUAGAAACAAUCUGGUUUGGUACAUCUCGCCAUGGCCCGGUACAUGGCCCUUUCGGCCGAAUAAUUUUGGCCCAAUUUGAAUUUUGUGGCCCGGCCCAGCUUCUAGAGCGUUUCUGUUGGAGACAAAACCACGAGCCCACACGCCCUAACCCUAGAAUCUCCCUUUCCUCUCAAUCCUCUUGGUGCCGCCGCCGCUGCGCACAGGGCACAUCUCACGCGAUGGCGGCUUCUUCAGCCAAGGCGCUCACUAUCCUCCUGCCCUCCUCCACGUCUCCUCGCCUCCACCCCACCCACUUCAUGUGCGUUGCUUCUCCAAGAUUGAGGCAUGGUACUCGGCGGCUGCGGCAAAGGAACUGGUGGAGCGCGAGCUGACCAGUUCAACGGAGGCAGGAGCAUGGAGCAGCGGCAGCAGCAUGGUGGGCGGCCGCUUGAAUUGAAUCUUAAUUAUGGAUGCUUUUAUAUCUUCCUAUUUGAAGUAUGCAUGCAGUUUUGGUUCUUCAGCAAUUUGGCCAGGCGGCUCUGAUUUACUUGUGCUGCUUUAGAUUAAGGAUUGUUGUGCUGCUGGGAUUAUGCCAUGUUUGAUUCAGAUUUUACUCAAAUUUCGGCCGAAAUUCAUCUGUAUUUCGGUCAAAUUUUAUCCAAAAAUUCAAAUUUUGUUUCUGCAAUUUCGUCCGAGAUUUUACCGAAAUAUUUGAAAUGGCCGAAAUUCGUCCAUCUCGGUCAGGGGCGAAAUAAAACACAAAACGAAAAUCAAAACACAGGAAAUAAUCUAUUAGUGGUAUCUAAUUUACUUUAUGUUCUUUAGCCCGGCAGUUCCUAUCAUAUGAAUAUCCAUACAAUAAAACAAUCAUUACCUGUGUUUGAGAAAAUAGACAUUGAUAAGCAAUUUGUUGUACAAUAACUUAACUAAGUGUUAUCGUUACCUGCCUAUUGGUAGAUGCAAGAAUUAUCUAAUGGUACUGUUUGUGCACAGCUGCAGUCCCAUUUUUUUGACUGAUGUGAUGCACAAUAGUUGGAAGUUGACUACAUAAAAAACCAGCUUGAACCAACUAGGUAGCUCAAUAGGUACAUUUGGAAGCUUAGUUAGGCCUUGUUUAUGGUCUUAAAUCCAUAAUAACUACUUGAUUUUAAAUUUUGGUGCAUGUUCGAGAAAUAAAACAAUGGACACCAAGAUUGGCAAAAAAAAUGAUAGCUGAACUAAAUUUCACUGUUGCUGUGUUUUGAUAUCUGCAACAUGAUGCAGCUAUACAUGCCUUAGCUACUAAUCAAGUCAGGUUGUUCUGUUGUUCUGAAACCAGUGAUAAAUAGCAUGUUUACUCGAUGUUCAGGAUAUUAGUAAUUUGUAGCUACUCGGUCGGGUGAGGAGUAGGGAUUAAUCGGUGAAUCGGGCUAUUAACUGAAUAUAUCGGCAACCCAUUUAUCGGUAGGUUAAUUAGGCCAUAUCUAUAUAUCGUAGCUACAUAUAGCAAUAAUGCAGCAGCAGCAGCAAUAAAGGAGAGGCAAUAAGCAGCAGCAGCUUAUAGCACAGAGCAGGAGCAGCAUAUAGCAUAGCACAAAGCAGAUUAGCAUAUAGUUAUAUGCUGAUCUGCAAGUGCUGGUUUCGGGGAGGGGAGGGGUGAGGGGGGCGGCGAGCUCGAGCAGGAGGAAUAGGCUCGGUACCUGGAUCCUUGAGCAGUGCAAGCGCCUCUGCCGGAUGGCGCGGCAGAUGCUUGGGGCGGCGGUGGCUGCUCGGAGAGGGGGGCGGAGGCGGCUGCUCCUAGCCUCCUCAAACAAGGGUUACUAAGGGAGGGGAGGGAGAGUGAGAAGGGAGGGAAUGGGCUGACCUAAAACACCCAGUUUUGGGGUAAAGGAGGGAAUGGGCCAAAAUUUUGGAGCCCAAAUUUCUCUCUCCCUCUAAUCAGUUAAUUGGUCCAGUGGGAUAAAUCGGCCUGACAGCCGAUUAAUCCGCUUGACCAGUUAACGCGAUGGAUAAGGUGUUAUUGCACCCGUGACCUACGGAUUCAGGAUUAACUGGCCGAUUACCUUAAAUAUCGGCCAAUAUUUUUAACAGUGUGUUUACUAGUACUCAAACUGAAAGAGAAACAAGUCUGACCUUUUUGGUAGGUACAAUUUCAAUGAAGAUUAUAGUUGUACCUGCAGACGAGGUGGAUCCUAUCUUCUGGGCACCUUGCCGAUAGAUCCUGGUAGAAGUGCCAUCUGAUUAUGUCAUUGCAGUUGGAGAGUCCCAGCUGUUUUUCUUUUCUUUGUGUUCGAACCUGUUUCUUGCCAGGACAUACAGCUUUUUUUGUGUGCCAGGACAUGCAGCUGGCCGGAUCAACCUUUUUUUAUUCGAUUAGUACUAGUUGCUUGCUGCAGGAUCUAGGUGAUGAACAUUGCCGGACCACCUUUUUUUGUUCGAUGAGUCAUGAGUCUUUAGUUGGUUAUUGAAGGAUCUAGAUGAUCAAUGUUUCCGGAUCAUUGAUUAGUUAGGUUAUGGCCAGCUUGUUUUCAGAUGAGAGUCCAUUUGGGGAUUUUGAUUUCUAGAAGGUGUCUGAUGUUACGUGGACAAGGCUUCGAGAUCAAGUUGGCAAGGGGUUUGCUUUAUGCCUAUAUCAAGUGCAGGCUUUGGCCAUAUGUAAAGAGUCGAAUUUUGAGUUGAAAAGCAGAAGGGUCGCAUCAAAUCCGUUACUUGUUAGUUGUUAAGUUCUUGGGAGGGUAUCUGAGAGUUGCUAGUGUGAACAUUGAUCUAAUCAAUAUGGGUGCCAGUUUUGGCUUCAGUUCUUGCAUCUUCCUUGAUUUGAAGUGUAUGCUACCACUAUAGUUCAUUGUUGCUUCGUCGAGCACCCGUGAAAGAUUGGGCGUGAACAGCCUCGCUUUAGCGUCUUGCUAGUUUGUGCCUCAUCACAAAAAUAAUAUCAGGUAGCCACAUGUUUUUCCUCGAGAUAAAUAAUAUAACAGUUUGAAGUUGAAGACAACUACAUGAAAACUAGAAUGAACCAACUGAAAUAUCAAAUAAGUAGCUCACUGGUGCGUUAGAAGCUAAAAGAUAGUUCUAUUUCUUUCAUUCAAUAUUAGUAUCUAUCAUGGAUUAUGAGUUCAAGGACUAGUCAAGACUGGUCUAUGAGUCUCAACUCCAGGGCUGACUACACUUCAGUGCCGACUAGUCUUUGAGUGGCAACUUCAGUGUCGACUAGUGUCAAUUAGUCACGCUUAGUGUAUGAGUCUCAACCUCAGAACGACUUGUCAACUCGUAAACCUUGGUAUCUAUACUUAUCUCACUAGUAAUCUUAAAUCCAUAACGAUGAAUUUUCAUGAAAUUUACUAGAUAAUUGUUCCUUUUACCACAUUAGGAGAGGGAGUAGCAAGUCCGUUUGUACUAGGGAAAACCAAUACAUCGAGUUCAUUUCUUUUUUCGGGCUAAAUUUGUUUGAAGAUAAUCUAAAUCUGAAUAGUCUAUAUCACUUUUGUUGCUAGAAUUUAUUAUGUGAUCUUUUUCAGGCUAAAUUUAUUUGAAUACAAUCUAAAUAUUAAUAACCUUGAUCUAUAUUUUCCAAUAUGGCAUGAACUGAGCUUAAAAGUUAUGUCUCUUCUGAGUUCUGACCAGCUAAUGGUCUGAGUGUGCAUCUUCAUUUUUGUGAUAGUAAUCAGUUUAUACUGUUUUUUAAUAUUCAUUAACUUUGACAGUGGGUAUUUUUUUUAAUAUGUUCCUAAUGUUGUUUCGAAAUUGAUUCCUUUUUUUAUUUGAACUACAGCUGUGAGUUCAUCUAAACAUCUUCUUGAUGCCUCUUGUAUCUAUUUGGCUUUUCAUUGGUUAUUUUACUUCUUAUGCUUGCAGAAACAGACAUUGCUGGUGGACAUGGUGGAGCUGAUCUUUUGCACAAGACAUAAGAUGAUUGUCCAGUUAUAUAUGCUAUGUGAUGUACCGGUUGAGCAGGUAAGCAUAUCUUCUGCAUGUAUGUUGUGGUAUGUGAACUGUUCUUACAAAAUGUACUGCUUUGCCUUUUGUUGUCAUUUCUCAAGUACCAAAUUGCAAGAGAGGACUCUUCAGAUUUUCUCAACAAUUCUUUGGUUAGCUAUAGCCCACCUCCUAUCAUGCUUUGAUGCUAGGCUAAAUCUUGAAUCUUUUCUCCGUACUCCCCAAGUUCCUGCUAGUUGUGCUGAAGGUCGGGCCUGGCGCAGUGGUAGUCUCUCCACUUGUGGCCUGGAGGUCAUUGGUGAUGUAGGACCGUUACUCCUUCCCUGUUUAUGCAUAUAUUUGUGCUUGCCCAGAGAUUAGAGUGAUUUCAUGCAGGUAGUAGCAAAUGAACUACCAACCCUCUGCUGUGCUUCUGCGAUAUAUUUCUGCUUUACUUUUACUUGUUGCUGCAUUACCUUUAACUUCUGUUUUAUGUGCCCAUGGUUCUAUCAUGUCCUAGUUUGAUUUGAAUGUUGUCCUGUCUACACAAGUGAUUUAUAACUAACACUACCUGAGCAUUUGGUUUCAUAUUUCUUUUUUUAUAUGGACUUAUAGAAUUGCCAUUUCAUGUUGCUGCUUAUUUUGGAUCAUUGUGAUACCUACUGAACUACAAUUGUCACAAUAUUUGAAGAGUAUACCUUCUUUAAAUCUUAUAAUGCUGCUUAUAGAAGAGUUUUAUGGAUGACUAUUCUAGUUUUAGGUUGUUUUGUUAAACAUUUUCCCAGCAUGUCAUUUGGUGUCUGCCAUACUUGCGUAAAUAUGUAAUUGGCUAUUAGCCACUAUUAUAAUUUGACAGCUCCAAACUAUAGGUAGUAUGCUUUGUGUGGAGUAUUUUUUUUUCAGUUUUGUCCACUCUUGAUGUUUAAUACUUCAUACAAAACACAAGAUCAAAAUAAAAUGACUAGAUUCACUAUAAAAACUGGUUUUUUAUCAAUAAUGCCAUUUUUUAUUUUUACUAGCAUGUUACCAUUAAAAUAGUGGUGAAAGUAUUGCUUGAUACUGUAGAGAGUAAAAUAACAACAACAACAACAACAACAAAGCCUUUAGUCCCAAACAAGUUGGGGUAGGCUAGAGGUGAAACCCAUAAGAUCUCGCAACCAACUCAUGGCUCUGGCACAUGGAUAGCAAGCUUCCACGCACCCCUGUCCAUAGCUAACUCUUUGUUGAUACUCCAAUCCUUCAGGUCUCUCUUAACGGACUCCUCCCAUGUCAAAAUCGGUCGACCCCGCCCUCUCUUGACAUUCUCCGCACGCUUUAGCCGUCCGCUAUGCACUGGAGCUUCUGGAGGCCUGCGCUGAAUAUGCCCAAACCAUCUCAAACGAUGUUGGACAAGCUUCUCCUCAAUUGGUGCUACCCCAACUCUAUCUCGUAUAUCAUCAUUGCGGACUCGAUCCUUCCUCGUGUGGCCACACAUCCAUCUCAACAUACGCAUCUCCGCCACACCUAACUGUUGAACAUGUCGCCUUUUAGUCGGCCAACACUCCGCGCCAUACAACAUUGCGGGUUGAACCGCCGCCCUGUAGAACUUGCCUUUUAGCUUUUGUGGCACUCUCUUGUCACAGAGAAUGCCAGAAGCUUGGCGCCACUUCAUCCAUCCACCCUAUACUGUAGAGAGUAAAAUAAAAGUCAUUUUAAUUUGGACCGAAAGAAGUUUCUGCUAUAGUAAGAAGACGCCUGACCCUUUGGUUCAUUGGAUACGAAUAUCACAGGAAUAGAAAACUUGUACGAAAUGAGAUUUCAUGUACCUCAAAUCCUAUGCGUAGGAAUAGGAAGAGAGAUAUCCUUUGGUUCACAUCAUUAGAUUUUUUCCAUUGAGUCUAGGCUAAUGUUUGUUUUCCUAUGAAAUGUGGAGGAUAGGAAGAAUUCCUCCAUAGUAAUAGGAUUCUAUUCCUACAAACCAAAAGGACUCUAAAGGAAUUUUUCCUACAGAAAUCCUAUCCUAUAGCAUUCCAACAAAAUUCCUCCAAACCAAAGGAGGCCUCAUAAUAUUAUAAGUUGAAGGUGUGCUAACUGCACUACCAAUUACCUGUUCUCUGUUUCAGUUGUUUGUUCUGUCUAAUAAUGCGGAGGGUUCAACUUUUGUGGUUUUUUGACACGAUUUCCAUAAUUCUGAAGCUAAUGUUUUUCUAUUUCUAGUCAUAGAAAAUUAUGAGAGCAACCCCGAUAGCUUUUCCUGAUUCAGUAGUACAUUUUGUUUGACUGAUGAUAUUGCUUGCUCCGCAGGAUCUACAGUUACAUUUUGUUGGCUGAGAUGCAGAAGUUGCUUGUCAAGUGUAGUUUCUUCCAUCUGUAUGCUCGACGCCGAGAUUGAGCCUCUAUGUAGCAUGCAGUCUUCAGCUCUGAAGUGAACCUGUAGGAAUUAAUCGCUUGAUUUGCUAAUUUCAGUAGACAUUCGGCGACUGGCAUGAAGGCGCAUUGGCCUGCUUCGAUUUAAUUUGCCUUGUGAGACAAGCAUGUUGUCAUGAGCUUAAACUAUCAACUGAUCUUGCUUGCAUUUUAUUAUCUUCUGUGUUGUAUCAGCAGGGAGAGGUU